rnacentral:lncRNA from 1 species
UUCAUUAAAUGUUUGCACUUUUGUUUUUUUCUUUGGACAGAUAAAAAUCCAACACGACAUUUUUGGUCUUUUUCGGUGGAAAAAAAAAACCCUAUGUUCUUGAAAGCUUAAUGGUCGAUCUAAGAAUCGAUGAUAAAAUUGUUCGAUUAUCAACGUAUUACGUCUGCGUUUAUCAUCUUUCUAUCUCAAAAUCGGAAUUCUUCAUAGAGGUAAUCUUUUAUUUAUUCAGAUUUUGAAAUUUUUUUUAUCUAAAUUUGUAGAUUCGAUUUCGAUCUUAGAAAUUUCCAAUUUGAACAGAGAUAUUGGGCAAUAAAUUUGAAGAACCCUGACUUACAUGAGUUAGGAUUACCAAUUAUAGUCAAAAUUUUUGAUUUCAAUUAAUUUUAUAAGAAAUCGCAAAUUGAUUUUCAAUUUUAUUUGUGUUUACCAAGUAAAUCAAUCUAUCUUCUUAGAUCUGCAAAGCCAUUGAGUUUAUAGUUUUUAUAAUUUCAUAGUGUAAAGAUUUUAACAAAAUCUUUUGUUUCCUUAAAAGGUUUAACAUUUAACUUUUUCUAAAUGGAUUUCAGAUUAUUACGAAGAUGAUGAUAUUGCCAAUAGAAGACGAUUUACAAAGAUAAGUUCUCUGUUACGAUUUAUUCUAUCACAAAAGAUGUUUUAAAUAUAUAUGGUACUGAAGUUAGAUAAUUCAAUGUUUACAGACCAAACUCAAAUCUUUAAAGAAGGAAAAUUUGAUGUCGUUUAAAGCCAGUCCAAAUUCUGAAAUCACUGUUAAAGGUUAGUGAUGUGUUAAUGAUUCAAAUUUGGUGUAAUCUAUUCCCAAUAUUUAGCUAUUGUUAGUUGUGUCUCUUUCUGAAUUAGCAUGUUUUAUGAAAUAUACACUUAUCGUGAUGUGUCAAUUGUUUUUCUAAAAUGAUUUUACUAUAUUCUCUGUUGGAUGAUAAGAUAUUAAAGUAAUAAUACUUGUUUAUAUGAAUUAACAGAAUUUUUAGAUUCUGUAUAUGAUUUCUUCUUAGUAAACUUGUAAUAGUUUACCUAUUUGUACUUAAUAUGAUGUAAAUGUAAAUGAAAACUUUUUUAAAACAAAGUUAUGCUGAUAUUAAUAAUAGAAGUUUAUGAAUUUGUGUAAAAAGAGAAUUGAGAGAAUAACAGACCAAGUUUGGUAAAAUAAUCUCUUCAAUGGAAGUCUUAGAUUGAAGAGAUUACUACCAAAUUUCCAUUUCCAUGCCAGCUUCUACCUGUUCAGACAACCAAUAAAAAAUUAGUAAAGUGUAAUUGCUGACAAUAAUAAUCAGUUUUUAUUGAUUGUUAUUGUUUGUUACCUUGUAGACCAAAUGUUUCUUGCUUUCUUUAGUCUUAUAGGUUCUGAAAAACUUCCUUGAACACCACAUUCAUUGUUUCCUUUUGCGGUUUCCCUUCUUUGUCCACUAUGAGGAUCUUCAGUCCUGUCUUUGAAGUUACCCUUGAGAUAGCAACAUAGAGUUGGCCAUGAGAAAAGCAUGGUCUAGGUAGAUAGAUACCAACGUUAUUCAAAGAUUGCCCCUGACUUUUAUUAAUGGUCAUUGCAAAAGCAACUGCUAUUGGAAGUUGUCUUCGACGCAUUUUGAAAGGGAGUUUACUGUCAGAUGGAGAAAUCAAUAUCCUAGGAAGGAGGACUUUAUCUCCAACUCUAUCACCUGUAAUAAUCACAGCCUCAGUAACUUUAUCACCUAAUUGUGUUAUUUGAAGCCUGGUCCCAUUCAUUAAACCUCCUCUUGGAUCUAAGUUUCUUAGUAACAUCACAGGGCAACCAACUUUCAACCUUAUACCAUGAUUAGGCAAUCCAGAUAUCUUGAGACUGUUCAAAAACUCUGAUGUCAACACUGGAUUAUUUUUACCUCCAAUAUCUGAAGGAUCAACAGAAUCUGAACUUAGGUAUAAAUGUUCAUCACCUACACACAAAUUAAGAUUUACUUUAAUUCAUAUAUCUUUAGAAAUCCUAAAACAUUAAGAGUAAUGGAUACUAACCUUCGAGUCGAUCAAGCAUAUAAUCGUUGAUCAUACACACAUCUUCAUUGGUAGGACACAAAAUCGCCCUCUGUUGGAAAAAAACAGGAUCUGUUUUGUCCUUCAAUAACUUAGGAUCUCCAUAAACUUCCCUGCUUAUUGCCUCAAUUGGAUUUUCAGCGUUUGUGAUUAAAAACUCUUCUGGAAUUUCUAUCAUAACUUCUCCAUCAUUAGGCUGUGCUAUCUUACCAUCACCUACUGCUAGAAUCCACUCUGAAAAUUCCUUUAGAUCAUUCACCUCACUUGGAGUCAAAUCCUUUGAAAGAAGCCGCAUAUUUUUCGUGAGCUUCAGAACUUUACAAUGAUUCCAAAUAUAAGAAGCAUUAAGUGCAGCCAUACAAAUUUCUGCCCUCCCAGCACCAUGUAUCACAGGUAGUACCUGUCUGAAAUCACCACCAAAAACAACAACUUUGCCACCAAAAGGUUUGUUUCCACCACCUUUAAUAAUGUCAGACAAGCUCCUAUCCAAUGAUUCAAAACAAUGCUUACUCAUCAUAGGAGCUUCAUCCCAAAUUAUCAAAGACGAUUCUUCUAUUAAUUCUGCCUGAUUUGAACCUUUCUCAAUAUUACAUACAGUGAAGUCGUCAGGAUUUAAUGGAAUACCAAACCGAGAGUGCACUGUUCUCCCACUAGGUAACAGUAGAGAAGCAAUGCCACUGGAAGCAACAUUUAGCACAAUUGAACCUCUAGAUCUUAGAGAAGCUGAUAGUGUCUUAUAUAUAAAAGUUUUACCAGUUCCACCAAAUCCAUAGACAAAGAAGACACCUCCCUUGUCAUUAUCAACAGCAUCGAUGAUCUCUGAAUAAACACUCUUCUGCUCAUCCGUCAUUUUUUGCAAGGAUUCUUCAAGUAUUUUCUUCUGUUCUUUGCGAUCAUAGUUUUUUUCGUCAAGUAUCAGGACGUUACUAUCAUCAAUUUCCUCAUCAGGUAACUGAGGCAUUGUUUUGAAAGCUGUUAGAGAUGUUCCAUUGCUUCUUAAGAUGCUGUUGAUUUCUUUUAAAGCUAAAAUCUGUUUUUGCUCGUCCGUAAGUGUUAGUUCUGCGUCCCAAUAAAUCAAAACAUGUUCAUAAGUAAGACAGAAUAAUCAUGGUAUAAAGUAAUACAAUUUUUUAAUAACCACUAUUUAAACAAACCAAAGAGGCUGACUUUUUUUUAAACACAAAUUUACCUGGUCGGUUGAAGUACUCUCUCCUUUUUCUUUCGAUAUCUUCUGAGAGGAUUUCCCAUGUUUUUUCCCAAACUACUUCCGGUUGAGAUAAGCUUGUUGACUGGAGCAUUACAACAAACAUACAACGCAAGUAGUUUCCAGUGGCCCAGAAACUGGUAGUUUUGAUGGUAUCAAUAUACUCCUGGUCAUCGUCUAGCAAACCCAAAGCAUAACAUGUCUCCUUGAAAGUCUUGUAAACAACGCCAUUCACUGUUUUUAUGUCAUCAAAACUUUCAGGUCCUGUUUGGGUAUUAAGAAGCACUCUUAAAUAAUAACCUUCCUCAUAAAUGAGUGGAACAUAAUUUAUCCUUCCUAUUGUAUUUCCUGGUUGCUUCCUCAUAUUGAAAUUUCUAGUUUUUCCAUCCCAAGUAAAAAACUCUGGAAUCUGAGUGUAUGUGAGACCUUUUGCUUUUGGACACCGCUUGUUCAACUCAAACCAAGCUAGAAACAUUGAAUUUUGUAAUUCUGAACGUUGGAGAACUGUUUUCACCUCAUCAUCAGCUUUGAAGUAUAAUAGUUGUUUUCCUGGUAGAUGGAAGGAUAAUCUCUGAACAGACGUUGACCUAUAAUGUAUAGGAUGUUUCAAUAUUCUCCAUCCAGCUUCACAUGUUGAUACAUAUCUGAAAAAACUCCAUAAAACACUCUAGUUAGAAUUUAGUAGUAUUUAAAGCUUAUUUUGUUAAAAAAAUAGUUUUAUACCUGUAAUUGAAGAAACAGUCUUCCCCAAUAUAUGUUUCUUCGUUAAAUCAUCCAUUAGAGAAUUCAGCUUCAUUUUGAACAUCCUGCUUAUGAUCUCUGGCCUAUCAUCGGAAUUACAAUUUCUUUCAGUACAGAAUCUUACCAAUUCUGGCCAUUUUGGAUUGCACGUGAACGUAAUGAAUAGAUCUGGAAAUCCAUAAUGAUUGCAUGUAGACAUUGCAUCCAUGUACAUAUUCUUCAUGUAUCUUGGACCACCAACAAAAGUAGCUGGUAAAUAAAAAGCUUUUCCUUCUUCAUUCAUAUCAUUCUUUCCUGAAGAUGCCGCCUCUUUAACAGAAUCAUAGUUAGAAGCUCUCAAACUUGACUGAUUCAGCUUAAUAUAUUUCAGCCUAUUGGCCUCAAUUGUAGUGUAAGCAUCAACCAAGAAAUGUUGGAACAACCGUUUUGACCUUAGUAAGAGACUUGGUUCAUUCUUUCUCUCUUGAAUACGAAACGCAUACCAUUGACGCAAGCUUAUGCACUUAUUCUCUUCAGUUUCUUCUUCCUUGUUCUUCUUUUUACCAUGAUUAUUUCCUUUUAAAAUACCUGGUCUAUAUCCAUCCUCACCAUUUGGAAACAGCAAAGGAUAUUGCAGAGCAAGAUAACAUGGUUCUAUUUCACUGAUUCUUUGUAAAAACCCAGAUUUUUCUUCAAUAACAAUGUCACGACUUGGCAUACCAAUAUGAAAAUCACCUGGAAUCAGCGCUGCAACCUCUGAAGCUGUUGGUACUGAAUAUGUUCUUCCAUCUUUGACACGAUUGCUUACUAUUUUCAUGUGAAAACUCUGUUCAGGAUUGGUAUUAAACCUGUCACGAGCUUGCCUAAAAUGCUCAACGUAUGGAUUAACAUCAUUUAACAGCUUAAUUAUGGCCUCAAUGAUUUCUUUUCUCAGCUUUGGCUUCUUCUUAUACUUCUCAGUUGAUUUCCCUUUGCUGCAACAUAAAAGGGACCUAGUUAGCAACGUCAUUCCAUUGUAGAUAAAACAUGUUAUAUGGAAACUCUGUUUGCUAGUUUUAAAAUAGCAAACAUACCUUAAAAUUCCUGCUCUGUUUUCAACUUCAUUCUCUGUAUCAACUAUAUAUAGUUGACUGAACUUAGGAAACUCACCUUCUCCAGGUUUCAAACUUCCCAUUUGAUGGUAGUUCUCUCCUUGAAUUUGAAACAUAUUAGGACCACGACCUAAAGUAACAGAGUUAUCACAUUUUCCUCCAAGAGAAGUAAAUGAAAAAAUCAUGUUAUAGGCUCGGAUGUUCUCUCUAAAGUGUCUACUCAUGUCAUCAUCAUUGGUUAGCAACGCAAAUAACAACUCUGGUUGAUUACAAAGGAAAGGCAAUUUGACUGAUCCUUGCAAACAACACUGAGUAAAUAUUGGUUUACGAACUUUCUUGUGUCUGUUAAUGCGUUCUCCAUACCACAUUAUAGCACCACAAUACGAACAUGAGUAGAUAGGAUCUCCAUGAUCUAGGUACUCUACAAUAACAGAGACAAAAAUCAGAAAUCUAUACUUUAUGUAAUCUUGGUUUCAGAAAAUAUUCAAAAUUAAUCUCCUUAGAUAAUACCUGUGUUUUGUUUAUUUCUGCUAGAAACAUUAGUAGUUUUCCUUUCUCCAAAAGCUUUAGUCAAACUUUCAUCUAACAUUGACAAAAACUCGUAUCUUUGCUUGAGUUCAGUAGGGAUAUCCUCUAUGUUUUGAUAAUCUGAUUCUGAUGUUUCGGAUUCAGUUUCAUCUGCACUACUGCAAUCGUAAACUUGUUCACGUGAUUCUUCCAAACCGCCUAUUUAUGUUUUUCAAACAGAUCAGUGAAUGAAUGCUUGUUAAGUUUAGUAAAAAUAUAUCAUAGAAAUUCACACUUACAUUUGCUUUGAUAAUCAAUCAUAUUAAUAUAUGUUUCUUCUUCAGAAUGCAGGACUUCAUCAUUGUGUUCUUCAUUGAUUGGACAGAGUGGCGUAUUGUUUGAUGUAUUCUUCUCCUUUGCAAUAGACUUGGCAAACCUCAAAGAGUUUUGUGGUUUGGUAAGUGUAAUACCCUUAGUAGCUACAUUUUAUAAAAUUCAACUAUUAGUUUUCUUCUAUUAAACCUGUUGUGUUAAGACCCAGGUUUGAGAAAAUACAUUUUCAGAUGAAUAAAUUAUAAUUUGUAUACCUUGUUUGCUGUUAACAGAUGGAGGACUAUACUUUUUUGCUUUCUUUUCUGGUGCUUUUUUUGGAUUCAUCGGUGUAUGUUGAACCUCACUCAAUAUAUCUGCUGAGUUUGAAAAAUUCUGCAGAUCUUGAAAAGGUCUUCUCUGACUCCUAGCAUUUUUUUUUGCUGAUCUUAGAGUCAUAUUUGUAGUAACCGUAGAUUCAUCGCCUAAACCAUUAUUGUGCCAGCAUAGUUAGUUUCAUUAAUAAAUGGUCUGUUUAACAAAACCAUGUUAACAUACCUAUUGUUUCCUGUGGCAUAUAUGUUGAAGAAGAAGGACCAGUUUCCGUCAGAGGAGACAGAGUAGACCUUGCCUGUGAAGGUAUGUUACUUAUUCCAACCAUUAGUCUAUCAAAAAUUCCUUUAACUUGAACAUCACUCGUAUCCAGAUGGUUCUGUUGAUUUGGAUUGAUGUUUUCAUCAUUCUGCUGAGACCUAGACCGCUUUGGUUUAGGUGUCUGCUGCACGUUCAAAUUUUCUUUGAGAGUUGUGUUUUUCCGUCUCUUCAUUCUGUUGAAAAUCAAUAAAUAGGUUAGAAAUGUUAAAUAGUAUUUGUUCUGUGAAAAAGACUGAUAUUAUUCUUCUAAGAUCUUAAGAAAAAACCUUUAAAAUGGUUGUUUCAAUAUCUUCGAUUAGGAGAAUAGAUGAAGAUUAAAAGUGGUAAUUGGAUUAGAAGUGAUCUGACCAUAAAUCCAAACAACCAUAUUUACAGUGAUUUCGUAUAACUGAAAAGAUUAUAAUUAUAUAUGACAUAUUUUGUUUUCCAUAUGGAAUUGCAAAUCUACUUGAUUGCUCCUUUAUUUAUUUUUAGAAUCUUUUAUUAAAGAUCUCAUACUCUUUUGUUGAUCUCGUGUUUUGUUAUUUAAAGAUUAUUAUUAUUUAUGCUAAAUCAGUAUUGUUUAAUAUAUUCAUUCUAAUACCAUUAAUUAGUUUCUUCAUUGUAUGUCAUUAGUUUCUUCAAUGUUUUUAACAGUUUGUUCUACAUCAUCUUUUUCAGGUUUUGAUAUUUAGAUGACAACUCUAACUUAUAGAUUUCCUAUUUUCAAGUUAAUUGCCGCUUUAUAAUUCUAAGGUUAGUUAUUUUUUCUUUUGAUUUGAUCAUGUUCACGUGUCAAAACAUAUUACAUAAAUAACAUGGGAAUCUGUUUCAUGUUUGCAGAUUUUUUUACCUACUAUAAGUUAUGGAUCAAGUUCAAAUUGCAAUCCAAUUAUAAGGUUAGUGAACUCUUAUUUUUUUGCUUAUUCAUCUUUGAAAAAUCUUAUAGUUUUUAUUGGUAGUUAGUAAAGAACUGAAAUUAAGCAGAAACUUGGUAGAUAUUAUUCAACAAAAUAAAUCUGAUUUGAAGUAGAAAGUUGCAUAGGAAACAAAUAACAUCUGAAAUUUUAAAAACUUGAAGCAAAGAAAAAACCAAUAAAAAACACAUCUCAAACCAAGCUCCCUACAUUAUUCCAAUACAUCACUACUUAUUUCUUCCCAACUUCAAUCUCUUCCUUCUCAAUGUCACCAAGAAUGGAAGGAACACAUGCUUUUUUAGUAGUAGAACUCUGACCUUCACAGUCCACAGAACAGUCAUCAAUACUACGCUUGGAAGAAGGAGUAGAUGAUGUAGGACCAUUAGCAUCUGUGGUUUCACUGCUAUAGGUCAAAGCAAGUGCGUCCUAUUAAUCCAAGAGAAAACAAUUAGUCAAACAUUUACCAUGAUUAUUAUGAAUAUAUUAGGAUACAAAUUACUCAGUUAUCUAUAGAUACAUCCUAGAUUUGUUAGUAAUAUCACAGGGUACUCACUAAUUAAGUGUAACAACGAUCCAGCCCUUUAGAGAUAAACUUGAAAAGGUUUUUGAUAGAAUGAUUUUGGUUGCAUCUACUAACAUUACCUGAUCAAUAGAUAGAUCAUUAUGUUGGUCAGUCGGCUGGUCAGAAUCUUCAAUAGUAUCUAGAUUAUCAAAAUCAUUACCCAGCCAAAUAGUGGAAACCUUGUAGGUAUCAUCUGUUUCAUUGAUGUUUUCUUUUCCAACAGUCACCAGAAAUUGGAAAGUCUUUCCAACCAAAUCUUUGAUUGGCUGAGGCAAGUUUGUUGGAUCCUGAAUCUGUUAUCACAAUAGCAACAUAAUAUUUUAGAUGUAGGACAAUUAUUAUCUACAUAACUUACACAUGAUCAUUUGUUUACCUCAUCCCAGUUUCCUUCAAGCAGAUCUUCAGCAGAAACGCCAAUGAUCUCUUGUGCAUUUUUAUCAAAGAUCAGAAAAUUGGUGUCACCAGUGCUAUCCAUAACUCCCACGUUUAAAAGGUACCUUCAUAUAAAAAGAUUUUCAUACAAAGUUAGAUAGAUAGUUAUUAACUAACAUAAUAGCUAUAUAAUCAAAUGGGAAAUUGUUACCUUGGAACCACCUUAGGAGUGUCUUCCUUACAUGUUGGACACCAAAACAUUUCUUUCUUACCUUUUUUGGCAAUCUCAUUUUCCACUUUUGGUAUCUUAUAGGCAGUUUUGUGACACUUCAGACAACAAAAGAAAUACCACGAGUAGUCUGUGUCGAUCUUCAUUAUGGUAACAAUUAUGUUGCAUUUCCCAAUCUAUACAUAAUAAUAGAGAAUUAGUAUUUUAAACAUAAUUAUUACUAAUAGAGGCAAUUAGUAUUAAUCACAACUAUUACCUCAGAAAAACAAAAGAGUCCAGAGAUGGUUUUCCUUGGAAAACGAUCAUAGUAUUCCUUUUUUUUCAUCAGUUGAUUCCCAUGUUUUGGCUUAACUUCUUGGAUAGCCAGAGGCAUAGCAUCAGGGGGUAAACUACAUGACAAUUAAAAAAAAAAAUCAACUUAUCAUAAUAUCAAUAGGAUAUACAAUCUAAUUAUUUUCAAAAGCAAUAUUAAGUUUGCCCCUAUCUUACUUGGCCACAAAUUCAAGAACAGCAGGGUAGGUAGCAUUGAUUUCCAACAGAGACAUGUCAAAUGCAUUUGAAACUGAUCUUUCACCUAACAAAAUGAGUACUAUUAGUAUAAAUAUAUUCUGUGAUCUGCCUUUAAAAAUCCCAAAAAUGUUUUAUCAAAAACGUUUUAUACCUUUGAAUGAAUUGAUCUUAGCAAGACGAAGUAAGGCAAUCACCCUCUCAGUGCCUGCAUUUUGACAUGCAUUCCACAUUGCCUCAGCAAAUCUCCCCCAAAGAGUACAUUUCAGCCGUUCAUCACUAUAUAAGAAAAUAAGUUGUGAGAUAAUUGUAAGUACAAAUAACAUAAGAUAUAUUAUAAUAGGGUAAAGCCAUAUGAAAUUACUUUGUGUCUCUGAGUUCAAGAUCAAGUUUCUUUGUGAUUUUGUUGUUAACAUCAUGAGUUUUCAUCUCAUUGAAACUAACAACCUGUCCAAGUACAUCUACAAAAUUAAGAAAUUAAUAUUUGGUUUUUGAUGAAUAUCUAUUAUUAAAAUAUGCAAAGAAUAAUAACUAAAAAUAAAAAGAAAAAUAUAUUACCAAUUAAGAUGUUUUCAUUCAAUCCUCCUUCAUCCAAAACAUCUUGAAAGUUUGCCAGAUCCAAAUAAAUGUCAUUAGAAAGAGGAGGAGUUCGAGUUAUUACAGUUUUUUGCAUCAUGGACAUUUUGAAACCAUGUUUAGUUGCACGGUAUUUUCCUGUUGACUUGGCUAGUGUAAAUUUCUCGAUAAUACGCCACUCCCCAGAGGUAAUGAACCUUUGCAGUUUGUUCAAUUGUUGCUUCUUAAUGGUAGCAUGGAUCAAAGUACCCUGAAUAUUGAAAAAUAAGUCAUGUUAAACAUACAAAACUAUGGUGUAUAUAUGAUACACGAUUAUUUGUAUAUAAGAAUGAUAUAGUUACUUACAGAGGUAUCAGCAAGAAUCAUUUCGACGGUUUCUCCAGUGUAUUGAGUGUAUUGAGUCCAAGAAUGGACAAUUUUAACUUGAAUUCUCCAUUCUGUUUUGAAAGGUUUGACAUCAGCAAGGGUGGUGAAUGCUAGCUCAGCUGCCAUUUUCUUAGUGGGAUUGUGUAGAGAAAGAGUGAAAGCUUGAGAAGGUGAGUUUAACAUAACAUUGGAUCAUAUAUUUAUACUAAUCGAAAUACGGCUAUAAUUUUCUAGGUUUUAGAGAAUUAUCGGGGAAGAGGAUAAAUGCGAAUAGAAUAUUUUAGGUAUAUAAUUGAUAUUAUGCUAUUUUUUGGGUAUGAUUUAGAACAAAUAUGGAUUUGAAAAGAUUUUAUGAUUUUAAAUAUAAAAAAAAAGGAAGUUAAUUGUUUUCGUUUAUAUGGAAAGAUUUUUUCAGCACAAGGAAAUUAUUUAAUUGCAUUUUAAUUGAUAGCAUCCCGGAGAUUUUGUGAUGAUUUAGAAAUUAUAUGGAGUUGUUUGGAUUUGGAAAAUUUUUGUAUCUUUGAUUAUGCAAAAUUUAAGUUGUGAUUGAUAUGGAAAUAGAUUUGAUUACGUGUUAUAAUAUUAGAAUAAGUUUAUCCUUAAUCGGGUUGAUUACGUGAUUACGGAAUAUUUUUGAAUAGGGUUGUUAUAUAGAAUAAAUGAUUUUCCGAAUUUUAAGUUGUGCUUGAUAUAAAAAUAGAUUUAUUUACGUGUUAUCUAACUAAUUUUCUGUUUAAUGUUUGUAGAUAUGUUACAUAAGGCCUGAUAUUAACAAUGGGCCAAUUAACAUAAAGCCCAGUUGUGUUUUACCGCAGAUGUAUCAGCGAUCCGUCUCAUUUACCAGAUAGAUAUCCGAUUCAAUCUCCAAGAUCCGCGUCCUUUUGAGUCCCAAUUGUCAAUUAUACCCCUCGACGAAAUUCUGUGUUUUCACUUGAAAUACUAAAAUUCUAAUGGCAUCUAUUGUAAUUAUUUACCCUUAGUGAGGUUAGAUAUUAUGUAAUCCUUCCCAAUUAAUAGAAUAGAUGUUGGGAUUAUAAUAUUUUAUUAAUUAUAAAAGAAUUAUUUUAAGUGUUAAUUUCUUAAAAGAGAUGAAUUGAGAAAAUUUUGGCUAAAUGAUUUUCUUUUUGAAUGCUAUAUGUUUUGUAGUUUUAGAUUUGAAAUUUUAAUAUUUAUAAGAAAAACUUUUGAAAAUAAAUUAAAAGAGAAAGUAGGUAAAUAGUAUACAAUGCCAGAUUGCAAUAAAAAUAAAGUAAUAAACAUAGAAAAACACGUGCUAAUAUGCAGAAUCAAAAAAAAAAAAACCGUCAAAACAUAAAAACGAACGAUGGACAUGUCUCCGAGUAAAAUAAGAUAAAACUGAUACUAAAAUUUUAAUCUUUGUGUUAUGCUAAUUUGCUUAGCCUGAUAUAUCAACUUGUCAACGUUUGGCAUUACCGUGUUGGGCUUAAUAAGUAAUAUUUUAGUAAAAGUUUAUAACUAAACUUGGCCUCCAUCAUUCACUCCCCAUGGGCCUAGUCAGCCUUUUACGCUAACAGAAGCAUAACCUAUAUUUUGUUUGUCUCAAACUCAAAGCAUGCAUGGACAAAACAGAGUGCAUUCAGAUAGGCAUGCCUUGCUUUGAGACUGAUUGUUCGGACAUAAUCAAGAGUAUGAUCGCAUAUGCAGAACGGCCAGUGUUCUCCUCUCAUUUGGUAAGAUUUCUAAUUUCUAUGAACUUUUAAGAUAUUAUGUGUGAUAAUUUUAGCACUCAUCGCGCCCGUAACCUUCAAAAACUAUACAAAUCCUCCUUCACAAACAUCAUUGGCUCAUUGCCAUUGAUGCCUCUCCAGCGGAUCUCCAUUUGGGCUAUGUAUCACCUCUCUUUCACACCGAAUAGUGAAAGGAGAAAUCUAUAUGUUUUUUUUUUUUCCUUUCUCAUUCUAUUGUGAAUCUCUAGUUACACAACACAAAUAAUAUAUGUUCAUAUUUUUUAUCCAACAAAAAUUUAUUUAAAAUUCAUCAUAGAAUUAAAGAUACUUCGAAAACACAAUGUUAUUUCGGAUCAAUUGGGGACUAAAAACAAUAAUAUAGAAUACUUAUCAAAAUCUUUUAUUACAUAUCUAGACAAAGCUUAAUUUUUGUAAUUGAUUUAUUAUAUAUUACACAGAAAAAAAAGCAUUUUUUUUAAAAAAAAAGUAUAGGUAAAUAUGGGUCUUAAACUAACUAAAUAAAACUUGUCCAUGGAGAAGCGCAACAAUGUAUUGCACAAUUUGCUAUUGAUCACUCCACAAUCAAUAUUCAAGUGCAUAGACCGUAACAUUUAAAGCAUCAUCACAUCGAGAAGAAUAGUCCGUUUCAGUUUCGCAAGUUAAUGAUAUUAUGGUUGCCAUGAAUUCUCCCAAGAGUUUUCUCAGAUUCUAUUAUUUUUUUGUUUUUAAUAUUUUUUGCCAAAAAAAUCAAUUGUAUAGGUUAAGUAAAUCUGUAAAAGCUGAUUAUUUAUUUCGAAUGAUAUUUAAAAAAAAAUAAAAAAAAAUAGGACCCAUUCGGGAUAUCCAUGGACAGGGGAAGGACAACUAAGUUUAAAUCAUGAAAGGUCAAGCUAUAUGAAUUGAGAAAAAACAAAAAAAAUUCAAUUAAUUAGUAAUACUUAAUACUUAUUUUUGAUAUAAUUAAAACUUAAUCGUUGUAAAGCACACGGACUCUUUAACUAAAUAUUUAAUUUAACUCAUCAAGUGUUGCGCCCAUGUGAUGUAAAAUUUCAUCCCUAUAAAUACACCAAAUGGUCCAAGAGCUUUCAUGCAUCAACACAUAAUACAUAUUCGCCUUAUAUAAUACAUAUUAGAAUUUUGUUUUUCUAAUUCUCGUCUCGGUUUUUUGAUCAAUGGCGAGAGUUAAUGUUUACCUUUUUGCAUUUAUCUUUCUUUUGACUAUUACUAUUGGUUCCAUUGAAGGCCGAACACUCACCAAGUCCACCGUAACGACGUCUGAGGAAAUCGGAGCUGAUGGCCCUGUGUUGCUGUCACCACCGGCUGAACCACUUGAGUCGCCGCCGAGCCACAGGGUUGAUACCUUCAGACCCACGGCACCUGGACAUAGCCCCGGUAUUGGACAUUCCGUACACAAUUAACGGAGAGGGAACAUCUAUAUAUUAAUGCUUUAUUUUAAAUAUUUUUGCCCCUUGUUGAAAAUAGGAUUGGGCUGUGUUAUCAUUUUUUUUCUUUUUCUGAAUAUGGAUAUUUAUCUCAUCUAUAUGUAUUUACGUACUGUUUCUUCAUAUUCAGUUUCUUGCAAGUGUGAUUCGAUCUGUGAUUGUAAUAAUUUUAGUUGAUUUAAUCAAGAUUUAUGUAAUAAUCCAUCUUCUUUUAAAAGAAAAAAAUAUUUUUAUCCUGUCCCUUUUCCCAUACUUUUUCUAUCGAGAUGUGUCAUUCGCUUGAACUGAAUCAAACAUAACUACAGGUAACUCUAAUCGCAAACCGAUCUAGGAGUAGAAACAAUUGCGAUUAAUUGUUUUUGACUUUAUAUAUGUCUUCAAAAUCCGUAAGUAGUCAAAAACUAUCUUUAAGAACCUAGUUUCAUUCCAUAUAUCCGUUUCGAAAUUUGAACAAGACAUUUACCUUAUUUUGCAUGGACAAAAACCUAAAGUUUGUAUUACGUAAUACUCCUUCCGUUCUUUAAUAAGUGAUGUUUUAAGCUUCUAAUUUUGUUCUUAAAUAGAUGAUGUUUUUCAGUUUUCAAUACAAAAUUAACUACUUUUUUAUUGGUUUUGACGAUUUAUAUUAUGUAGAUUGUUUUUUAUUGGUUGAUUAGAUAAUAAAUGAUGUUUUAGUUUAAAAAUAAACAAACAUUAAAUGAUUUCUUAAUCGACGUGCAUUCUCCUAAAAAUCACUUAUAAAAGAACGGAGGGAAUAUAUAUUAAACUCAAAGUCACUCAAAAACUUUAAUUGUUUGUAAAAAGGUUUAGACGAAAGUGAGUAUUUGAGAAAUAAGCAAUAUACUAAUUAAGUAAAAGAUGGGUGAUUAAGAAAAAAAAGAGACAAAUAAAGAAAGCUGCAAGCUAUAUUUCCAUUAACGGAAAAGUAAUCAUGUAUUUUUCAUUAGCAAAAAGAUCAUGUAUUUCUUCUAGCAAAAUUAUAUAUUUAUACCUACUACUUAAAAAAUAAAGAAAAUUAAAAAAUAUUUCCAAAAUACUAAUGUACAAUACUUAUAUAAAAACUAAUUAAGACAAUCAAUAACUGAAAAUGAAAAAAAAAACACUCAUAAAUUAACAUUUGGAAGCCAUAUCAACACGAGGGACCUAGGGUCCGUGAAUGAAGAAGGCUCGGGAAUUUCACAAGAGCAUGAAAUUACAUGAAACAGUCUAGUCUCCUUUAAUUUAUUGUAGAAAUGCACAACUUGAGCUUGAAAUGGUAGGUAAGCUCUACCUAUACAUGUGGUAUUUCUCUAUAUAUUUGUAAAAGCUAACUGUACAAAAAGAAACCAAAUAUCAUAGGAUUUAUUAACUGAAUGGUCUCACGUUAUAUUGGACCAAAAAGCGUUAAGUACAAUGAUAAUUAAACAUAAAAUAGAAAAAUAAAGUUAUUCAGAUGGUGAGUGAGAUUCGAGUAGUGUUUGAAAGAUUCUCUAUCUAGCAGCUAUAAAUAUUUCGUAAGCUUCAACAACCAGUACAAUUAUUGUAACAAUCUGGUUUCAGAAAUAUGGUGGUGCAUGCGGAGAAGUUUAAAAAAAUUGAUUUGACCACAUAUGUCACCAAAGUGCAUUUAUCUUUUCGGUCAACUGUCCUGAGAGAACUCCACAGUAAAACGUGCUUGGGCUGGAGUAGUUUCAGGAUAGGUGACCUUCCGAAAAGUGAUUGUCGGAACUGUGUGAGUGAGGACAAAACACAUGAAAAGAUUAUGUGGUGAUUUGUAGAGUCGGUAAACAAGUCUUUAAAGCCUUGCGGACGUAGCGGACCGACUGUCGGACAAGGGUAGGCCCAUGGGCCCGAGAGAGGACAUGAGACCCACUGGUAAAGACGGUCGGGGUGUUACAAUUACAAAUUGUUCGUUGUAAUUAUUAAUGGAAAAAAACUCGAAAAAGCCGUUAUCUAAUAAUAGGCGAAGACAGUUUAUUUGGCUGUUUAAUAUUUAUAGUUUUGAAAUUGGAAUAAAUAUAUUCCACUAUACAUACUCUAAUAUUAAAUUGUUUUUGUACUUUGUAUUUAAAUUUCCAAUUUCUUUUGAUUAAGAAAUCAACGGUAGUAGAUGCACGACAGCCUUGCAAAUCAAAUUUAAUUCACAAAUAUAUAUGAGUUUGUUUGGUGGCGCAUGAGCUUAUUAUAAACUAAACCUCUUCUAUGGCCUCCUCUUCAUUUCGAGUAGCCAACUAAUUUUUUUUUCUUCUUCUUUUUUCUUAUAAUCAUUAGGAUUUUAAUCUAUGAAUAAAGAUUGCAUUAAGUAAUAGUGGUGUACAGAAACUAAGUGGGAUCCAUUCAAGGUACUUCCGAAAAGGCAGGAGCCAAUUAAAAUAGAGUUUAGAUUCCACUGCACUGGCUCGACAAAAUAUAUGCAGUGUAAUAAAAGGUGCACACGGUUGAAAAAUUAAAAUGCAAUUUCUUACACCCAUCAUAUUCUAAUCAGUGUUUUGACGCCCGAUCCGAACCGUCCGGUCCGACCGGUUAAACCACGACCCAUACAUUUUCCGGUUUGGGUUAAUAUCCGCCAAUUUCAAAACCGCAAAAACCCACAAAAACCACUAUUAACCCGCGACCAGUGAACCGGUUGAACCGGCUGGAUAUGGGUUUUAAAAAUAUCAUUUGAUUUUAGAAUAAAAUAUAGAGUUUUAGACUCUAUUUAGUUAUUUUUAGAAUUUUUUUUAAUUCUUAAACUCAUUUGAUGUUUUAGAUUUUGAUGAAACUUCACUGUACCGUCUAAGAAGAAUGGAUGGAAUGGUGAAAGAAAUAAUCGAUAGUUGUUUUGAAUUCGCGAUGGUAUAUUAGUUUAUUUCCGUCAUUGGCGAUCUCCUACUAUUUUAAUAUUUGUUACGGUUUUAGACUUUUACUUGGAUUUAAAAAUUUAAUUUGAAUCACUUUAUUAUUAUUGUUUGACUUCAUAUUUUGUAAAUAUAGUUUGAAUAUUUUAUUUUUAUAUUUAUAAAAACUAUAUAAUCUCUUUAAAUAUUAAAUAUAUUAAAUAUAUUUUAAUCAAUUAACUCGUGGUCGAACCCGGUUGAUCCAAUGACCCGGUGACCCAGAAAGUAGUCCGGUUCACUAUCUAACAGUUUAAAAAUAUAUAGAUAAUGGAUAAAACAGAAAAUUUAAUUGUGCAAAAACCUUAAAAAUACUUAUUAUGAAAGAGAGGAAAUGUGUUACCAAGCGGCAGACUUUUGAAAGUUUAUUAAUUAGACUUUUGAAAGCUAUAAACGAAUCUGUCAUAACGUAAAAAGAAUAUGUUGAAACACGCAACAAUAAUGUUCUCACCGUACGUCUUUGUAGCUAUUUUUUUUUAACUUUAACAAAUUUGCUAUCACACGAUUAUAAACAUGUUGUAACUAUCUUCAAAUAAGUCUAUCGACUAAAAUAAGUCUGCAAAAGAAAAUUUGUCAUGGACAAAUAAAUCUAUCACGAUUAGAGUUUGAUUUGCCAUGCUGAAAUAUAAUUUACGCGUAUUUUUGACUUUUUUUAAAGAAAAAAAAAAGUAUUUUAAACAUGAAAAUAACCCAACUAACCAUUACAUUUGAUGAGUUAGUUUAGUAAUUAAACUUUUAAUUUGUGUCAAUCUAGUUUUUUGCCUAAGAAAAAAAAAACAAACUAAGAUACAUAUGAAAUUAUAGCGAAAUAUAAAGUCAAAAUUAUAAAAUUAUUAUAAUUUAUUGGUAUACUAUAUAUAUAUAUAUAUAUAUAUAUAUAUAUAAAAUUAUAGCGAAAUAUAAAGAUAUUAAGGGACAAUGAUUGUAUGCAAGAUCCAAUAGACAGCAACCUGAUGCUUAUUUCCUUAUAAUUUUUAGGAAGUCUCAUGCUUAUGAGCUUCACUAAUUUAGGUCAUAAAACUCUAGCUUUAGACUUUAGUCAUACCAACUUAUGUGAUCUCUUGUUUUCGAAUUUCAAAAACCAUCACAUCAAAAUUUACAAUGUGAUUGCAAAUUUUUGGUGAAAUUUCAAAUGGUAAUGAAUAGGUUUUUAUUAGAAACCUUGAAAAUAUUAUUUUAGUUAAAAUAGUAGGAUGUCUAGAGUUUAGGAUGGUUAUUGAUUUCAGAAUGGCUUUUCUAGUAAAAAAGUUGUGAAAUUUAUUAAUCAUCCCGUCAUCCGGACUCUUUGCUAGCAAAGUUUGCAAAAGGUCGCUAUUAUCUAUAAUCGAUUUAAUACAUAUCUUUGAUAGAAAAAAAUGACAUACUGAAUCAGAAUUCUCAAAUUUAGUAUAGAGAAGAUUUGGCUACUAUUUUCUUAAAUCGGGAAUAUACUUGUGAAAUUGUGUUACUGGAUAUAGAGAAAUUAAAUAUUUCCAUGAGAGAGACAAUUACAAGGACCAAAUAUAUUUUCAGUACAUGUACAAGCGCAAGUUUUGAAGUUUAGAUGUUUCUUUAAAACUAAAUCAUUUUACAUGGCAAAUAAUUUUUGGAUUAUGUAUUUUGGAUAAAUUAGAUGUAGAAUGGGUUAUUUUCAACGGAAAACAGGAAUCACUAAAUUAGAUGUUUGUUGACCUUCCAAAAAAAUAGCAAUCGCUAAAUACAGUAACUCACUCAUAGAGUGAGGUUUUAGGUUAGAUAUAAACCCAAAAAGUUGAGAUGAUACCUCAGAAAAAUGAAAACCUCUAUCUCACUUCACAUGGUAAUGGAAUAAUCUGUUAAACUUAUGUCUGAUGGAAACAAGAUGUCUCUGUUUUGGGAUUAGUAUGGUUUCUAGGAUCCAAACCGGCAAAUUUGCUCAUUGAUUGGAAUCACAAACUUACUUCCCAUAUAAACUUAUCGCUCUUUUAUCCUUAAAAAGUCGUUUUUGAUGGGACGACUAUAACUCAGCUAUGUGAUUCAUGUACUAUCCCAACUUAUGCAGACGAAAGUAUCACAUUGGAAGGCCUUGUUUUGUGUGGUGUCAUUCUUAGAGAGGUGUCGAUGUCAAAUGCUCUUAUUAUGAUAGUUGUUUAUAUAUCCAAUUAUUGUGAUUUGGAUUGGACUGUUAUCAAAACGGUUCCUCAAAAUUGUAUAUAGUAUUAUUUGGUGAUUUUCCUAGCUAUAUCAUGCAUAGAAGACAAAGAAACUUUGCACAAAAAAAAAAAGAAAAGAAGACAAAGAAACAAAUGACGGCGUCACGCACAAUAUUGGCAGUGUGUACAUGAAAAUUUAAACGGAUGAAAUUCGUUAUUUACAACGUUUCAUUUCAAACCAAAAAAAUUACUAAUUAAAAAAUUUUAGUCUAGUAAAUUAAUUCGUCAAAAUCAAAUAAUUGGGAGUUUUUUAGUCUAGCAAAAGAAUGAAAAAGAGAAUAUCAGACAGAGAGGCAAAACUAACAUGCAAAUGCUUACAACUUUCCCUGAAUAUCGAACAUUUUAUUGCGGCGAGGCUGAACAUUAAUAUUAACCAUCAAUUAAUAUCAUAAAUACUAAAUAUAUAAACAUAUACGAUACCAUUUCAAACUUUUUUCUAGCGAAACCACCACAACUUUUCAGUUUUCACAUGUUUAUGUCUCAUCUUUUCUUAAAACAUUAUUUCACUUUGCAUUAUAUUCUCACGUAUGAAUUAAUUACUAUCAUUUUACUUGUUCUUGGAUAUGCAUUCAUUGCCUCUUUAGCUGAAUUUUAUAAUUCUGCAGUGAAGAAGAUAGUUUUAUACUUUUAUAUAUAUAAAUAUAUAUUUUUUUGUAAAAUAGUUUCUUAUAUUUUCAAUCUAUAGGCAUCAACUACUCUGCUUAAACCCACAUCUAGAUUCACAUCGAAUAACUAAUUAAGAACAAUGUCAAUAUGUCAUUCAAAUAAAAUCAUAUACAAACAACAAUUUUCCAAAGUUUAAUGGUACGAGAAUAAAAUAUUUACCUAUAUAAUAAAUAAAAGUCCUAGAUUACAAUCAUGGGGUCUUGCAUGCUCCACGAACAGUAAAGGUACGGUCGUUUUCCAUCAAUAUACUUAAGACAUCGGAAUCAAUUGUUUAAGUCCACUUUGUCUUUAAAUAGCCACAGAUUCAACCUCAAAAUCUAAAUCAUUAUUAAGCAUUUCAUAACACAUUUAUCAUAUAUAUUACUACUACUCAGGAUCAAAGACUUUUAAACCUAAGUAAACAAAAAAUAUAUUUAUUUAUAUUUGUAGUUUGGAUAUGGCAAAGACUCGUCGUGUAGUUUACCUUUUCCUCAGUAUUCUCCUUAUCUGCGAAAUCAUCGACGAGGCGCAGAGUAGUCGUUUAAGGUGUCAUCAUCGAGAAGAUUAUUCAUGUAAGAAACGUUCAAGCCAUCACCAUCAUCAUCAUCAUCAUCACAAGGGCACUCUCAGUGAACCAAAUCUUCGAGGAAGCAAUAGCAUCAAGGCGAGGAGGAGCAAGGAUAUAUAUGGCCUCGAUGCUUUCCGGCCUACCGCACCAGGUCAUAGCCCCGGUGUUGGCCACUCUAUCAAGACCUGAGAAAUUUGAAUAUUAUUAAUCUUGAUUAAUUUCUCCCACUCUUUUUUUCCUUUGCCUACAUUGGUCCAUUGACCAAAGGUUUUUCACCUUGGAGACCUAAUGCGGUUUAUGAGUCAUGCUGUUUUCUCCUAUUGUAAAUACUAGAUUGUGGUUUAGUCUCUUAAUAAUAGUUUUGGCUUCGUAAUUUAUAUUUUCAUUGUUAUCUUGCGGUUCUAAAAUUUACAAGAUGUUAUUUAAGAGAAAUACAAAAAAAAAUUAUAUUUUUGAUACUAUAGGCUUAUGUGUAGAUAGAUGAUCUUUAUUAGGAUCUAUUUAAUGGUUUCAAAAUUUGCGUUAAUGGAAAAAAAAUAUAUAAAGGAUUUUCAUCUACAUAUACUUUAUUCCCUCCGAUAUUUUUUGUCUUGACGUGUACAACUAGUGUUAGAAUUAGGCACUUAGUUAGGCUAAUUAAAUAAAAAUAUAUAUAAAGGAUUUUCUGUGAAAGUUUUUUGGUCUAUUGGUUGAACAAAAGUUAAUUAAUAUUUCUACAUUUAGAGGUUUAGGGUUCGAGUCCCAGAUAUAUUAAUAAAUUUGCAGAUUAUUGAAGGCAAGUGUAUAGAAGAUCUCCAACGAUGUACAAUAACAACCGUUCGCUAGGAUUCUAUACAGAGAAGGAAGUGUCCAUCAAAAACCAUGAAAAAUGAGGUGAAAAAGGUGAGCAUGAAGAAGGAGGUGAAGAAGGUGAAAGAGGUCGUGGAUCUUAUUGGUCGGAAGGAAUUGUCCGUUGUAGAAUCGUCUGUGUAACAGUUCUCAUAAUUUGCAAUAAAUAAUAAAUCCAGAAGACAAAAAAAAAAGAUUUUCAGCUAAGUAAAAUUUUAGAACGUAAAUUCCGUUUAGUUAACUGUUACAAAUUGUAAGUAGUAAAUAGAUAUUUGUUUUAUCAUUUAUUAAUUAAUUAAUAAGAAAGUAUAUUGCUUACAUCCUUCCCUUGGAUUAUGAUAAAUGGUAAGAAAAUAUCUUGCAUACAUCAACAUCCACAAAAAGAAAAAAGUUAUAAAAAAUCUGAAGUUACACAAUUCAAAAUGAUUGAUUGUGUGCAAAUAAUCUAUAAUAGGAUCCACAAAAGGAAGGGCGUGUAUCAAAAGCAUAUAAAAUAUCUAACUCGAGUAAAAAAAUUAUAUCUAAUAAAAUUCUUAAAGAUUACGAGAAAAUUAUAAAAUGAAACAUAGAGAAUCUAAGAAAUGCAGGCACCGUUCAGGACAGGUUCAAAGGUGUAGUAGUAGUUUAUGAUUUAUUGGCCUCUAUUUUCUUAUGUAAGCAAAAAAUAAUAAAAUAAAAAUAAAUAAAAUUUUAAGAAAUUAGCUAAAAAUCAAAUUUAAAAAACAAACCAAAAUGACUAUUGACAACAAAAAGGAUUAGAUGAAAUAUUAUUUUUUCCUAGAUUCUCUUAUAUAUUAGAAGACAACCGGUAUCACCUUGUUUAUUUAUAUAGAUUUAUAUGAGUAUAUUUACAUUUUCCUAGACUGUAUUUCACUACAUAAAAUUAAUACUGCACAAACAUUUUUAAAAAUGCCACAAAAAAAAAUCAGAACAUUCAAGGAAAUGAUCAAACAAUAUAUUUGGGUGUAAAGUGUUUUCGGAGGUGUCCCUCCGUCCUUCACUCGGAAAUGGAAGUUCUAUUAUGAGUUAUAAAGAAUAUCUUUUCAAGAAGGAUUGACUGUUAAAUAAUGAUCGAUUGUCAGGCGUUUGAACAGAUUGUACAGAGUUAGUCUUGAUGGUAUAGUCUCAUUAAGAAUCGUCUGCUUUCUACAAUCUACUAAAUGAAUUUGGAAUGUUCUGUGUCUUCUUUCUUUUUUUCGAUUUCUUCUAUUUUCCUUUAAUAUUUUUUAAAGACGAUUUGUUUAGCUCGAUCUUCUAAAUUAUUAUUUUCUGAAAUCAUGUUUGUAAUCUCUUUUCCUUCAUAUUGGAUAACCAAUCAAGAAAUUAGCUUUCAACUAAUAUAUGGUUGACAAAAAAAAUAAAACAAAAUAUUUAAAAAGUGUUUUGCAGUCCUUAGAGCCUAUACAAACUCGUGUCAUUUGAUAUAAAGUCAAAUUAACAAAAUAAGAAAAUAUAUAUAUGAAAUUGUAAUUCCAAUAUAUUUGUAGUCUAGAUUCUCUUGUAUCAUUUUUACACUAUAGUGGUUUAGUUUAGACACGAAACGCACUCUGUUUUCGUAGAUAUUGAAAAGAAGUUACGAUUAAUUCUUCAACGUGUAAUGUAAACUUGAUGACAAGAAUAUAUUUUAGGAUCAAUGUAGUGUUUUCUUACAUCAACUAAUAAGUGUCUAAUUAGUAGCCUGAAAAUAUAUUUAUAUUGUUUUUAUUAUUUAGAUAUACAGUAGAACCUCUAUAACUUAAUAAUAUUGGGACCAUGAUAUUUUAUUAAUUUAUAGUGAUAUUAAUUUAUAGAAAGUUUUGUUUCAAUUGAGAAAACUUUAUUAAAAAAAUACGAGAUAAAAUAAGAGAAUAUGCAUCAACUAACCAUGAAUAUGAAAAGAAUUGAGAAACUAACCAUGAUGUCAGAAGACACACUCUCUCCUCAAUUACAAUUACUUUUAUACCCAUUUAUUUAUUACAUGUUAUUUUUAAAAUUCACACAAACACUCACAUGAUUAUGUGAUGAAGAACUUCCAACGAUUAACGACUACGACACCGCAUUCUUCUCCUUCUCGAGACGGAAGAACGACGACCACAAUAAAAUCAUUAUUACUAAUUUAAUCUACCAUUAUCAUCAUCACCCACCACAUUCUUCUCCUUUUCGCGACGGAAGAACGACGACUACAACAAAAUCAUUGUUACUAUUUGUGAGUACGACACCACCAUCACCACUCGCGACGAACACCACCACCGCUUCUUCCAAAACCAUCAUCACCUCCGCCAUAACCACCUUUCUCACGGCUACCACUACCACUGUAUACAUCUGAUCUGUCAAAGAUCACUCAUUUUCUAUAUUUUGGUCAUGGUUGUUGUGAGAAUGAAUAGAUUUUGUAAAAUUUCACGUUAUUUUUUAAUAUUAAUCGAUAUUUUUUUUGUUUGACACGCUAUUAUAAUAUAUAUCAUGUUACUAAUUUGUUUCGCACGGUUCCUUUUCAAAUUAAAUGAUAUUUAUUUAUAUAUCAUGCUAUUUUUGCAAAAUGUACAUUAUAAAAUGUCACUUUUUUGAUAAAUAUCGUGUUAUUUUAAUAUGUUUCACGCGAUUUGUUGAAAUUUUUCAAAUCUAUGACUUUUUCUUCGCAUAAACUUGCUCAUGGUUCAACUUUUCAAAUGAAAUGAUAUUUGUUCAUAUAACAUGCUAUUUUGAAUAACUAUACGUUAUAAAAUGUCACUGUUUUUAUAAAUAUCAUGCUAUUUUAACACGUUUCAUGCGAUUUGUUGAAAUUUCUCAAAUCUAUUACUCUUUUCUCCGCAUAAGCUUGCUCAUGGUUCAACUUGCAAGGACAUUUUUGUCUUUUAAUAUGCCGUCAUAUGGUUAGUUACCUAUAAAAAAACUGACAAUGGUUAGUUUCUUAAUUUUGACUCAAAAUUUGGUUACUUUGUAAUAUUACCCAUAAAAUAAUGUGAUCUAAAUAAAAAUAAUGUUUUGGAUGUUAUAAAUUUUAUAGUCUUACCCUUAAACACUUAAUAUUUCAAAGAGAAAAUAAUUUAUUUUGACAACGAAUAACGACGAUUAUAGAAUUCUCAAUAUACAAACGAUAUACAUAAAUUAAAAUCCACAAAUAGUGACAUCCAUUGUUUUAUUUUAAAAACCUGUACGACUAUUAAAACAAAAAUUAUGCAUAUUCAAAAUUUGAAAACUUAGACAAACUUUUGGUUAUUUUUAAGAAAAACACUAAAACUAUAUAUAUAUAUAUAUAUAUAUAUAUAUAUAUAUAUGCAAAUUUACUUUAUUAGUAAUUUAUGAUAUUAUUGGGACUAUAUUUUUACAUAGGGAUUCCAAAAAACUUAUUAUCUUAUUAUCUAAUCGAAUUUGGUUAUUUUUUACAUAGGCCCGACUCGGGACUGACCAAAUUUAUUAAUUUAUCGUGUUUAUUAAUUUAUCGAGUAUUAAUUUAUAGAAGUUCUACGGUAUAGAGAAUGUUUAUUGUAUAUCUUGGGCCAAUGUGCAGUUUAAUUAAUUAUAUAAUAUUUUCUAAAAAGAUUAUGAUAAAUGUCAGCAAAAAAGUUACCUCAGCGAAAUCAUAGUGGAAUAUAGACUUUUUGGUGCCGUGAUGGAUUGAGUAACGAUUUCUAAUAUUUUUCAGAAAUCGUACCUAAUAUUAAAAUCUGGUUCCUAUCUAUUUCCGUAGGAUAUAUCAUCAGAUAGUACAAAAAUGCAAUUAUUGCCAUUUUUUUCAAUUAUCUUAGGUUUUCUUUACAAGUAAUCACUAAACUUGCCAUCUUUCGUAUUGACUAGUGUUGUAUGAGUUAUGACUCAAAUAUUUAGUGUUGACUAGUCAGAUUAUACUGACCGACAAUAGAAAAAAAAGGAAUGAUUUUUUGUUUGAAAAAAAAAUGACUGUAGUCUUAAUGAAGAAGUAUAUAUACGGGUAUUGGAACUCCUCAAUUAAACGAUGAUAAACCGAAUAUAACUGACUAAGGUCAUACGUUGAAAAAAAAAAAAAAAAACAAAACUGACUAAUGUCAUGUUCCUUUGUUCAUUUGGGAUAUGCAUCCAAAUGAUCCAUCCAAAUGAUCUAUAUGGAUAACUCUUCUAGAUGAUGUUCGUUUGGAUUUCUGGUGAUUCAUUUGAAUGAUCCAUCUAUAAAUGUUUUUGGUUAAAAUUUUGUUUAUUUGGUUAAUUAUAUUCUCUUCUAUAGUAAACACAAAUAUAAUAAGUAUGUUGUAAUAGCUCCCAAUGGUAAUGGUAGAUCAUUUAAGCGACAAGAAUACCAAGUUUUUAACAUGUCUCAGUGAUUAAUUGAAUUUCAAUUAAAAAUGUUAUAAACUUUGCAAGCUUAGUAUAUAAUACGCAAUUAAUAGCAUAUGUUAUCACAUUUUACUAUAUAAUACAGUGGAAAAAAAUGUGAAAUUUCAUUAAUUCUAACAAGAGGUCCUUCCUAAAUUUCAGGAAUGGUUUGAUGAUUAAAAAGUUUUUUUUUCUAAUAACAUAACGUUUUGGUCAAAUUUGUUGACUAUGGCCUAAUGCAACUCUAUAAUUAUUUUGUUGUUUGGGCUCCUACUCCACAUAGUAUAAAUGGCUAACUAAAAAUUCAUUACCAACUUAUCAGGCAAUAAUAGCUGAAAACGCGUUUCAAAUCUAAUCAAAACAAUUUAACAUUACAUAAUCUGUUUCUUAAGUCAACCAAAACCAACCAUAUAAUAUUUAACCACUCAUUUAAAAAAAAAAAAAACUUUUUAACCAAACCUAUGUUUAAUAAUUCUUUUUUUUUGAAAAAUUCAAUAAAUUUGUUUUCCUUUCACAAACGCAGUUUAUUCAAAAACUAAUUUUCGCUCUUGAACAUUCCGUGCAAAUAAGUCCGCUUUGUUAUUCCUCUCUCUCCCUCUCUCUCUCAAACUUGGUGAUUAAGGAUGAAAUUAAGAUAAACCUCUAUUUGAUAUGUACGAAUAGCCUUAGAUUAGAAGAUUCUUACUAAAAUUUAUGUGGUACAGAUUCAAAGAUCUUGUUUCAAGAUCGUUUACAUUAUAACUCAUGUAUAAACCUGUUUUCUGCAUUGGUAAUCUCUCUACUUAGCAUUAUAAACACUGAACGAUUGUGAAAGCUAAACAAAAGAGGGACUUAUAUAUAAACAAGAAAGUGGUAAAAGUGUUUUGAGAUCUCAUUAUCACCUUGGAAUGUUACCGAGCAAUGUAUUUGUAGAAGGUGAGCUCUGUGCACUUAACCAAGGAUCUUGAACUGAGAUGGGUGAGCUAUCGCUAAUCUCUUCAACGGAAGCGAGGUUAUCCAGUUGUUUCUGAGGGAUAACGACUCUUCUGCUUCCUGUUGAUGAUUGUUUAACUGAUCUUUCGCUUCCUCUAUCAGAUGACCGGAGAGAACCGGCUGGUGAAUCCAAGCUCAUGUGUGGAAUCCAACCGUUGAGUCGUAUCUGUUCGAGCUCGUCUGCUACUUCAGUCAUUGUCGGUCUCAUGUCGCUGUGGAAGGCUAAGCAUCGAAAUGUGAGCUCAGCCACUGUGUGUAUUGAUGAGAGUGUCCAUGCGUCGAGAUCCAGGUCAAGAAUCGGGUCUAUAAUCUCAUCUAUACAACCUGACCCGAUUUUGUCAACAGCAAGAGCUGCUAGGUUGAUUUCGGUGUGUGGGCGUGUGAAAUCAACGACUUUCAAUCCCGUUAUAAUCUCGGCAAGGACAACCCCGAAACUGUAGACGUCGCUUUUAUCAGAAAGAUGGAAGCAUUGAUGGUACUGUGGGUCAAGGUAACCAGGAGUCCCUUGAGGAGCCGUUGAUAUGUGAGAAGAUUCCGUCAUUCCCAGUCUAGAGAGUCCGAAGUCCGCAACUUUGGAGUUGAAAUCAUAAUCUAGAAGGAUAUUGGUAGAUUUUAUGUCACGGUGAUAGAUUGGUGGGUUCAUUGCAGAGUGGAGAUACGCAAUUGCUUUAGCAGUUUGAGUGGCAACAGUGAGGCGUAAGGUCCAUGGAAGACCGCUCCCUCUAUCUCUCUGUAGAUGUUCUGAUAGAGUUCCAUUCGGCAUGUACUCAUAAACGAGAACUGGAUCGCCUUGUUCUAUACAGCAUCCUAAGAGACGAACAAGAUUUGGGUGACUUACAGAGGAAAGAAGCUUGAUCUCAUUCAUGACUUGGUCAAGACUUUCUGAAUCUCUGUGUCUGAGUCUUUUGAUAGCAACCCAUUCAUCAUUUUGGAGCUUUCCUCUAUAGACCGUACCGUAUGCACCUACUCCUAGCUGCUGCUUUUCAGAGAAACCAUCUGUCGCUUUCUCGAUUUCCUUGUAAGGGAAAAAGGCGACACUUGAGUUUCCUGCAGCUUCAGACAAAAGCCGCUUUGCGCUUAAAUGGCUUCUCAAAGGAGUAGACCGUCUCCGCUUACAAAAGAACAAAAGAGCCAAGCCAGCUAGCAAAAACGCUCCACCAACAGUUCCUAUAUAUAGCAAAUAAAUAAACCUAGUCAAAGAUCCAUAAAGAACAAAACUUAAAACGCCAAACAAACACUAAAGCAACCAUUACCUCCUACAAUAGUAAUAAGAUUAGAUCUACAAUGUCGCCAGACGAGCUUGGAACCACGGCAGUCCGGUAGGGCUGCAAAGAGUAUAGAGGAAACCAGUUAGCAAUGCGAAUUUUGAAAACAAGAGACGAGAACAUCCUCUAUCACUCUUCAGACAUUUAAAGAACUAAUAAUCUAUAUAUUCUAAAUGACAGAUUACAACCACUCACACCUCAAUCCACGAUUAUUUUUACUUCUUGGCCUUGACUACAAAUGUUGAAACAAAUACUAUAGAUUGACUAACCUCUCUGGCACGCCUUGAUGAAUCCGUCUCCAUGGUAACCCGCAAGACAUGAGCACCGGUAUCCCGCAUAUCCAUGAGGAGUAUCAACGUCUGUACAAUUGGUGUUAACCGCGCAAGGACUGUUUUUGCAACUUCCUUUUAACCACCAACCUAACCUAACUCGCUCAAACUCUAGCGCUAUACCCGCAUUCAGACCUCCAGACUCAAAAGCUAUCGAAGAAAACAACAAACUACACGAGCUGUUCCUCAAUUCCUUCAUACUGAAAAACUUAGCUGAAUUUUUCGAACUUGAAUUAGUAUCCAAGGAAAAACAACUAAUGUUUCCCUUCGAAUCGCAACUUUCCAGAUUCAGCACAUUCUCCAAGAACUUCUGCUUGAUAGAGCAUCCAUCAGUUGUAUUCACACAAUCCUCCAUUAGGAAACUAUUCUCCGACGUCGGUGCGAAAUGCUCGCCGAAUAGCGGUCUCAUAUCUUCAAUCUUCCGAGUGCAAUUGUGAGGGAGACCGACAAAUAUACCGUCUUCCGUCACGUUUUGGACGGAAAAGUCUCCGAUCAUCGGUUUCUCCACCGCAGAGCAAUCGAAUUGGAUCCGACAACCGUUUGAAAAUCCGAAAGGAUAUGGCAGAGUCAAUCCACCGCAUCUUCCGUUACAAGGUUCAGUGAAAUUAGCCGCGGAGAAAGAAACAGAUCCUCCGAUUACGAUUAUGAUCACCAAAAUCAAAUUCAAGUUAUGAGAAAUCAUCACCAUCUUCGUUGAACGUUGAUUGAAAAUCGAUCUCAACAUUCAUCACCUACCUGAAAACAUAAGAAAACUCAGAAAACGACCAUGGAUCAUUCAAUUCUCCAGUGAAGCUAAAACCCUAAGACCUCGAGACCAGUUGGAAUUAGUUGAGCUCCAUUAAAAGCUCUCAAGCUCCCCAACGGUACACACCAAAAUAAAUACACAUAGAAACGAGAGAAAGAGAGAGAAAAACUGAUUCCUCCAUUAAUGGCCGAAAUUAUAGACUCUAAUUAGGGUUUAGAAAAAUUAAACUAAAAAUUCAAAAUACCUUUGUUCUUCAUCUUCAUCUUCUUAGAUUCGAUUUCAGUUAAUUCCAGAACUGUUAUUUGAUCGUUUUUAGUGAUCUCCGGCGAAGAAAUUGAUUGCUGAUGAUCGGAAAAUCGAAACUCCGGUGGUUUUUUACCUAAUUGCGAAAUAAUAAUCAGAGUAAUAAAUUGUUUUGAUUAAAGACGAAGAAGAAGAAGAUACGUACGUGCCCAGUGGAUGUCUUAUUUUUUAUUUAAAGACGAAUAAGCCCUUAGGAAAAAGCGUGGGAAGAGUUGAAAUGACGGAUAUACCCUUUUUAUGGUCAACGAGCAAUUGGGAUAUCUUUGACCGGGUUUGAGUUCUUUUAUUCUUUAUCUAUUGAUGAUGCGUGUGUGAGUGGACAGCAUAACAAUUGCUCAAAGUCGCUUUGUUUUUAUUACUAUUAAAAAAGAAAAAAUUACUACGUAUUAGAAUAUACACUUUUAUUGAAUCGAAUAAUACUGUUUUUUUUUGUUUGGGUCAAUAGGUCAACUAGAACAAAAUUGAUGCAAAUUUAGGAAAAUAAUAGUAUGUCGAUUGAAAACAUUGGAUCAUUAUAGUGUUGAACUUCAAAAAUAUCUUAUUAACAUACUGUUUGUGAUUGUGAUUAUUCUCCUUUUUCGUGAGAUGAAAUUUGAUUAUAUAUCAUAUUAUAUAUAUACAAAUUUAAUCAUAUAACAUAUUGUUCUAUGUUUUUCUUAUAACAUUAACUCAUUCAAGUAAUUUGUGUUUAUUCUAAGAAUCCAAAUAGUAAUAUUUGUGAAAAUAGAUCUAAUUUAUAAUAUAAUGAUGAGAUUAUUCAAUUUAUAAAAAGAAAUAUGGCACAAAAUUUAGAAAUGAUACUAAAGAAAAAGAAGAAACAUAAAAGAAAUAAAAAAGAAGUGUCUCUUAACAAAAUGGUUAACGUUUCAUCCAUGUGGUCUUUUUACCCGAAUUCGAUUUUAUUCGGAGUAGUAAAAAUUGGAUUAUGGAUUGGGUCUUAUAGGAUAAUAUUCAAGAAAAAAACAAAAAUUAAUCGCCCGAACCAUUACAUUAGUACAAAAAAAUUAUAAUGCAAAUGGUAGCACAAUUUGAAAUUAAAAAAAAAAUGAACUGAAAAACUAUUUUACUAAUUUUCACCAUUUAAGAUGAAAAAAAUUGAAAUGUUAUUUAUUUUCACAUAAUCAUUUGCACCGUUAAUAUAUUGGUCGAACAAUAUAAUUUUUUGGUUGGAACGUCGAACAAUAUCUUUAGUAUAUUGGUGGUUACAUUUAAGAGUACUGUAAUAAGCAAACAGAGUAGUUACGUACAAUAGUUGUUGAACCGCUCAAACCAUGAUUUGUGUUAUCUAACCAAAUUUGGUCUUUUGUGCAUCUUGUCCUAACAAAAAUAAAACUACUUUUUCAAUAACCGGAUAUCAAAUGGCUGGAUCAAAAUCUUUGAGCAUUAUCCAACUAGAGAUUGAUAAACUUGUUUUUAACUGUACAAAAACAUUCAAUUACUUACAAGAUUCUAAUUUCACAAUCUUCUCUUUGGUAAGCUCAUCAUCCCCAUAUAUAAUCCAAGUGAAGACAGAUGAGAUGUAUGAAUCGAUCUUUUUCUCAUUUAAGUAAUAUCUAGUUUUCUUGAAUUAUUUUUCAACAUUUCAUUUCUAAAAUCUAGAACUCUUUGGGUUGACAUCCUAAAGCUUUUGAUUCAUUCUCCUUGAUUUAACAAAUGGUUUGCCUUAGGUUUUAUAAUUUCCAUCAAAGGUGUUUAUAAAGGCAAAUAAUUCGAAACCAAAAACAAAAUACGGUAAAAUACUCUAAAAAUCAAUGUAAUGCAUAAAAACAAAAUAUGAAAACGAUUUUUAAAUAAGCUAAAAGGUAAAAAGCAUAAACACCAGUUAUAUUAAAAUUAUUAUUACAAUUACAUUUUAAAAAAUACCAAGUGGUUAUGGAUAGAGUUUUUUUUUUUGAAAGAAAAAAAACACACUAAGACCAUACACAGUGGGGCAUUUUUCACCCGGGUGUAAGGAAUAAAAAAACGGAAAUAAGAGAAUAGUGAGCCUGGAGUCGGAAGUCGCGUGUUAGUUUACAUCCGGGUGUAAGUGUCAGCUGUCAAAGUUUGGUUGGUUCCAAUUUUGUUAUUGAAAAAAUGAUUUUUAUUUGUUGGGGAAAAACAAAAUCGAUUCCUUCUCUUCCUCCUCUCUCGAGUCUCGUCUCUCAUAGUCAACUCUUAUUACAUAGUUUCUAAACUAAACCUCUAACAUUAUUUUACUAAUUUAAUUUCCCUAACAUCUAUCCUCUAACUUAUACCACUGUGGAUGCUCUAACAAAUAACAAACUCCGGAGUCGCAUAGAUUAGAGCAUAUGCAGUGGUAAAAGUGGGUGGGUGUGUGUUAGUGGAGUUUUAUUAAUAAAAUAAUGUAAGAGAGAGAAAGUGAGAAGCCAAACCCUCCCACAUCCGAAUGUAACUCUACACGCGGGUUUCGUUUCUAAGACAACUUUUUCAUUAUUUUUUUUUUUUAUUACUUACACCCGAUGCAGAGUUACACCAUUGUGUAUGCUCUUAGGAUGUUCUAAUCCGAAUUUUGCGGUUAUAAAAGAAAAAGAAAUUUAAAAAUAAAAUAUAGGUUUAGUGUGAACGUGUUAUUCGUUGUUUCACGCAAAACCCGUUUAUAUGUCAGUUCGUUGGAUGUCGACUCGAGUCAUGGUCCGGUCACGAGCCUUGUUCGUUAUCGACCUAAUUGUUACUUGCCGUGUGAGCUGGGGUAUACCAUUUUCUAAAUGACAUAAAUGCCCCCAUUACUUACACCCAUUGACUUCUAUUAUUUCAAGAAGGAUUUAGUUAAUAAAUACGUGCCUUACUAUACACGUUCAUGUUUAUAUUCGGUAACAUUCAAUUUCGCUUUACAAUUUUUUUUCUUCCAUAUAUUUAAUACUGUUAUAAAUCACAUAUUGGAUGGACUCCAUAACCGUGGGCCUAAUCCAUAUCCUAGAAGGCCCAUGUCCAUGUUCUUGAAGAUUCUCCUUAUGACGGCCUAUAUUAUACUUAGUGGGCUUUUGGGCUUUAGGGUUUACUAGCCCAAUAGGGAUUUGUCUCCCCUCAUCAUGUAUAUAUAUGUAUUGAAACCUCAUUCAUUAAUCAAUACAACAACAAGUUUUAUAACACGUUAUCAGCACGAGUUUGCUCUUAACAACCCUAACCCUAAAAAUCGCGGUACUGUUCACGCCGACACUGUUCAUCGCAGACACUAUUCAUCGCGGCACAGUUCAUCACCGACACUGUUCAUCGCCGACACUGUUCAUCGCCGACACUAUUCAUCGCGGCACAGUUCAUCGCCGACACUGUUCAUCGCGGCACAGUUCAUCGCCGACACUGUUCAUCGCCGACACUGUUCAUCGCCGACACUAUUCAUCGCGGCACAGUUCAUCGCCGACACUGUUCAUCGCCGACACUGUUCAUCGCCGACACUAUUCAUCGCGGCACAGUUCAUCGCCGACACUGUUCAUCGCGACACUGUUCAUCGCGACACUGUUCAUCGCAGACACUGUUCAUCGCCGACACUGUUCAUCACGGCACUGUUCACCGUGGUACUGUUUGCGGUUCGUUGCAGCAGUGUGAGUUACCGAGGUCUUUAGCUCCCGGUUCUAGUCCAUACAACCCCAUAAGGUGAAAGGUAACAUCAAAACCCUAAAGCUAAAGAACCAACAAUUGAACUUGAAAGUUAAGCAAAUAGAAACCCUAAAACGAAUGAUGAUUGAUUAAGUGAUUGCUUUGCUUGUAUGAUUCGAUUGCUUGCUUGAUCCGAUUGCUUGUUUGUUUUCGCUUGCUCGUUUGCCUGUCUUGUUUAAGUUGCUAGAGAAGUUUUAAUUAUCUAAACCUAAAAACGCAAAUCAAAAAUACCUAAACUAAGGCCGAAACUUUAAAAGCCUAAAACCCUAAAACUAAAUCAGAAUUAAUCCGAAAAUUCCAUUAGUAUAAAUCGGCUUGCUUGAGGUUGUUUAGGUUGUUAGAUUGAUUGUUUCUUGAUUACAUGCAUAAGUUGUUAGAAACGCUAAAACUAAAAUCGCAUGAACCCUAGAAAAACUUAGAAAAGAUAAUCCUAAAAGGAAAUCUUAAAACCCUAAAUCUUAGGGAUAAUAGAAAAUCUUAAAACCCUAAAACCUAAAACCCUAAAAUAAAAUAGGAAAUAUUAAAACCCUAAAUCCUAGGGAUAAUAGGAAAUCUUAAAACUCUAAAUCUUAGGGAUAAUAGGAAAUCUUAACAACCCUAAAUCCUAAAUAAAAUAGGGAAUCUUAAAAUCCUCAAUAAAAUAGGAAACUUUAAAAUCCUAAUAGAAAGCAUGAAAACCUAAAUAAAACCCUAAAUCCUAUUGUACUCUAAAUCCUAAUUAAAUUAGGAAAUUCAUAAAUCCUAUUCAAGAUAGGAAAACUUUAAGAAAUAGAAAAUUUCCAAAUCCUAAUUAAAAUAGGAAAUCUUAAAAUCUAAAAUCAUAAGUGAAAUAGGAAAAUUAAUCCUAAAGUAAAGAGGAAAUUUAAUCCUAAUAGGAAAAGGGAAAAGUUAAUCCUAAGUAAAAGAGGAAAAGUUAAUCCUAAAGAAAAAAGGAAAAGUCAAAUCCCUAAGUAAAAUCGAUUCAUGGUUCGGUCUUAAAUACCGCAUGACAUUAACGAUUACAUGAUUUUGACUUAAACCUCUUUGCUUGUAGAUGUUGAAUUACAACUUGUACUUUACUGCCCUAAAUCUCUUAGGAGAUAAUUAUUUAAAAUGGGCAAUAGACACUAAGAUUAUCCUAAAGUCAAAAGGACGUGGUUGUGGCCACUAUAACUCAUCCGGCCGUGGGAACCACUAUAACCGUGGAUGUAGACCCAAUUCCGGCCGUGGUCGAGGGCGAGGACGAUGUGGUAUUUCCAAACCACAACACUCGACCAAAUGAGUAUGCCAUAGAUGUGGUAUUGAAAGGACGUGGUUGUGGCCACUAUAACUCAUCCGGCCGUGGGAACCACUAUAACCGUGGAUGUAGACCCAAUUCCGGCCGUGGUCGAGGGCGAGGACGAUGUGGUAUUUCCAAACCACAACACUCGACCAAAUGAGUAUACCAUAGAUAUGGAAUGGGAAACCAUUGGGCUAAGAUAUGUAGGACUUCCAAACAUCGUUGUGACCUCUAUCAAGAGAGUGUAAAAGGGAAGAAUCCUAAAGCCCAUUUGGUAUAUAAAGAUGGUGAACAUGAUCAAGAUGAUCUAAUAGAGUAUGAAACUUCUGAUUGCAUAAAAGAAUCAAGUUGAUAAAUCUUACUUCGACAUCAAAACCUCUAUGUUUUUCUUUGCAUUUUAUGUGUUCAUUGAUUGUUAUUUGCUUGAAUUUAUUUUAUAUUAUUUUAUGUUUAGAACAUGAUUCUUGUCCAUAUAAGAAAUAGCCGAGGACAAGAACAUAAUUGUGGUGGAUAGUGGAGCCACACAAAAGACAAGAGAUAUUUUCCUAAAUCUCAUAAUAAAAAUGCCAAUAUUAGCACUAUAGCGGGUAUAACAAAUCUUAUUGAGGGCUACGGCCAAGCCCAUAUUCUAUUACCAAACGGCACGCAUCUUGAACUAAGCGAUGCCUUAUAUUCACCCAGCUCGAAGAGGAGCUUAUUAAGUUUCAAAGAUAUAAGAUUGAAUGGUUUCCAUAUUGAAACAAAGGGUGAAGGGAACAAAGAGAUCACCCAAGGACAUAAGAAAGUCCUAGAGACUAUACCCGCAUUAUCCACUGGUCUCUACUAUGCUAAAAUCGAUAUGAUCGAAGCUAAUAUGGCAAUGAACAAAGAGUUCAUCGAGAAAUUCACUUUAUGGCAUGACCGGCUUGGCCAUCCGGGUCAUAGUAUGAUGCGUAAGUUUAUGAUAAAUUCAAAGGGGCACACCCUAAAAGAGAAAAGAGUUAUCCCUAAGAAUCUCACGUGUGAAGCAUGUUCACAAGGGAAACUCAUUAUAAGGCCAUCACCGGCUAAGGUAAAUAAAGAGACCUUAAAAUUUCUGGAAAGGAUACAAGGAGAUAUAUGUAUGGUCCUCAUUGAUGCAUCGACAAGAUGGUCGCAUGUUUGUCUCCUAUCUACUAGAAACCAAGUGUUUGCUAGGUUAUUGGCCCAGAUAAUAAGACUGCGAGCCCACUUUCCAGAUUUUCCGCUUAAGACUAUACGUCUAGACAAUGCCGGUGAAUUCACGUCCCAAGCGUUUAAUGACUACUGUAUGUCCAUGGGGGUAAGUGUGGAACAUCUCGUAGCACAUGUACAUACACAGAAUGGAUUAGCGGAAUCCUUCAUUAAACGAAUUCAAUUGAUAGCUCGACCAUUACUCAUGAGGUCGAAGCUUCCUGUAGCCGCUUGGGGACACGCUGUUUUACAUGCAUCAGAGCUUAUACGCAUAAGGCCAUCUAGUGAAAAUAGAUAUUCACCAUCCCAAUUACUCAUGGGUCAUGAGCCAGACAUAUCCCAUCUAAAGACUUUCGGGUGUGCCAUAUAUGUACCGAUUGCUCCACCACAUAGAACAAAGAUGGGACCUCAAAGGAGGAUGGGAAUAUAUGUUGGAUUUGAUUCUCCCACCAUUAUUAAGUAUCUAGAGCCAACUACGGGUGAUCUAUUUAAGGCUAGAUACGCGGAUUGUCAUUUUAAUGAAUCCGAGUUUCCUACUUUAGGUGGAGAGAUGAACAAGCUGGGUAAAGCAAUAAAAGAAAUAUAAUGGAAUCAAACAUCCUUAAAUUGGCAAGAUCCUCGGACUCUGGCAUGAGAAUCAGAGGUCCAUAAGAUUAUACAUUUGAAAAGCUAGCUAAUCAAUUGCCAGAUUCCUUUGCUGACCCAAAGAAAGUUACAAAAACGUACAUACUAGCUUGUAAUGCACCAGUACGUAUUGAUAUCCAAAAGGGAAUCAAUGAAAUUGCUACCGAGUCUAACACACGAAAGAAACGUGGUAGACCAAUAGGUUCCAAAGAUAAAAAUCCUCGAAAAUCAAAGAAAGGUGCAGUAGGAAACGAGGUGAAGGAAACCAUAGACAUGGCCGCGGCAGACCCUAAGGAACCGAAUAGAGAGAUUUGGGACGCCAAUCCUCAUGGUCCUGAAGGGAUAGAUAAUAAUGAGAUCUCAAUAAAUUAUAUCAUGUCUGGAAUAAAAUGGAACCGCAAAGAUGUCGACAUCGAUGAAAUAUUUGCAUAUAAGGUAGCACUUGAAAUGAAUGAGGAUCAUGAACCCACGUCUAUAUUAGAGUGCACUCAAAGAUCAGAUUGGCUAAAAUGGAAAGAAGCCAUAAACGUGGAGUUAAGUUCAGGGAUAAAACCAGUAGGACACAAGUGGGUCUUUGUGAGAAAGAGAAAUGAGAAUAAUAAAGCGUGAGAUAUAAGGCACGGCUUAUAGCACAAGGAUUCUCACAAAGACCGGGGAUAGAUUAUGAAGAAACAUACUCCCCUGUGGUGGAUGCUAAGACAUUUAAAUUUUGCUAAGUCUGGCUAUAUAAAGAAAAAGACUUGAUUUGCGGCUAAUGGAUGUAAUGCCUGCAUAUUUAUAUAAGUCCACUGGAUAAUAUAUAUGAGAUUACCAGAGGGUAUUGAGCUCAAAGAUAAAGAUAAAAAAAAAGGGUCUCGGGACCAAUACUGCAUAAGGCUGAACAAAUCGUUUUAUGGACUGAAACAAAGUGGACGCAUGUGGUACAAUAGAUUAAGCGAGUACCUAGUCAGAGAAGGUUAUAAGAAUGAUCCCAUCAGUCCAUGUAUCUUCAUAAAGAAAUUUGCAAACAAAGGGUUUGUGAUAAUAGCAGUAUAUGUGGAUGAUUUGAACAUCCUUGGAACUUCUGGGGAAAUCGCCCAAACAGUCGAAUAUCUAAAGAAAGAAUUCGAGAUGAAAGACCUAGGCAAGACAAAAUUCUGUUUGGGAUUGCAACUUGAGUACGUGAAUAAUGGAAUCCUUGUGCAUCAAAAGGCAUAUACUGAAAAAGUACUCAAGAGAUUCAAUAUGGACCAGGCCCACCCAUUGAGCAGCCCAAUGGUGGUGAGAAGCCUCGGAUUGGAUAGUGAUCCAUUCGGUCCAAAGAAGGACGAGGAAGAAGUUCUCGGUCCUGAAGUGCCAUACCUCAGUGCCAUAGGAGCGUUAAUGUACUUGGCUAGCCACACUAGACCAGACAUAUGUUUUGCCGUGAACCUCCUUUGUCUAAAUUUAGUUCAUGAUCAACCCAAAGGCACUAGAAAGGUUUGAAGGAAGGUUUGGUUAAAUUUUAAAUUCUAUUCUUCCUAUGUUUGUUUAUUUGGGUUUUAUUCUAUACUGAUCUAACCAAAGAAGGUCUAGUUUGCUUUGGUUUAGUUUGUUUUGCUAAUGCAGGUAAGAUCAGAUUAUGGCAUGGUCAAUAAAUAGGAACUACGUGUGGCUUGAUCCCUUCCAAGGGUACGUAGGCAGCCUUCUUCAAGGCGCAGCUACUACAACAUCAAAGACCAUCAUAUGAGGAGACAACACAGCCUGUAUCGCUCAGCUCAAGGACGGCUACAUCAAGGGAGAUCGGACGAAGCACAUUCUAACAAAGUUCUUCUUCACGCAUGACUUGCAAAGGGAUGGAGAAGUUCGAGUGGUACAAGUUCGGUCCAGCGACAACUCAGCCGAUCUCUUCACCAAGGCAUUACCAACAUCGACAUUGAGGAAGCUCACGCAUCAAAUUGGAAUGCGGAGACUUAAGGACUUUCAGGGAUGACCAAAACAGGGGGAGUAAUACGUGCUGUACUCUUUUUCCUUCACCAUGGUUUUGUCCCAAUGGGUUUUCCUGGUAAGGUUUUAAUGAGGCAGUAUCCCCAAGCGUAUUACUGAGAUCCUUUGGCAUCUACACGGUUAUGUCAUCCAAGGGGGAGUGUUAUAAAUCACAUAUUGGAUGGACUCCAUAACCGUUGGCCUAAUCCAUAUCCUAGAAGGCCCAUGUCCAUGUUCUUGAAGAUUCUCCUUAUGACGGCCUAUAUUAUACUUAGUGGGCUUUUGGGCUUUAGGGUUUACUAGCCCAAUGGGGAUUUGUCUCCCCUCAUCAUGUAUAUAUAUGUAUUGAAACCUCAUUCAUUAAUCAAUACAACAACAAGUUUUACAACAAAUACUACCAUUUAUAUAUAGGAUUCAGAUUCACAUACUAUUAUAUAUGCUUCAUUUUGAAACUGGCAAUACUCAAUUACAAAUGAAUCGCUAUGGAAUGUGACUUUGAUGUUGAUCAUGACUUUGAAAGUGUGUACGUAACUCAACUCUUUUUUUUUUUUUUUUGACAUACCGUACGUAACUCAACUCUAAAAAUUACAUAGCAUGGAAUUUAAACUCAUAUAUGUUUACUUAUUAGCUUAAUAUCUCUAGAGAUACAACUAAACGUUUGAUCUAUGAUUAAAGGUUAUUUGUUGACCAAUUCAUUGCGAUCUACUGGUCGAAUUAUUCACUAUGUCAUUUGAAGAGACAAUGUUUAAACCAUGGUUACUAUGAACUCUUUAAACGAUAAGAAUACAAAACAUUGAUAUAAUGAUAUUCCCCGGUUAUAAGACAUAAUUAAUUUGUUGUGUGAUAUAUAGUUUUGUCUUCAGCAAUCACAACAUUAUUAAAUUAUCAUACUUGAGUAUGAAAAAGUCAGAUAAUUAUCAAUUAAUCAGUUUUGUAGACCCAGGCUUAAUGAUUUAAUUUCCUUUCUUUACUUUAUAAGAAAAGUUGAGGAAUGAUUAUAAUAAUGGGCUUGAAUUCCGCUGAUGAGAGGAAAGACCCAAACUCAAUGAUUAAGACUGGAGAUUUUGUUUUGUCCCGAUUGUACUUUUCAAGACUUGAUUUCUUCUCAAUGUUCUCAUGCGGAAUUUUGGGGGAAAUUAUCAAUGUGUCAAUGUUUGGUUGUCUCUUCUUACUAUAGCGUUACAACUUGUUUUUGACAAAGUGGUUUCAACCAUUUUUUUGGUGGAAUAAUUUUACAAUGAAUACGUUUUAUAGGAAUAAGCACAUUAUAACAUGAUGAAAUCGUCACCGCGAACAUUAUAUUAUACUCUCUCUGUUCCUAAUAGUUUGAUGUUUUGGGAUUUUUUCUUGUUCCACAAAGUUUGAUGUUUUGUAAUAAUAUCAUUAUUAUUUUUAAUUGUAACCAAUAGGAAGAAGAGAGAAAUGAAACUAAAAUUAUUAAACAAACAAACAAAAAAUUAAAUAAUAUAAAAUUAGUUUUUUUUAAUUUAUGUGCAAAACCCAAAACACCAAACUUAAAGGAACAGAGGGAGUAUAUGGUAGUAUAUUAAAACAUAAAAACAAAAUUCCGUUAAAUGAGAAAAGAAGACGAAGUGGUUAGUUUAAAUUUUUUUAAAAUUUUACCUAAAUAUCCAAUGUUCCACUUUGAAAAUUAGAAAAAAUACCUAACCACACAUGUAUCCGAAUCGAGCCAUGUCAUGCCAAGCGCGGAAUUUGGGUUUUGAGAUAUAGAAUUUGAGCAAUGGAUGACUUACGACCCAAACAUUUAUUCUUUUGCCCCAUAAUUCGGAUAGAUUUUAUGUCAACACAAAUGUUUUCUCCCCUAAUUGAUUUUUAAAACCGUUGUGUUAAUAAUAUAAUAAAUUUGAAAUCUGUAACGAUGAGCAUUGAUCAUGGGAUAAAUAGUGGAAGAUUUCUCCUCUACAAGGAAGGAAUUAAGUGCCUUAACCUCCUCUCCAAGGCUGAGUAGACUACAAAAAGGAGUCUUGGGUCUCAUUUUCAACACACAUCACAAUCUCUUCCUUCAUCUUUUCUAGUUUUCUAGCUUGAGAGUACAACGCAACAUAAGUUUUCACCAGCUCUUGAUUUCGAGUAGUGCGAGAAAAGAGAAACUGAAAUAAUUUUAUCUUGAGAAUCUUGAACAUAUGAAAUUGGUACUUUAAAGCAACUAAGGAGGGAGAUGAUUAUAUCGACUUUACUUUACUUCAAUCACUCUACGGUAUUGAAGUCGUGUAGUUCAUUCAGAUUUUUCUCUAAGUUUUCUUUAUAAUAUCAGAUUGUGCCCAUUGAUUAAGUUGAGGAUAGAUUGACUUGUAUUGAUAAUUAAACUUAUAGUUCUAGUGUCCAUCUGAAUUUGGUGUAAAAAUAUGUGUGCAAUAAAAAUUGGUUUUCAGUUUCAACAAAAAUAGUUAAGCCACUAGACUUACAACAAUUUUUGUAUACAAAAAAUAUCCAAAACAAAAUUUAUGGACUAGAAAAUGCGAGAUUUAAAUUCGCAAAAAGUACUUAACUGAUUGUAUUUUUUUUUUUUUUUUGAAACAUGAAAAUUUGAUAUAGUUUCUUAAUAAAAUCAUUUAAUUUUUUUAAUUUAGCAAAUUGGUGCACCCCCUAAGAGGAGACACUUUAAUCAUCUUUAGGUCAACUUGCCCGUAGCUAAUGGCCAAUGGUUAUCGAUUCGGGUCUAUUCGGUUUCGGUUCUAAAAUUUAGUAUCCAUUCGGAAAUUUUGAAAUUUUCGUUCGGUUCGGUUUCGGUUCCGGUUCUUUCGGUUUUAAAAUUUAGUAUCCAUUCGGUUAUUUUACUUUAGAAAUUUUUGGAUAUUUCGGUUAUUUUUGGAUAUUUUCGGUUAUUUUUGGAUAUUUUCGGUUAUUUUCGAGCAUUUUUACUAUUUUAUAUAUUUUCAAGUAUUUUUAAUUAUUUGGUCUAUAAAUAACUAGUAUUUUUUAUUAUUUGGUCUAUAAAUAACUAAUACUUUUGCAAAAAAAUAAUUGUAUUUUGGGUAUUUCGGUUACCCGAAAUAUGUCGGUUCGGUACCAAUUCGGUUACGGUACCAAUUUAGUAUCCAUUCGGUUAUUUUCAAAUUUUUGGUUCAUUUCGGUUUGUUUUUUUUUGCUUCGGUUUCGGUUCGGUACAUUCGGUUCGGUUUAUUUGCUCUAGCUAGCCAAUGGGCAACUUCAUGGGCCCAUGAAAAAACUUUCGAGGUUAUAGUCAAUAUUAUACACUAAUGGGCCUAUAUAAAUCUCAAAUUCAAAGAUUACCAAAACCCAACAAAUACACAAGCCCUGAAGCAAAACAAAUCAAUAUUUUAUUACCGUAAAUUUCGGACCAAACCAGAGGAAAAAAGUGAAAGAUCAGAGUGUUUUUACUGUUCAUGGAUCCCACGUGAUCAGACAGCUCAAAUUCCGAACUCGUAACGACGUCGAAUAAGACAAUUUCGGUUUUGUCCCUAAUCCCAUCUUAAACUGGGUCCCACGUUUUUUUUCUUCCUCCCAAAAAGCAAACUUUAAAAAAAUAUCGGACAAGAUUCCAGCUAGUGGUUCUUUCUUCUUCAUCUUUUUCUCAAUCCCUUUCUUCUCCAUUCUCUCUUGUUCUCUCUCUCCCACUUGUGAAGAAGCUCAACAAGAACCCUAAAAAAUGAUUCUUCUUUGAUUUUGUGUGAUUUUACUUGUGUUCUUGUUUGUGUUUGUUUGCUUAGUUCUGAAGCAAAAGCCUAGGGUUUUAUCUUUUUCUUGAAAAUGCCAUUGAAGAAGAUGAAAGAAGAUGAUUGUUGUUUGUUUGCUGAAGAAUACGAUGGUCCACCAUUAUCAUACAAUAUCCCUUGUGCUCUUCCGAUUAACGUUGAGAAAAUCCCCGUCGCCGCCGUUGUGUCUCCGGUUUGUAUUUCCGAUAACAUGUCCUUUCCUGUGAUUCAACCGAUUUUAGCUGUGGAGAGUAGUAAGAAGUUUCUGAGAGAUUCGGUUUCUCCUACUUCUGUUAUUGCUAAUUGUGGAUCUAAUGAGCUUGAAUUGGUUUCUGAUUCCAUCACUGUUUCGCCUACUUCGGUUAUUGAGCAUACGGAGGAAGAAGAAGGUGGUGAUGGUGAGGAUUGUGGAAUAAGUAGCUCUGGUGAGUUAUUGUUGAGGUCUUGUUCUGUUAGUUUUGAUCAAUCUAGGGUUAGUUGUUCAGUGAAAGAGAGCUUAGAUUUGAAUGAAUCAUCGAAUCCGUUAGUACCGGAUUGGGAAUCUAAUGAGUCGGUUUUGAGUAUGGAUUAUCCGUCUUCUCGGGUUACUGGAGAUUGUGUUAGUGAAAGUAAUGGAGAUGGUAAGAAGCAACCAGUUGUUACUUUCUUGGGUAUUGCUUCUGAUGAUGGUUUUGAGGAAGAGGAGAGUUGUAACCAGAAGCGGGUUCGGGUUGUACCGGUUAAGAAACAGCCUCAGACGAAAGGUAAAAAGGGGUCUUGUUAUCGGUGUUUUAAAGGAAGUCGGUUUACGGAGAAGGAAGUGUGUCUUGUUUGUGAUGCUAAGUAUUGUAGCAGCUGUGUGCUUCGAGCUAUGGGUUCUAUGCCUGAAGGAAGGAAAUGUGUUACUUGUAUUGGGUUUCCGAUUGAUGAAUCGAAGCGAGGGAAUUUAGGGAAAUGCUCUAGGAUGCUUAAGAGGUUACUUAAUGAUUUGGAGGUUAAACAGAUUAUGAAGACUGAGAGGUUUUGUGAAGCUAAUCAAUUACCGGCUGAGUAUGUGUAUGUUAAUGGACAACCUCUCUACCCUGAAGAGCUGGUUACACUUCAGACUUGCUCUAAUCCUCCGAAGAAGCUGAAACCGGGGGACUAUUGGUAUGAUAAAGUGUCUGGACUUUGGGGAAAGGUGAAUAAUAUUUACUGUCCUUUUCAGAUAUCUGUCUUAGUUUUCUAGUGUGUCGAGAACGUUUAUAUAUAUUUUUGUUGGGGUUCCACAGGAAGGAGAAAAGCCUUAUCAGAUUAUUAGUCCUCAUCUGAAUGUUGGAGGUCCUAUUAGUCCAGAAGCUAGCAAUGGAAACACUCAAGUUUUCAUAAACGGACGCGAGAUUACAAAAGUGGAGCUACGAAUGCUGCAGGUUGGAAUCUUUUUGAAGUAUGCAAUUCUUGAUUUAAAGAGAGCAGUUGAUGUCAUUGAUGACUUAAGUUUGUUUUUUCUAUCGUCAUGUAUUGCAGUUGGCAGGAGUUCAAUGUGCGGGUAACCCUCAUUUUUGGGUUAACGAAGAUGGAUCGUAUCAAGAAGAAGGACAGAAGAAUACCAAGGGAUACAUAUGGGGCAAGGUUUGUUGUUUUGCCUGAAAUCUAUAUUCCAUUUCAAUUUUGUUUUCCUCUUUGAUUUAAAGAUUACAAACUUUUGCUUGCUUUUCAGGCUGGGACUAAGUUACUAUGUGCUGUAUUGUCUCUUCCUGUUCCAUCUAAAUCUACUGCGAAUGCUUCUGGGGAACAACUGUAUAGCGCAAAUAGCAGAAGCAUUUUGGACCAUCUUGAGCAUAGGACUUUACAGAAAAUUUUGUUGGUUGGAAACAGAGGUUCUGGAACUAGUACCAUAUUCAAGCAGGUAUGAGCUUCUCCAUAUAAAUAAAUCUUACCCAUUCAUUAGUGGUUAUGAGAUUUGUUUGGUAUAUGUUGUACUGCUUAUAAGCGUAAGCCCCAAAAUCUAUAACACAAUUGAAUCAUUUUGUCGUUCAGGCAAAGAUCCUUUACAAGGACGUGCCAUUCUUGGAAGAUGAGCGUGAAAAUAUAAAGGUGAUUAUCCAGACCAAUGUGUAUGGUUAUCUCGGUAUGCUUCUUGAGGGCCGGGAGCGGUUUGAAGAAGAAGCUCUUGCUGUCAGGAACACUAAGCAGUGUGUCAUUGAAAAUAUUCCUGCAGAUGAAGGUGCAUAGAUUUUACAACUCCUAGUCUCCUACUUAUUCUUAAGUUUCAGUUUCCAGAGAGAAUUUGUCUAUGAACAAGAGCAAUCAUGAAUUUAUGUAUAUGUGUGACGCAUUGGCGUCUUAACUUGAUUUCUGUGUACGAACAGGAGAUGCUAAAAGCAACAACAAAACCAUGUACUCCAUUGGCCCAAGGCUUAAAGCAUUUUCUGAUUGGCUAUUAAAGACUAUGGCUGCUGGAAAUCUCGGUGUCAUUUUCCCUGCAGCUUCCCGUGAGUAUGCGCCACUGGUUGAAGAGUUAUGGAGGGAUACAGCGAUCCAAGCUACAUACAAGCGAAGAAGCGAGCUAGGACUCCUUCCGAGUGUUGCUAGUUACUUCUUGGAACGGGUAAAUAAGUGCUUCACUAUCUCUUGUGCCCUAAAUUUUCCAUAUUGUUGGUUACUGAGAAGUGGAACUAUGAGUUAUUAUUAGUCUUCUCAGAAGCUGCUUUCUCAUUCUUCAGGCUAUUGACGUAUUGACACCAGACUAUGAGCCAUCGGAUUUGGAUAUAUUAUACGCAGAAGGAGUCACUUCGUCGAGUGGUCUAGCUUCUCUCGAUUUCUCAUUUCCACAGACUGCAUCCGAAGAGAAUCUUGAUCCUUCUGAUCACCAUGAUUCCUUGCUCAGGUAAGUAUAUACUGAUUCCAUUAUUUGUUUAUGAUAUUCAGUCAGUUUUCGAAAAUAUUUGAAGAUAUUUUGUGUUUUUUUCAGGUACCAGUUAAUAAGAGUACCCUCCAGAGGCCUCGGUGAAAACUGCAAAUGGAUAGAUAUGUUUGAAGACGUUGGGAUGGUUGUUUUUGUUGUUUCCAUGAGUGACUACGACCAGGUUUCAGAAGAUGGAACCAACAAGAUGUUACUCACCAAGAAACUCUUUGAAAGCAUUAUCACUCAUCCCAUCUUUGAGCACAUGGACUUCCUCUUAAUACUCAACAAGUACGAUCUCCUCGAAGAAAAAGUAGAACGCGUUCCUUUGUCACACUGCAAGUGGUUCCAAGACUUCAAUCCUGUGGUCAGUCAUCACCGUGGUUCUAACAAUGGUAACCCCACUUUGGGUCAGCUCGCUUUCCACUUCAUGGCGGUUAAGUUCAAGCGGUUUUACUCUUCCUUGACCGGGAAAAAGCUGUUUGUUUCUUCUAGUAAGAGUUUGGACCCGAACAGUGUUGAUUCAUCGCUCAAGUUAGCUAUGGAGAUUCUGAAAUGGAGUGAGGAGAGAACAAACAUCUGCUUGAGUGAAUACUCAAUGUACAGCACUGAGCCAAGUUCCUUCUCAAAUUGAUUGAUGUUUUCACAUUAAACAAAAGAAGCCUAAUGUAAAUUGUAACACCUUUCUUGUGUAUAGAUUGCCACGUAGAGUUUUAACAAAGUACUUACGCAUCAAUUUACAGACCAUCUUUGUGUGCUAAACAACAAUUAACUUAUCCUUCUCUUUUAUGUUACAAUUGGGUUUUGUCGAAAGUAUAUCUAACUUGUUCUUCUGCACACAACAAAACAUUCUUCACAAUCCAUCCAUGUUCUUGCAGUUGUCUGUUCAGUGUGAUAAUAUCAUCUCGUGCAGCUCGCUUACUCUCUCCUGUGAGUAAGGACCAAUCUUGUAGCGUCAAGUCUGACAAUGAUACGUCUCUUCUCUUGAUUCGAUUGGUUCCAAAGGCUUUACGUAUGUAACAUGUCUGACAAACCAACCACAAUGUGUUAACAGUAGACACUAUCAUGAACUUUUACUAAAUUGAUUAUAUUUAGUUGAAUCUUUACCUGCAACAAACUCGUGAUAAUGUCUACACUGUUGGCUCCUUCACGCAGACAAAUAACGAUGCCCGGCUAAAUAUUUUACAAGUGGCGAGGAUCAAACCAGAGAAUUGAAGGGAUAUGAGUACAUAUAAGUUAAGCAUAUAUGCAACUCACUUUUGGUGUUCUUCUAAAACCUUUAGAGGAAAGUUCAAUGGUUAUGAAGAAACUAUCAUCAUUGCAGAGUGAUUGCAUCGCCAUCAUCGAUAGUGUAGGAAUCUGAGCCUUAGGAUCUAAGCAUCCGAUUCUAAUGGGCCAAACCCUUUUGCUACCUACAAAGAACGUAUGUAGGAUUCACCUUAUUUAGCAAUGUCUUAAAAGUGAAUAGCCUGAAGAGGUUUUUUGUUUUUCACCUCUGCUCCCUAAAAGGUCAAUUCCUUCCUCUUCACUCACUUCGGCAGGGGAAGGUACUUGCCUGAAUUCAAUCCAUCUUUCCAGUAUUAUUUCAAGCCUAUCCUGAUAAGAAAAAGAUAAACUGAACUUAUAACACAGUAGUCUCCAUUGUUUGGGUCUCGUUACCGAGAUAACAAAAAGCUACCUUGGUUAAAGUUUGCAGAUUGAUAUGCUUGAGCCCUUGAUAAAUGCCAAGGAGAUCAAACGUGGAGAAAAUUGGAUAUAGAACAAAAGGUAGACUUGCCUGCAGUCUAGCACAUUAGCAAGUCAGAAAAUUCAGCAACGAAUCUCGCAAAUAAAGUAACUAAACAGUACUAGAAUCAUCUAACCUUUGGUUGUUUUGGAAUAGCAUAUUUAGAAGAACCGCCAGUAGGAGACCAAGAUUAUCAAAACACACGGUUUGAAUCUGGAAAUUCAAAAAUAAUAUCAAUGCAUGUAGAUGGAAUACAAACUAUAGAAAACUCGAGUAGGUUUCUGAAAAAAACCUGUGCCUUUGCAGAGACUUCACCGAGGUUAUCCGCUACAGCAAAGCUUCGAUGUACAGCUGACUGCACAUGUCGAAUCAAUUGGCUGUCAAACCAAAACACCAAACAUAAAACACUUAAGUACAAAUGAAAAAUAACGAACAGGAAACCUUACACCGGUUGCUAAGUAGCACGACAGACUAAUCUGUUUAGCGAUGUUAGCGAUGGAAGCUAGCAAAAGGAAGUACUGAGGGAAUACUGGAGUCAUUAACUCCACUCCAAUGCUUAGACUGAAGAGUACAGACGUCGAAAACCUAACUCUCUAGAUUUAGCAAAAUUCUAAGAGUAUAUAAGUAACAAAAAAUCUCCAAAGUUUCAAGAACUACAAUAUAAUGAAGUAAAUUACCUUCAAAUUAGUGUCAAAAGCAGAAGCAAGACUAGCAGUGUAUAUACAUCUACUUAACCGUCCAAGGCCAUCUUUCAAAAUCCAAUUAAAAGCAGCAGAUGAAGCAAGUGACCGAGAUUGUCCAAUUCCUAUGGCUCUAAACAUCGCCUGAAGUAACAAAAACAACUCAAAAAUUUGUAACAAAAGUCCAAUUUCAAGUCUAGUAUUGUACCUGAGUGGCAAGAACUUGUAAAGCAGAGCUGAAAACUCUGUGCAAAAACUUCCAUUUGACAUAACUUAUGUAAUUGUCACUGACUUGUUUCGGUAAAAAGAAGUCUUUUGCAGCUGAAGAUGAAAGUCUAAUCAAUUUCCAGAAACCAUCGUCGAGGCCAAGGCAAAACGACGUCGAAUCAUCUUCUUCUUCAUCAACACAUAGCAACUCCAAGGAAUCUCCUUUGAUGAAGUACCUAGAAACUUUGCCAGACUUUUUGAUUAUGAUAGGAAGACGACGGGUUACGUUACUGGGUACUACGAGUUCUUCUUUCGAUACUUCUUGCUCGUAAUCAAUGGAAGUUCUCAGAGACUUGACGAAUUUUCUUGAAGAAAAUUUGGGGAAAUUGAAGAUUGGAUAUUGGGUUGAUGUUGAUUUACAUGGGUAUAGAAAAAGUCGAGAGCUUGGGUUCGCUGAAUGCAUCAGAGUUCUUAGGGUUUAAGGAAGGUUUUGCGUCUUUUUCUUCCUCUUUCUCUGUAAAUCGUUGGUUCUGUGAGUGGGAACGAAGAGUAACGUUUCUAAUGUACUGGGCUGGAUAUGGGCCUUACACACUUGGGUAAUUUAGGAGGGGUUAUUGGUUCAUGAAUUUAUAAGGAAUUAAGAUGAAAUCCGCGCUUCGCUGCGGGUAUUGUUAAUUGAUAUAUACCUUAAGCUUCAAAUAUUAAUUGAAUUCACAUAUCAAUAUGAUUUUUAUAACUUUUAUUCAUAAAACCAUUGUAUAAGAUUAAUCCUCAUCAAAAAUGAUUUAAACGAAAGUUGAGUGUUUAUAUCUUUGAACACAAUUGCUUUAGUUACAUUUUAUAUAAGUAAUUGGUGGAUCUUGGUUCAAGAACUAAUCUCAAGUCCAGUUUUAUAAUAUCAAAUCACAGUAAACGUCAUCGAUUGUCUUGGGACACCCACUAACCCGAGUUUUCAUGUUGUUAGCUUUGAAAACCGAAUGGGAAACCAAUCACCAAAACAUAAAACAGAGAGAAGUGAAUCUCAUUCAUUUUAACCAACUUAAAAAAAAAUACCUUAAGUGUUCGGCAAAGAGACAAGCAUUAGUAUUGGAGUCAUCUCCACCAAUUACCACAAGAUCAUCGAAGUCCAUUUAAAAAAAAAAGUUAAAACGAUAAUUGCAUAGGUAUUUUAAAAGAAUUUUGUGGAAUUGAUGAUGGGUGAUUUGGCAAAUAGGAGAGAAUUUUACAACACAAUGUUUUGUGGAAAGCUCAAAGAAAAUCAAAAGCCAUGGCGAGGAAAAAAAUGAUUUCUAUUGAAUAAAUUCAUCAUAUCCUUUUUUCAUCUCUCAAACCCAAUUUAGAGCAAGUGUAAUCUAUGACUUUAAAAAAAAUUAGCUUGUAUCAUGAGCUCAUAGAUGGAACAAAAGAAAAAAAAUGGAAGCUUUAAAGUAACACAAACGUUAAAACAAAUUGAUGAUUCUACUCCAAAAACAACUUUAGCACCAAAUGCUUUCAACUUCUCAACGAUCUUCUCACCUUCUUCUUUAGACAAUCAAGCUUUCAAAAUCGGAGGAGUCUUCUCCACCAAUGCUUUAGCUUCUUUCAAACCCAAAUCAGUAAAACUCUUCAACUCCUUCAUAAUCUUAAUCUCAACAGAUGCAUAAAAAUACUUCAAUUUUAUCUCAAACACAAUCUUCUUCACUUUAGCUUACUCAUUCAUACCACCACCACUUUGUCCUUAAACCGAUCUAGCCACGAUUCCACCAUCACGCUCCAUUGGUGGACUACGGUGCUAUGUUGGAUCAAACAUCGUUGAAUCUGUUUGGAGCUUCCUCUGAUCGAAAUUCUCUUCUUCAUCUUCCUUAGAGAUUUUGUUUCCUACAGUUUUAACAUCUGUAUACAAUAAACAAAGGAGAGCGGCUAGGAAUUCUGAGGAGAGAAGAGGAAGAAAGUGAAGUAGAGGGAAAUAAAAAAUAGACUUCAUCGGAGUUCUCACAGUUUUACGAAUUCGAUCUCCAGAAUCAUGAGAUCAAUAAUCAAAACAGGAUAUCGGUUUCUCGAUUCAAUUCGGGUUUGGUGAGUAAGAUUAUGCAGCUUUGGUUUUCUCUUCAAUGAAGAGACAGUAAUUUCUUCACCGAUUUAUUUUCUACGAUUUGGGCUAGUUACCUAAAUGGACUUUUAAUUAUGGGUUCAAUAAGAUUUUUAAUUUUCUAUGUAAACAGUUAACCAAUAUGGGCUGUCAAACUGUUUAAUUAGGCUUCGGCGAUUUAUACUUUUUGCAACAAUUUUUUUUUAAAAAAGUGAUGUGGAACGGAGAAGAAAUUUUACUGGCUGAUAAAUAUUGAGUUGUAUUAAUUAAAAUGUUUUCAUUGGACGAUGAUUUUAAUGAGGUGUCAACCUUAGUAUAGCUUAAAAAACUGAGGUGUCAGGCCUGGAGACUCUUAGCGUUUUUAUUGUAUUGAUUAAAAAUUGGGAACUUGUGUCCGUGGAAUUGCGUCCGUGGAAUCGACUGGUGAUUUCAAUCUCUCCAAUUGCGUAUAUGAUGUUUGAUUGUAUCAAUGAAUUUUAAUCUGAUUGAUUGAUGUUUUAGUUUUAUCUUAGGGAUCGAAACCAUCUUAGCUCUCAUACCAAAAUCUUCCUCGGCUAUUUGAUUCACCAAUCUCUUCUUGUUUCAGGUCGGUGGAUUCAAUCUCUCCAGAUUGCUUAUUUGAUGGUUGAUUGUAGAGAUUAAAGAUGUAACUGCGAAUUUUGAUUUUUUUUUUUAGAUGACUACGACGGUGUGGUGGGACAUCAACGGCUGUCCGGUUCCCGAUGAUUACGAUGUAGGUAAGGUCGGUCCGUGUAUAAAAUUAGCGUUGGCGAAGUUAGGCAUCGAUGGUCCAAUCACCAUCAAUGCCAUGGGCGACCUAAAAGAAAUCUCUGAUCAAGUCUUAAAAAGCUUAACUUCAUCUGGAAUCUGUGUUGCAUACUUCCCAUUCAGUUAAUCUUCUCAUCCCUUUCCACAAUUAGGUCUGAUUCAAUCGUGGAUAAUGAUUGUCAUCUGGCUUACUAUUUCCUUUGCUGAAACAGAUAUCGUCUUGUAUACGGGGUUGCUUAUGGAUUAUAAUCUACCUCCGGAUAAUACACAAGUGUUUAUAAUGGAUUACCAUAAUUUGCUGAAACUCUCGGCGGUGGUUUUCAGUUUAAAAGAACGUGGAUACAACAUAGUUCUGGUAUGUCCAGAAGAGCCUGCAAAAGAGCCUCCAGAAAAGCUUCCUCAAUACGCAGGUUUAGACCUGCACCGUUUGCCCUGGGAAAGCGUGCUACAAGGUGUGUUUGUCCUCUCUCUCUCACAGUACUCAAAAAUAUAAUGACACUUUUUUGUCAUUUUUCUUACUUUCAAAUUUGACACUUUGUUGUUAGGUUGAUGCCAUGUUUUCUGAACCCCCGAAGAUCGAUUAUGAAGACUCAUCUGAAGGCAAGUUUUAAUAUCUCAGGUUUCUUAAUGAGUUUGAUCAACUAGAAAAGAAAACAUGAUUUUGAAUAUGCUAUUAAACAUUGUAGAGGAUGAGGAUCUUGAUGAACAAGAUGACCCAAAGAAGCAAAAGACCUAAUUGAGCAUCUACGUGAACAAGACUAAGAAGAAGAGUACAUGGCCAGUGGCUGAGCUAGAAAAUUUUGUUAUAGGGGUCAAAGUUUUUAAUAAGUAUAUUAUAUAAAAUUUAUUAUUAGUUUUGUCUAGAAAUAAUCUACGCUUAAGAAAAAAAAUAUAUUUGAAAAUCAACCAAAUUAAUAUUUAUAAUUUUUUUUUAUGGUCUACAAAGAUUAACAAAAGCAAAAAAAAAUUGUGGGGUUUUUUAUAAAUAAUUAUAAUAUUAGAUCAUUAGUUGAACUUUAUUUUAAAUAAGUCACGGAAUUUUAAUUUUGUUACAUUAGAAUUUGAUUUAAGAUUCUAAUGAACCAAACUUAUUUGGCUCUUUUGUUGUUUUAAUGACAAUUUUUUAUCCCAUAUAGUUGAAUUAGUUUGAUAUGGGGGUCAAAAACUGUAAUGCAUUGGGGUCAUUAUAAUUACUCUUAAUAUAAUGUAGUAGAAUUUUCAAAAUUCAUAGGGGUCAACUGACCCCCCUAAUUACACACUGCCUCCGCCCAUGUACAUGGCCCGAGGGGUGUUGUUCUUCUUCUCUAAAAUAAAACUAGAUCCUGAUCCGGACAUACGUGCGGGAUUUCAUAUUUUAAUAAAUAUGUUGUAAUAAAUUUUUAUUAAAUAUAUGAUUAUUUUGUUGUUUUAGUGAUAUAUAUUGUAUUGAAUAAAUUAUAAUGUACACAGAAAAGUAUAAAAUGUUAUUUAUGUUUGCUUAUGACACAAUAGCAACCAUAAGUCAUUUUUUGGAGUUUGAAACUGAAGAGUAUAUUAGAAAAAAAUCUUAGAUUGAAAUAUAAUAUAAGUUAGAUUGAUGUAAAAAAAAUAUUAUAUAGUUAUAGUAUCUAUAACCUAAACUCAUAUCAAUUGGUUGAAAUAUUUGAAGUAAUAAUGAUUUUAAUAGUAUUUUAAAAUUCCUAACAAUCAAACGGUCGGACCAAGAUCAAACUGAAUCGAAUUAAUGGCCAGGUAGAUUUUUAUUAAACUUGUGAACAUUAAACUUGUAAACUAUCAAACCGUAUAUAAAACCGUUAAAAUGAUUAAAUACGUUUGCGAGAAAUAGAAAUAUUUAGAGAUAGGCGUAAUUCUCAUUCAAUUUUAUCAUGUUCCAUUAUAUCUUACCCGUUCUCCAAUUUAUGUCUCAUAAAAGAACGCAUUUCUAAUAUAAGAUAAAUUUUGUAUUCCCGAUUAGAAACAGGACGUGACGGAAACAAAAAUUCUCGAUAUCCUGUUUGGGACAAACACAAAUAUAAUUCAUAGUAUACUUUUAUAUGAUAUGAUAUAAUAAAAAAGUUAGAUUGAUGUUAAAAAAAUUAUUUAUAUAGUUAUAGUAUCUAUAACCAAAACUCAUAUUAGUUGGUUGAAAUAUUUGAAAUAAUAAUGAUUUUAGUAGUAUUUUAAAAUUCGUAACAAUCAAACUGUCGGACCGAGAUCAAAAUGAAUCGAGUUAAUGGUCAGAUAGUUUUUUAUUAAACUUGUGAACAUUAAACUUGUAAACUAUCAAACCGUAGAUAAAACUGUUAAAAUGAUUAAAUACGUUUGCGAGAAAUAUAAAUAUUUAGAGAUAGGCGUAAUUCCCAUUCAAUUUUAUCAUGUUCCAUUAUAUCUUACUCGUUCUCCAAUUUAUAUAUCAUAAGAGAAUGCAUUUCUAAUAUAAGACAAAUUUUAUAUUCCCGAUUAGAAAUAGGACGUGACGGAAACAAAAAUUCUCGAUAUCUUGUUUGGGACAAACACAAAUAUAAUUCAUAGUAUAUUUAUUAUAUGAUGAUAUAAUAAAAAUAUUACAAAAUUAAUUGACUUCUUUAUUCUUAUUGCUUUAUAUUUUGUUCAUAAAUAUUAAAUUACAUUUGUUUGUUUUUUAAAUUUUAACUAUUAUAGAACAUACUAUAAUAACAUUUAUUAUUUUGAACAUUUUUAUGCUAUAUAAAUUGAAAACACAUGUUACAUAUUUGAUUGCAAACGUUAAUUUGUUUGAAUUGUAACUUGUUCUAAUCUAAAAUCUAUGUUUUUAUCCCGUCCUGUCUUCUUGCAUGUCGUUCUUGUUUCGUAAUUCCUAUUCUCGUUAUAUUACAUUAAAUAUCAUUUUCCGAGUUCAUUUUUGCUUAUCUUUAAACAUCAUACAAUAUACGGUUGUAAGUUUUGGGGAUUAACAUAUGUUCUGUUAAAAUUUGUAAACAUACCGUAAAUUAAAACAUGAAAACAAAUUGAAAAAAUAAAUGAUCUAUCAACUAAUCUUAACAAAAUCAUAAAACUAAGAGAUAGUUUAAUGUGAAUAAAUUUAGAGAAUCAUUUUGAAUUAAUUGUAAAAACUGUGUAAAUUAAAAAGUAGCUUGUAAUUAGUUAAAUUAGUCAUCUUGAUUUGAAUUCAAUAGUUCCUUAAAGUUAAGAUUUCUCAUUUUGAAAUAUUUGUAUUAAAAAUUAAAACAUUUGUAUUUAAAUUUAUUUUAAUGUUAUUUGAAAAAUAAAAUAAUCAAUUCUAGAAGAAUGUGUAUUCCAAAAUCUUGUAACAAUUUGAUACAAAAUAAAAUAAUUGAUUUGAUUUGAAAUUGAAUAAUUUAUUUGGAGAUAUAGUAACUAUUAUAGUACGUUAGUUAUAUAUAUUUAAAAUAAUGAAAAAUACCCAUUUAAAAAAAAAAUUCUAAAAUUUUAUAUCAUUUAAACACUAAUUAAAUGUUAAAUAUUUUAAUCUAUCUUGGAAAUAUUUUCUAGAUAUUUACAAAUUUAGAAUCCAAAAAAUUAGUUUUUGAAUAAGCUGUAUUUUAAAGGAUGGAAGUAUUUCGUUUAGAUUAUAUACGAAAAAUAUAAAAAAUGUUUUUUCAUAUUUGGAAAAUCAAAAUUGAAAAAUCUUUUUUCCAAGUGUACCAAUCAGAAUUAAUUAGCAUAGUAUUGUUAAGGAAUUUUUAAAAAUCUAAACCAAAUGAUAAUUUGUUAUUAGAUUAGAUUGCCAUUUUCGAAAUAUAUAAUAAUAUCUUACGAAAAUAAUUUAGUUUACAUAUAUGCAAUUUCGAAUUAAUUAUACACAAUUACCCGUUUCGGUUUAUUAAUUGUCCUUCUUCAAAUUUAAAAAUAUCAAUGGCAUUUUUUGUAAUAUUUACCUUUUAUAAGGUUAUAUUUUAUCGAAUGCUUCCCAAUUAAUAGCAUAAAUCUACACUAUUAAUAUCAUAAACUUUUAUAGAUUGGUAACAUCGUUAAUAAAUAUUUUUUGUUGCAAAAUUGAUAAUAUCGUUGAUAAAUAUUUAUAAUUUUAGUAUUUACCAACGGUAAAAAUGUCGGAAAAUACGCGAACUUUUAAAUUUGGGACAAAAAAAGCAUGAACUUUCAAAAUGUCAUUUAAAUCAUAAAUUUUAUUUUGACUUUUGAAAAAAUAGUUAAGUUUUCCUUGACUUGACCAUUUCGGGUAUGUCGUUAAAUUUCCGUUAAUGAGAUGCUGACGGGGUUAACUUUCCGUUAGAAAUCUCCGUUGAAUCGAAACGACGUCGUUUUGAAUUGAUGUGAUAUUUAUAGUUAGACUGGAAGUAUAUAUUAAAAAAAACAUUUUUAUAAAAUUAUAAGAACAAUUCUUAAAGACGUCGUUUCAAUUCAACGGAGAUUUCUAACGGAAAGUUAACCCCGUCAUCUUCUCGUUAACGGAAAUUUAACGACAUGUCCAAAACGGCCAGGUCAACGAAAAUUUAACCAUUUUAUCAAAAGUCAAACUAAACUAUAUGAUUUAAAUAACAUUUCGAAAGUUCAUGUUUUUUUUGUCCCAAAUUUGAAAAGUUCGCGCAUUUUCCGACAUUUUUCCCAUUUACCAACCCGCAAAUAUUUAAUUUUAUUUAAAAACAUAUUAUUUCUAUUAUUAAUUUAGUUUAGUUGCUAAUAAUUUAACGUUUACAUCUAUACUAUUAAUUGUUUACAUAUUACGAUUUGACAAAAACAAAAUAUUGGAUGGAAUGUAUGUCGCAUAUUUUUUUUGGCUAUGUACUUAAUUUGUUAUAUUUAGUAAAUGAGAAAAUAUCGGAAUAUAUUUAUAACAUAAAUAUUAUUACUUAGAUUUUAUUGUUAAAAUAUUUUGUAUUUUUCAAUUAAUGACAUUCGAUUUAUGUUGAUUUUUUUGUUUUAUCUCUAACAAAUUGAAAAAUACAAAAUAUUUCGAUUUAUAUUCGAAAUAGAUAUAUUGAUGCUGAAUAUUCAGUUAUUAUUUAAUAUUUAUUGUUGUUUCUUUUUUUGUUUUUGUAGACAAAUCAUACCAAAAAUAUUGACGAAGCAAAUCUCCGAAUAUAUUGGAUCAUUUAAUCAUUUAAUCUCGCUACUUGUUUUUGCAAAAAACUAAAGAAGGAUCCGAAUCAAAUAUAUUUAUUUAGUUGUAGUAGUUGUUUAUUUACUAAAUUACCCAGGUAAAAAUUCAUUUAGUUAGUCUUAAACUACCCUCACAAUGUUGUAGUUCACAAAAUGUUUCCCAAUUAAUAGUAUAGAUAAAUAACUUGUCUUUUGUCUUUUUUUUUUCUCUUAUGUGCAAACUUCGUUUCAACGUUACAAAUUACAUCAGUGCUAUCAUAUUGCCUUUAGUUAAUGGAUCAAAAUAAUUCUAGAACGAUUGCGAUUUCUUUUUAUACCUAAACACACCAGGAUCAUAAUCUUUUCGAAGGUUCAUGCUCACACACAUAAACAAAAAAACAAACCAAAGUUCAAAUGGUUUACCAGAAAUACAUUAUCAUGCAUAAGACAUAUGUUUGAAGAUUGAACUUGAUCAUGCAUGCAUUAAAAAAUUUCAAAUGGUUUACCAUUAAAUAUUAUGGAACCCCUUUAAUCCAUUAGUUUAAGUAAAGGUUCAUUAAUGCUUCUACAUCCGGAGGUCUGGGUUUCAAAUCCCAGAGAAUGCGAUUUAUUAUGCAAAUUAAAUGCGAUAAGUUUACAGGAGAUCUUCAACGUGGUUCAGGUAAAACCGUCAGAUAUGGAUCUUCAUAAAGCAUAUUCAGGUGAAAUCGGCAGGUUUGGGUCUUCAUAAAGUAGGUUCAGGUGAAAUCGGCAGCGUGGAUAUUCAUAAGAUGGUAUAAUUGUCAGUUGUAAAAUUCGUCAAUGUAAUAUAUCAUAAUUUCAAAACUUUUUAGUUGAGAAAUUAGGAAACCAUACAUAGUCCAAUAGAACUAGAUUGUAACAGUAAAAUGCAGGAAAGUACAAUCUUGAAUAAUUAGGAGUUCCAACUACAUAAUAGAUAAUAGCUAAGUAGAAUAGCAAAUAAGUUGAACUGGCUUCAUCGCAGAGGCUGCUCCAUCUCCAUCUCCAUCUUCGGUUCUUGGCUUCUCCAAAGCAGUGAAUGGUGUACAGUAAUCUGGAUACAUCAGAAACCAUUCCCAAUCGCUGAUGAUGGUUACCCCUAAAUCUACAAGUUCCUCAAGCACCCCUAUCUUCAGACCUGCUUUGCUCCGUACAACUACUAUCACAUUGAUGUUGUUUUUCCUAAGAGCUCUACACUCAUCCAAAACUUUAAAGUCACCCGAGAUCAACACAGCGGUAGUACCCAUAUUCUGAUGCGGAAUCCACGAUUUCAAUUGGGCUACGAUUUCCUCAUAAGCUUUGUCCUUUUCAUCUUUUCGGUACACUUCCCCCGGACGCGGAUUCUCCAUGCAAUCUGUGUAUUUAAAGCCAGAAUCCGGGUUGGCAAGAAUGGCCCACUUGGCCCGUGUUUUCUUGGGGAAUUUAUCUGAGGUUGAUGAUUCAACUACCACGGAUAUUUCCAUUUCCGUUGCCCGUUGAUAUCCAAGCUUGAGAAAAGUAGCAUGCAAGGUGUGGAGAACGUCUUCAGUGUUCAGCCAUCUUGGAAUAGGCGCGUUCUCAAUGUCCCACCACACAAACAAUGGACCCAGUGCAUAGUUUGUACGAUAAACUAUUUAUAGACUACAAUAUCAGUUUGUCUUUAUUUUAACUAUUUAUUACUUAGGAUUUAGGAACAAUGAAAACAUUAAUGUACCUUUUUUAAAAAAAUAAAAGGAAUAAAGCUUUUUUGGGGCUAAUAAAAUCUAAAUAUUACACAACGUUGGUGGUUUUAGAUUUGAAGAAACUAUAAUGUCAACAACAACAAAAUUUUAAGUCUUUUUAAAACUGUAAUCUAUAUAUAUCCAAUAUGUUGUCAAGGUGCUACAAUAAGUAAAAAGUAUGAAAAAGAUGAUUAUUAAUUUUAAGAAAUAACUUUUAUAAUUAAUACUUUAAAAUUAUUAGUCACAUCUUUUACAGUCUUUUUGCUAAAAGACGUAUUUAAUGUAACUAAGGUUUUUUGAUGAAUGUAAUUUUACAUUUAUUCAAAAAAACAAAAAAGUAUUAGUCUAUAUACAUUGGCUUGACGAUGCUUAGUCUAUACAAUCUAUACAAUCAAUGUAAAAUCAAACCUAAGUACAUUUGCACUGAUCUAUACAAUCAAUAUCAUCAGCUCAAUCAACUCAAAGAUUCAAUCUUUCACAUCUAAGAACAUCCAAAAUCAAACAAAAGAUGAAUCAAAUCACUCAAUGCAAGUAGCUAACUUUCAUCAAAGAAUCAAGAGAACGACAUGAAUCAUCUCUUAGCUAAACAAUCACACUAAAUAAUCCGAAAAACCCUAAAACACACAAACAGCUUACAGCUUAUGAUUUUACCAAAAAAAAAAAAAACAGCUUAUGAAACUAUUUCUCAUUUCUCUCUCGGAUUAUGUCACAGGCCAAAUAGAUUUCAACAAAUGGCGAAAAAGCCAGAUAUGGAAAUCGAAGUCGGAACUGAAUCGUUCCCAAUCAAUCAAAAAUUCGUACAACGACAACUUACGGAAUAGCUGCUUCUUCUGCAGUUAUGCUGACGCAAAAAAGAGAGAGACCUCUCGACCGAGUAGCUUUACACUUCCAAAAUUGGAGUUAGCUUUAUAAUUCAAAAGGCGGUUCGAUGGGCCUCGGCCCACCUGUAUUUUACAAGACGCUGCGUUUCACCCGCAGAAGAUUGUUACCCAAAAUUGUAUAUAAUUAACACAUCGCCUCUCAAGGAAAUAGAAAAAAGCUUAGACCAUCUCCGUUGGGAGUGUCUCACAUGAGUUUUUACUAAUUAAAAAACAAAAAAUAAUGAUAAAGGAGGAGAGAAGGUGAGAAACAUGUCUCUGCAGCGAAACUUUGAGAAACUCUGCUUUACACAUGUCAUAUUUUAACAGAUUAAAUAGUUACUUUCUGAAUAAUUAUUUAAAUAAAUAAUAAAAUUAUAUCAUAGUUAUUAAAAUAUAAUAUUUUGAGACACUUUUAGAGUGUCUACCGAUAAAGAUGCUCUUAAAAGAAAACAACGAUUCAGGUAAAUUUUCUUUUUAUGAAACUCCUUGUGAAAAUUUAUGAUACAUAAUUGUUUUUGUUUUGGGUAACAUUAACAACAAUAUUUGAACAUGGAAAAUGGAGAUUCAAGGACUGUGAUGAUUGGAACAAGUAGACCAAUGACCUUAGGCCAAGUGUCCAAGGUAAGUUUGUGCUGCAACGAAUAAAGUGGUGUUUGUAGACAAUGGCACAUACUGGUUUUGUUAUGAUCAAGCAUUUCUUUGGGUUAAUUGAUUAUGCAGGUGAAACAGAGAGAAUAAGGAAACAUAACGGAAGGGUGUUAGCUUUAGGGUCAGAGUGCGGACGCCAUGAAGGCAGAGUAAGGUUGAAACAAUGUUGGGGAUAGUGGAAAUCCACGAGCAAAUGCGGCGGCAGAUCCAUCUUUGUGAAAGGGAGGGACAUGGCUGAUAAGGCAGCGGCAAGGGCAGAGAUGGGCAAAGCGUUGAUGGUGAUAAAGAAUGUGUGUACAUAUCUAUCUAAUAAGUCUCAGUUAGAUGAUCACACCAUUCAUCUCUUUUCAGUGCCAAUCGUUGGGAGAAGAGGUUCUUUAUCUUCUUCUUUUUUAGCUAUCUGAUUGCUUUCACUUCUUCAUCCUCUUAAAUCUUAUGAAGAGUGGUGUUGGUGUAUUUUGAGAAGAAACUUAUUAAGGAACUUGUUGAUAUGAGUAAGAACAAGACUUGCUAAUAGCACAUGCAGUAGGAGAUAAUUAGAAAGAAGAAAGUGAAUCUAAUAUAUAAAUAUCAAUCUUUCCUCUUGAAGAAGUGUCUUUUCAUUGACUAUCAUCAGGAAUAACAAAUUAUGUUGUUUUGUAGAUAUAUAUAUAUAUAUAUAUAUUCAUGGACUUCAUCAAACCAUAAUGCAGAUAGCAAUCAGAUUGUCAACGAAAAUUGAUUUCUUAUUAGUCUUUUUCCCCCACCUUAUAAUAUCACUAUUACAUUUCUUGAUUUUCUUUUGUAAUAAAAAUUGAGAAUAAAUAUAAAGAAAAAUUUAAAAUAAGAAAAGGGCUACGUUCUUCUAGCAACCUCCUUUCAUUCGUUUCUUCUACUCAGCUUUCUUAUCUCUCUCUCUGUCUCGGACCAUUCGCACAGCUCUGCCUUCUCCCGUCGACCAUUCGAUUACGGUACGAUUCAACCUUCUCCAACUGCACACAAAUCUUCUCUCUUUUUAAAGUUUCUUCUGAGAUUGAAACCAUACGACGUUUUCGAGGUUUUACACAGUUUCCUUUGCUUUGGACUGAUUUGUUUUCUGUUUUUCCCCGUAAAAGGGCAAACUUGUGGCGUGUGGAACUCGCCCAGCUCGGAUUUCUAUUGAAAUGAUUUAGCUUUUUUGGUUCAUGAUUGUAACAGAAAGGCAGAGUGUUUAGGCUGAAAGAUAUGUUUAAAUUGUUGUUUCAGGGAGUGUAUUGAGCUAAAACAAAAUGGCUCUAAUACAAUUUGGAAGAACAUGUGUUGCUCAAUGGAGUAUUCGUCCUCAAUUUGCAGUGAGAGCUUGUUAUUCAACCACACUCGAAUCAUAAAGAAACGUGUAUUUUACUUGGUUUGGGAGAAGUUUGAUUUAAGAUUAUAUAUACAGAUUAGACCUGUGAGAACAUGAGAAAGGCAGACAAACCACCUGGGAGCUAAGUUAGGAUCAGCGAUGGGAAUCUAAAGGAGAUGAAACUGUAGGAUUGAUUUCUCGGCUCAGACUCUCUAACUCUUCGUCACUGAAGAGCUGUCUGAGGAUGGUGGAAGCUCCUCCGGCCAACCAUUUGUCAUCCAGGCGGUGGCUGUAGACUCCAUACCUCGCAUCAUCGACCCUUUUGGUGCUGAGAAGUUCAAUAGCUAAGGUCGAGCCCAGUAUUAGAGUGUAUAUAGUUGGUUUAGUUAUGGUUUAGAUUGGUUAGUAUAUUUGGUUUAGUUUAGUUUGUAUUUAAGCUUGCUUUGUAUCACCAUUUACAAUUAAUGAAGAUUUUCACGAUUAUUGAAACCCAGUGAAGUCACCUUUGGAAAACAGAUAAGAAAAGUAUUGUUAAUGUCAGUAGGUAACUUAGUGAACUAGAGAAAUGGUAUUUUAGAUGUUAAAGAAAAACAAAAAAAACUCUAUUUGUUUCUAAAAAUAGAAUGUUAUUUAGUUAUUAAUCUUCGUAUAUAGGUUAUUCUACUUAUUCUCCCCUCUUUUAAUGUGUGAAAAUUUCAAAAAUGACACUGAUAAAAAAAAAAUCUUAUCAAAAUGAUAUAUUGUGACUAUUAUAUGUAGUUAAGAUGUAAUAAGUUUUUUUAAAAAAUCUCAUCAAAAUGAUAUAUUGUGAUUUGUGACUAUCAAAAUGAUAUAUUGUGACUGAAUUCUCUAUUUUUUCAUAUUGUAAUAAGUUUUAUUAUCCAUUCUUAAAUUAACUAAUUAGAUUUAAAUUAAGAAUGUUAGUAACAUUAGAUGUAGACUUCGUCUUUUCAAAAAAUUUUAUAUUCUUUUAUGAUUUUUUAAAACAAAAAAAGAUAAAAACAAGCUUUACUGCAAAGCUUUCAUCUCUUCCUUGAACUUAAGCAUUGCAAUUCUUGGCAAUGUAACCACAAUCUGAACCCCUCCGACCAUAUCCGGUUCCAACCUAGAUGGUCGCAUGAACAUAUUAACCGUCCUAGCUGUCUCCGAUGGAACCACCGGGACGAUAUUCACCGGCUCAUUCCACCCGAAAUCCAUCGAUCCAAAGAUCCCGAUAUUCCUCCAAUCCGUCAAACAAAACAACCCAUCUUUUUUUCCUUUGAUCUUUAAAUUCAUCUUAAUGAUUUUUUCAGUGUUUGCAAGCUCUUCUUGGAGAUAAUCUUUAUCGUGACCCUUCCUCUUUGCUUCUUUUAUAAGCUUUACGAUAUCGGAGAUCGUAAAUUCUUCCACUUCUCUCGCGGUUAAUGGCACAUACAUGUCAAUAUAUGCAUUACCGUAGUAUCCAUCGGGCAGAGGUGGAUCCACAACGUUGCGGAUUCCUACUGAUAAACCCAAAACUGUGACUCCAUCUCGAUCCAAAUUGAGAGCUUUAACUCUUGAUUUCCACAAAUAAGCUCCUAGAACUUCGAAAGUAGUGAUUGUCUCAUUAGAGAAGUCGCACUCUUUCAAUGUAGCUUCUUUCAAUCUUCUUAUGCUAUCGGCUCUAAUAUUUAUUUUUUCAGUUACCUGAAUACAUUUAUAAACAUGGAUAGAAUUAAAAUACUAUUGUUUUGGAUUAAUAUAGUAUGUGAGGGUCUUGUUGUGUGCACACAUACCCAAUCAUCCGUUGGUAAGUAGGGCGAAGCAGCCGUGUCGUCGCCGGGAACAAAUGGAGGUUGAUCAUCUUCAGGCUUCCCCACAAGUCUUUCUCUUUCCCAAACCGGAGUUACCAUCGGUUUCUUCUUCCCGUUGGCCAACUCCGUCAAGGCACACAUGAUAUGACCUUCUCCAUAUCCAUCGCACAUUGCAUGUGACAUUGCCAUCCCUAAGAUAAAUCCUCCACAUUCAAAUUUGGUUACCUAUUCAAAAAAAAAAAAAUUAUUUAUUUCUUAGUAAAGUUGAUGUGAAAAAAGUUUGGUCACUUGCCACAUGCAUCUAAAAUUUAUAUCAUUUUAGUUUAGUUAUGUCCAAAUCAGGCCGCAGUACUGUAAAAUAAAUGCAUGGAAUUAUUUAGAUGAGACCAAAUUGGACUAAAUUAUGCGGAAUUUGCAGAUUUCUAGCCGGGCAUGCAGCACCGGUCUAAUAUAUAUAUAUAAAAUUUUAAAAAUACAAAAUCCAGCAACUUUUACAAAAAUGACUCUAGUAAAUAUACUUUAUUUUAGACUCGAUCUGAGAUGAACCGAAAUAACCGAUCCGAAAACCAAAUCAUAUUUUAGCAUAUGAUUUAAAGGAAUUUUUUUUCCUAUAUUCGAAAAAAAUCAGACUCAGAAUUUGAAUAAGACAAAAAAAAUCAAUCUAAAUCCUAAUUAUCAUUGAAAAUUAAGGAGAAAUUAAAAUGUGAUUAAAAACCAAAUCCGAAGGGAAACCAAAAUCGUACCAAACCAUGAGCUUAGAUUUUACUUUGAAACUCUAAUUAAUAAACCCCCCAAAAAAAAAACACCUAAAAAAAAUAAAUGGUUUGUGUACCUGCAAAGCAAAAGGUCGAUAACCAUCGUUAUCCACGUGAAGUUCAGGCAAGAACAUCAAGGCCGUAUCCGAGUCAAUAUUCUCUUGAUUCUUCAAAGAAGAGAGCUCCACAUUUGCAGUAGCUACCGUGAACGGCACACCGCCUCCAUCGUGGCCACAGCUCAAUUGAAGCUUCCGGUCACUCUCCUGCCGCUUCAAACUCCCCGAAAGCGGAUAGUAAUACACAAGAAGAUCGGACAAGGCCUCCCUAAGCAAAAGUUCAGGCCGGUUAUCAUCAUCAACAACGUUCUUGGAUUUGAAAACGUAACAUGCCUUGUAAAUAACUUCGUUGUAAGGAUCAUUGUCAAGUGUUGAAAGGGAAAGUGUUUGUUGAGGAAUAUGUUUUGAGGGUUUCACCAUAUCGGUGAGCUUCUUCUCGACCAUUAAAGGGAUCGAUGAAGCUAUGUGAAUCGACAUGUUUUAAUUUUUGUGUGUUUGACAAAUAUAAGUGUAUAACUCUAAGAACACUCUUGUCUUUUAUAGAUAAAAGUUUUGGCAUAAUGUUGGCCACGUUGACGUUAAACAUUGUAACAAGUAAACAAAUGGCACUUAACUUUUAUUUAUAUUCUAAGUAAUCCUUAUUGUCCGCACGGCCAAUAAAUGAAGAAAAUGGAAAAGGUUUGACAUUUUAUUUUCAUUUGUCAUUUCAAAGUAAACCAUGCUAAGUUAUCCUUGUUGUCCGCACGGCCAAUGAAUUUUCAUUAUUAUUUGUAAAGGUAAAAGCAAACGUACGUAACUUUUAUCAUGUUCAAAUAUUUGGUUAGUUUUUAGUUUUAAAGUAUGAUCCUAAAUCAUCAUCAUUUCAUUUCGACUAGCCAAAUAAGAAUGAUUUAAAUAAUUACACGUUUUAAAAGAAAAAAUUGACCUAGUUAGACUUAAACUUGGUUAGAACCACUAGACUACUAUAACUUUUUUUUUUUUUGGUAAUCACUAGACUAGUAUAACUUGGUAAUUGGUUAGUUUUACCUUUUUCUUGGGUCUUUUUAUAAUGUUGUCCCAUAAUAAUCCAAAUUACAUCGGAGUAUGGAAGAUAACAUGACAUUUGAUUUGUAACGCUUUGACAAAAAAAAAAAAAUACUAUAUAAAAAGAAAACUAGAGACAAACGUAAUAAUAUCGUAUUGUGAAGACAUCAAGCUUUUCUUCCACAGUGCAAGACAUAUUCUACAAUUGUAUGCGUCUAUGCGAAGUUCCAUCGAUGCAAAAUUGGAUGCAAUAAACAUAUAACUCUAAACAACAUAUCAGAUCGAUCAUCGAUGACAGUAUAAUUUGUUGAAGGUUUCGAUCUCAAAUUCCCAAUGCUCACAAUCAGAAUUAAAAAAUAGUAUGAGCGGGCGGAGAAACAAUAGUGUGAGUAGACGAAGAAAUAGAAAAUAGUAAUCUUAUAAAAAUGUAAGAUCUUAAUUAAUUAACUUGGUUUAUGCGUCACAUAUUUAUCAAAUGCUAAACGAUAGUGGUCUCGGAAUUACAAGCGACAACAAGAACAUAUGUGUGACAUAUGGCGCAAAAAGACAUAAUCAAUACAAUAAUAACACUAAGGAUCUCUCUAAUUCUGACAGAUCAGCAUUUUGGGAUUUUCUCAGGCUGACACCUCAUUAAAAUCAUUAUCCAAUAAAAACAUUUCGAUUAAUACACAUCACUUCUUUGCCACAUCAGAUUUCCAGCAUGCCACAUCAGCUUUUUAUAAAAAAACACAUUAUUUAAAAGGGAAAUUGUUAUAAAUACCCUUUUUGGUGUGUCUUUUUUCAAAAAUACCUCUUUUAGAUAUCCAUUUUCAAAACUGCCCCUUUUUAAAUCGGAAAUGUUUAUAAAGUUUUAUUAGGUUUAUAAGGUACUUAUGAAUUGUAACUACUACUUAAAGAUAUUUAUAAGGUAUUUUUAAAGGUUCUACAAGUUAUUUUAAAGGAUUUUUAAGGUUUUCAAAAGUUUUACAAGAUAUUUUAAAGGUUUUAAAAGUAUUUAAAAUGCAUUUAUAAGGUAUUUAUAAAGUAUUUAUAAGAUUUUAGAUACAUAGAAAUGUAGUUUGUGAAUGUUUAAUAAUAUUACAUACAUAUUUGGGUAAGUCUUAUAUUUUUAAGAGAAUUUUUUAUUUUAGUUUUUUUGUAAACGAAGAGCAUUUUUUAUAAAGUUUUAAAAAGAGGUAUUUUUGAAAAGUGGCAUUUUUGCAAAAGCCCCUAUUUAAAAAGACAACUAAUCAAAUUAAUACAAUCAUACACAUAAUGAUUUUAAUUUUUUGAUAAUAAUAAAUAAAUUUCUAAUUUGUUUAAUAAUUCAAUAUCUACAAAAAAUGGAAAACAAAAUACCCUCUUUAUUUUUUUUAAAGUUGUUUGACAUCAAAUGGUUUUAGAGAACAACAUGCAUGAAGUGAAUUUAACAAGUAGUUUACACCGCGUGUUACUUUUGUAAAUUAAUUUUGUUUUAAUAUAAGUUUUACGGUAAAAAUGUAAGAGGUUCUUCAGAUAUUAUUUUAUAUUUGCUCGUAUUUUAAUUGUUUUUAUUUUAUUAGUUUAUAUAUGCAUACACUAAUAAAUAUUUUUUAUAUCUUACUUUUACAAAAAAAUGUACCGUGUAGUUAAUAUUUAUAUUUGUUUUUUUAUUAUUUUAUGUUUUGUAUAUGUUUAACUUUUUAUAAAUGUUAGAUUUGUUUUUAUAUUCUGAUAUAUGUAAAUAUGUUUCAGUGAAUAUUAUACUCCAAAAACCUUAGAUUAUUUCUGUUAAAAUUAUUUGUGGUACACAAGCAUAAUUAGAAUCAUAGUUUAUUCAUAAGAGUUUACGAUUGCUAAAUUGGUUUACGUUUCUUUUUUAUUUCAAUUCAAGAAAUUCACAGCAGUAAAGAACAUUACACUCUUAGGAUUGUAAUCUCACACAUGUUCUAUUAUCCCGUCUUGUUACUUCAAGAUGUAUAGUCAAACUUGAAUCUCUAUGUUCCUAUUAUACAUGUAUCUUGUUUCACUUGAUCAUCUGCAUAUAAAGCGCAAAACUUUGUUAGUUUCUGUUCAAAAAUGAAAUCCCUAAAGGGAAAAUUGGUCAACUUAUUCUAUGUUCUAACCAUAGAAAUGUGUAGCCCAGUGAAGUUUGCAUUUGCAAUUUGACUUAUUUUGGAUUUAUGCUCUUUUUCUUGUUUGUAAAUUUUGGCUGAAAUAUCGCAAAUGUUAUUGAUUAAUUUGGUUAUUAUUUUUGAUCUAUUAUAUAGAAAUAUAUAAUUCUGCAUAUCAAAAAGUUGAGAAUUAACUCUGUAUUUGUGGUUUAUGCUUUGAAUGAAGGUGAUCUCAUGCUGCCGGCUCAAACGCUUGACCUACUCUAUUCCAAGAACAUUUAAUGGUAAAUAUCAGGCCCGACUUAGAGGCAGUGCUGACAGUGCUAGAGCACUAGGUCCACAUUUGUUUGUCAGUUUUUGUAAAGCUUAAAGGUCCUAAAUUUUUGAUAUUUUUGCAAACAAUGGUCCUAAAUUUUAAAUCUUUGCAAAUAAGACCUUAAGUUUUCAGAAAAAAAACAAAAAAUUGGGCACAAGGUCAAAAAAAAUUUUAAGCCGGCCUGGUAAAUAUAAGUUAAGAGAAAGACAAAGAGAAAGAUGGGAUUCCCUUAAAAUGCUAAGAACCAUAGGAUCGUCAUUCUGUAACUAUUUAUCUUUGAACAUUCUAAUUUUAAGUCAUAAACCAAAUUAUAUUAACCAAUGUUUAUGAAUUGUUUAGCCUAUUCAUUUUAAAAACCCAUAACAAAGUCUGGUCCAUCUUUUUCGAUUUCUAUAUUUUCAUGAAAUUUUCGUAACUUGUGUUUGUCUAAUAAUUUUCUCAAGAGAGAUUGAUGUCUCUUGUGGUCGACAGACUAAUUGAUUCCAAUAAUAAAUACUAUAUUGUUUUGGUUUUGAUUGUUUAAAUAAAACAAAUUUUUAAAAAAUACCCGCAGCGUAGCGCGGGUUUCGACCUAGUAUAGUAUAAUAAUGUUAUAUCUAACAUAAGUAUAGUGGUAUCCUUGUGAAAAACACUUGGGAGGUCCUUGAUUCAAGUCUUUGCGGUAGGAACAUUAUUUCUACCGUAACUAUGAUGGUUAGGUUUAGGAUGAAAACCUAGAUCUUAAGGCGUAAAUUCGCACAUUUUUGGGUUCGAUUUCCGUCGGAAAUUGGAGUGCUAUUUAUGGAUUAGCUAGAAAAUUAUUUGGAUGAUGCGGGCGGGAUCGAUCUGAACCUUCAGGUCUUAGGGGGGGUAUUGAAGCAAAGAAUGUCAUAGAAUUUAAUAGAAUGGAAUUAAAGACAUAAAUACAGAUUUGUAAGUACUUGUAAAUAUUUUUUUAAAUCUUUCUUUCAAAUUCUACGAAUAUUCUACAACAAUUUAAUAGAAUUGAAAAGAAAUUUCAAUAGAAUUGAAAAGAUAUAUUUACAAAAUUCUUCUACCUCUUGUUAUCCCUCCGGAGAGCUUCCACGAAAUUACUCCGGUGGCAGAAGUGACGGUGGCAACAGAUGUGGAAGCCACUGCUGGUCACCGUAGCGGUGGUGACGGUGGCGAUGGAAAGAAGAAGUGUGUGUGUUCACCGUCGAAGCAUCCAAGAUCGUUCAAGUGUAGGUAUCAUCAACAUGAAUAUCAGUGGCUUCCUUCAUCUUCUUCUUCAUCCCUUCACAAAUAACGCAUCAUCAAAUCAUCAUGUAAACAAUAAUUAUAGUUUUCUAUUUUUAUUAUUCAUGAUUAUUUUGAUUUGUUUAAGUAUUUCAAUCAAAGUAGAAAUUGUGUUGUGGUUCUUCGUAUUGCUCAUCAACUCCAUUAGCUCAUAUCUAUGUUCUCUACCGUAGUUUUGCUUAUGGUACCGUUUUUGUCACGCCAGCCCCGUUUGAUAGCAUCAACUAAUAUAGCCGUUAACUCAUAACAUUCUUGAUCUGACCAUGACAUAUAUGGGCCUUUCUUUUUCUUUUUUGACGUCUCUCCUGCCUGGUCUCCUGAUUCCAUUCUAAAGAAAAAAGGAAAGUAAAAAACACAAAGAAAUCUUUCAUAUGGAUCAAGAGAAACUGUAGUGUAGAUUAUUAUAUAAAAAUGGAUUAGAGAAACUUACGAAGGAUGAUUGUGGUUUUUCUUCAAACUGGUUUUAGGAGAUGAUCGUUGUUUUUUUUUUUUUGAGAAGUAAGGAAAUGAUCACCAAUAUUAUAUAGGAGAAGUAAGUGUAACUAAUACUAUUUUUUUGGGAUUUUACGAUAUAUGGUUGAUAGAUUUUAUAAUAAACAAAUAAAUUUCAAAAGUAUCGAAAAUCUAGCAACAACAUUCUUAUCUAAUAAAAUUGGAGCAUAUCCAUAAAGAAUAAAAUAACAAACAUGCUUCAGCACUGAUGUGUAUCAAAUAAUUGUUCUCACGUUAUUGUUCGUCCAAUAACAAACAUGUUUUGUUGUUCUCACGUUAACAAAAACAGAGCAUCACGAUUCACGACUCACGAGCACACCCGAAACCUUGCAGAUGUCGCAGCUACCAAAGCAAGCGUGUCAUUCUCAUCUUAGCUUGUGUUCACGAGGAUAAGGAGAUCAAUCUGAAGUUGUUGUGUCAUUGCCGUCGUUUGGCGUUGUUUCAUUUUGAGUCACCGUGGUUGAUUCUCGAUCAACCCCGUCAGAUAGAAAGAGAGACACGGCUAAGACAUGGUCACAUGGCAUCUCUGGAGGAUACGAGAAAAUAGGAGAAGUGAGGUCUCAUGUGGAGAUGUGAUGAAAGAGGCAGUAAUCUCGUUAACACAAAAAAAGAGAGAAAGGGAGAAGAGGAGAGAGAGAGAGCCAUGAAGAAGAGGAGAGAGUUGGAGAAGUCGCACAGGUGGUGGAAAUCACUGGUGGCUCUAUUAGCACAUGUCAUGGUUGUGGAAACUCUCGAUGGUGGUGAAGGAUCAAGCUUGGAGCAGAUCAGAGGUGGAAAAGAAGAUAUGUUGCACAUGAGUUCAUAGCUAAUGGUUUGCACAUGAGGCUCUUGGUUGCUCCAGAAGAGAUGUCAAUGGGAAGACGAAUCAUUUGAGGGAAAUUUUGAUGAGGUCUUGGCUCUAGAAGAGAUGCCAAUGAGAAGAAGACCCAUUUGAAGUCCGUACGUCCUUUUUUUUUCCACCGAAAUCACAACGUAAAGGCUCAGAAUUUGUUCAAUACAUUUUACACUAAUGUUUCUAUUAAAUUCUUGUCAAAUAAUGGUGUCAUAGAAUUUUACAUAACAUUAAAUAACACUUGAAUUUAAUAGAAUUAAGAAUUCAACAAAUUGAAUAACACUAGAAUUAAAAGUAUUUCAAAAGAAUGGUUACAAAUACUUAUUUCAAUAACACAAGAAUUUAAUAGAAUCUACAAAAAGUCAAAAUGAAUAACACUCGAAUUCAAAUUCUGUUUAAUUCUAUCAAUUUCCUUCGUCCAAUAACCCCCCCCCCCCUAAUGUUUAACUUGAUAUAUAGGUGCCUACCAAAUUUUCAUAUCUGAAAAGUUAAUCAGAAUCGCUUGGAUAAACACAAAAAUAGUCCAUAAGUAAUACUUACUCGUAUUCAAAGUUCCAAAAAUUCCAAUGAUUUAUAGGGUUUAGGGUCAGUUUUAUUUGAGGUUUAAUCAAAUCCGUCAACAAAAUAAUUCAUCUUUUUUUUUUCCUUUGGAUCGUUAAAUUCAUCUUAAUGGGUUUUUAGUGUUUGCAAGCUCUUCGUGAAGAUAAUCUUUAUCCUGAGCCUUUAUCUUCACUUCUUUUAUGAGUUUCACGAUGUCUGAGAUCGUAAAUUCUUCGCUUCUCUUGUGGUUAAUGGUACAUACAUUUCAAUAUAUGCAUUACCAUAGUAUCCGUCAGGCAAAGGUGGAUCCACGACGUUUCGAGUUACUACAGGUAGAGUCGUAGAGAAGCCAAAAAAUAUGUUUUUAAAAGGGUUUAAGGUCUCAAACAUUUCACUUGGCUUGGUGUCAAAAACAAUUUUUACGAGUUUUUUUUUUUAACUAGCGAGGUUUAGUGUGAGAGAAAAUAUGCUUAACUAGGUUUGUAAACGGAACGAAUAUCCGGCUUUUUUUUAAGAUAUCUGUAUCCGUAUCUGUAUCCGUAUUAUCUGCCAAUUUAGUAUCCGUAUCCGGAUUCAGAAAUUCCAGAUAUCCGGAUACCGGAUAUCCGUUAAAAAUCCGGAUAUCCGCGAAUAUUUAGAAAUAGUGUUUUAAAAUCCUAAAUUCAUUAAUAUCAUACAUAAAAAGCUUUAAAAAUUCAUAAAAUAGCUAGAAGUUGAUUAAACAUGCAAAACAUUUCAAAAACAAAGAAUUUAUUAAAGUAGCAAAAGGUUCAAAAGAUUCAAAUGAUGUUCUUAAACAAAAAAAAAAAAGACAUUAAUUAACUUCUCUAAUUCUUUUUAAUUUUUAUAAUUUAUUUUUAUUUUUUGUCCUAUGAUUUAUUUAUUAAUAUUGAAAAUAAAAUAAAAAUAAUUAAAAAAGUUGGGUUUACAAAUUUUGUUGGGCUUUAACACUUGAAGGAUGAAGUCAUUAAGGCUUUUAAGUUACAAAUUUUUUUUUUUUUUUUUUUUUAAAAUUUAAAAAUUAUCCAGCCCAAAUUUUAGGAUUAUUCGUAUUUAUAUCCGUAUCCGCGAUAUUCGUCAUUUUACUAUCCGCAUCCGUUCGGCCGGAUAUCCGUUUUUUCGGAUCAAAAACCGGGUAUAGAUACGGAUAUCUGCAGAUAACGGAUAUAAAUCUCAGGCCUAUGCUUAACUGUGUUCCCUUCUCCAAAAGUGGAAAUAUUUGGCCAAAACAUGUUCUGCUUUCCAGUUGACAAGAAUUGUCCUCCUAUCUCAUAUUCCUAAAAACUGAAACAGAGCAAUACGAAAAAAACUAUAUUUAGCAAAUCUUAAUUCACAGUUUUACUUUUUACCCUCCUUUCAUUUCCAGAAGCCUCUAGGAUGUUGUUAGUGGCUCAAGGCAUUAUCACAAAAAGGCGAAUUCUUGAUGCAGCGGGUUUCAAAAAGUUUUCAAAGAAUCAAUCACGUCUCUGAAUCUUCUGCUUCUUCUUCAAUUACAGUUGGGAGCGAACCUUCUCUGCUGAAACCGGGGUUUAAGAACUUGGCGACAAAAGCCCAUAGCUUAUAAACAUCCUCAAAGUUUGUCAAAAAGCUGAGAGAAGCUGUGACAACCUCAAACCGCACAAACCCAUUUUUUCCACCGCGUUUACCAGCUUCUCUCUGCAGAUGCAAAGAACUAUCUUCCUUGAUCCUAGCGCCCCCACGGUGGUUUCUCGGAAGAUCCAUUAUGCGUAUGUGACUCAAGAUACCAAUACCAAGAGAUACACCUUCUCUCUCAGCCAGUUUAAGAACAACUUCUGGACUUACAAACCCUUUGCUUUUGUCUUUUACGUUGAAAGCAACUGCUGCUCCUCUUUCGUACUUUAUCUUUGGGCCAUAAAUCUGCACAAGAUUCAUGUAUCUGCUGCUACCGUCAUUGCCUGGUUCAGGCACUUUCAGCUGUAGCAAAGAGAUCACAAGCCAGUUAAUCAGAAAUCUGAGCCUACUUGUGGUUUUAUUAAGACCUAACAUAUUCACAUGAUCGAUAUGGCUGCAAACAAUCUCGGGCUCCCUUCUGUCCCAAUCAUCCUCAUUCGGGUUUUCACCAUCACUUUCGUCAUAUACACUGGCCAUAGAAGCUUCACCUUGGUCCAGACUAUGACUGACACGGUCCAUGUUAAAUGAAACCCGUGUUCCUCUGCUUGGUUGUUCAUCUUCCACACCCAAAAGCCUCCCACCAGUACCCCUUCUUCCCAAUAACCUAAACUCACCUUCUGUUUCUCGUCUAAUUGCGUUAUCUUUCAUAUCUGAAGAAAUCUUGGAGCUUGAGCCAUUUGAUCCAAAACCAGAUCCUGCGCGAUACACAAUGUUACCGCAGUUUUCUUCCUGUAUCUCUUGAGUUUGGAAAUUAUUAGAGUUCCUCGGAUUCCGUGAUGGCGUUGAGUUUGUCUCCUGAGUAACUGACAUAACUGCAGCAUCAAACGAGAGGACAUCUUUACCAUCAUACAUAGGACUGCUGUAACUCUUUGCUACCGGUUUUGGUGAUUGCCGUUUGCUGGUAAACCAAAACGGUGGCAAUGGAGAGGCGAUUUUAUGGUGGUUCAAGUGACCCGCACGGUCAGACCCAAGCGGACUUUGACCCAAAUCAAUCCAAAAGGAAUUAUCAGAUGACUCAUCUUCACUGAAAGCUGGGCUUUUCAUCAGUUCUCCAACAGAAACACUUUCAUUUUCUUCAAAUAUGGUACUACUAGUCCCAUCUCUAUCAGAGGCAUUAUCUUCUAAGAGGUCUGUCUCAAACACAUCCCUCACUUGAGCUGAAGUGUAUGCACCAGAGAAUACCGGCAUCUGAGCACCUCUACGAGCAGCCUCUGUGGUGGCUGGUUUAUCACCAUUUGCACCAACGUCAUGAUCUUCAAGACCAACCAAUCCGUCCAGACCAUCUAUCGAAUCACUGAGAUAUAAUGGAUAUUGAGGUGUGAUCUUCACAAUUCCCGAUCCUGUUUUCCCGGACUGACUCUGAAGAUUACCCAUCACCGACUUCUUAAUCAACAGACAACCAAAACCUGUAGGAUCAUGCCCAAAGACCUUGUAGAACGAGGUGAUGAUAAACUCUGGUCGAAACAACGAUAAACCGAGCGAAUCCAUAUCUUUGGGACCUAAAGAACCAGCAUCAAGCAACACAUGCCAGUUGUUCUGCUGAGCAAGAGCCAUCCACUGGUAAGAGUACUUAGAACCCGUAACCCUAGACUGCGCAGGAAACACAAACAACCCAACCGCAGAAUCCUUCUUCUUCCUCUUCUUAUGAGACAAACGGUUCUUCAAAUCCGUGGAACACAGCUUCAAAGUUGGCCAUUUAAACCAAGCGUUAUAAGCUUUCGCACCUUUCUCUCUCGCAGUCUGAGCCAUCCAAUUCACAGACUGACUCUCAUGAUCAAACAUUGUCAAAAGCCGCUUAUUCGUAUGAAAAGGAUAAGAUUCCGCAAGCAACCUAAACGCAGAGCCUCUACUUCCAGUGAAAACAAGACCAUACUCACUCUCAGGUAUAUUAAGAUAAUCCAUUAUCCUAGUCUUGAGAUCAUGUUCCACAGUUCCAAUCUCAGCUCCACCAUAAAGAGCAUGGUUACUCAAAUUCGCAGUAAUCUCAGACAAACUAAACGUACAAGAAUCCCAAUAAUGCAAAGUCUGAACAUACGAAAAAAGCCCAAAGCCACAGUAAUCAAGACAUACCUUUGAAUCCAACAAGUGACCAUACUCAUCAGAUCUCAACUGAUCAACUUUCUCAGAAGUCUCAAACUUUGGAUACAUAAUAAGAAACUUAUUAAAAGCUUCAAGAAGCUCAGGUAUGUCAUCUUCAGACUCAAAAGUGCGUUCAGCAGCUAAAGCAGUAGCACGUAAGAACUCACGUUGAGCGUGUAACCUAGCCAAAGAUCUAGAACGACCUAAGCUCUCAUCUUGAUUCUCUUUCUCAACUUCUUGAGAUUUAAAGAGCAACCCAUUCUCAGAUGCUUCUUCAAGAGCAUCUCUAAGCUUAUCUUCAUACAAUUUCCUAAGCAUUGAAGCUUUUCUUCUAACAUCAAUUGGUGAAUCAGAACCAUCUCUUCUCCUACUCUUACUCUUAUCUAAGAUCAGAGUAGCACAGUGAUGAAUUUGCUUCCACAAAGGAAAAUGCAUUAAUCUCAAUUUCAGAAGAAGGGUAACAAAAAAAAAGGGUUCUUUUUUCUUUUUCUCUAGCCCAUAAGAGGAAAAACCCUAAAAAGUGAAGAUCUUGAAGCAGAUCAAGAGAAGCCACUAAAAACGGAAACUUUCACAAAACCCACAAAAAAGUAGACGACUUUCACGGAAGAGAAUUAGCAGAAUUUUCAAACAAACAGUCAGAUCCCAAAAUUGUGAAAGGAAGAAGAUGAAUUAUGUGAAAGCUUUUGCUCUGUAUUUUUUUUUUUUGGGAAGAUUUUAGAGAAGAAGAUGAUGAUAAUAAAUGCAAAGCUGACUCCUUUCACCACCAAUCUCUCGUCUCAUUUACUACACAACACACUCUCUCUCUCUCUCUACUCAGUGCCUUUCUCUCUCUAAUCCUUGGGUCAAAAAGUCAUUGACUUUUUUUCCAUAGAAGCAGAGUAGUGGUGGCGUUAGGGUUUUGAGAAGCUUAAUUAAUUAAGUUUCUGUAAUCAUUUGAUUUUCUAUUAUUCGAAUGAAAGAUAUUAGUAAGCUCAUUUUCUGCAUUGUGAAUAGACAGUAAUUUUAUAUAAUGUUUAUUGUUUAAAGUGCUUAUUUUAAUUAGAGUCAAACAAAACAGAAAUUAUAUUUUUUUACUUAAGAAAACUGAUAUUUGUCUUAUUUUGUGCCCUGAAAAAAAUGUAGGAAUUAGUCAACUUCUGUAAGCAAAGAAAAAAAGGGAAAAAGUAUAUUUAGAAAAUACUGUCCUCACCACAUUUGGGAUUUAUAAGUUCAUUUUGGUAACUUAUUUAGAAAAAAAUAUAUUUUCGUAUUCAAUUUAAGAAAGUAAAAAGCUUUAAUUUUGAUAUGUUGGGAGUGUUGGGUAAGGAGACCAAAUGUAUUAAAUAUGUUAGGUUGAGAACAGUGGGAAGAUUCUUGCUCUUUUUUAGACUCCACAUUUAUGAAAAAAAAAAUUGCAGAAUAUUUAUUCAAAUAGCUUAGAGCAUAAGCAAUGGUAAACUUGAGUGGAUGUGUGUUAGUGGGGUGUAAAUAUUUUUUUAUUAUUAUAAUUAGAGAUAGAGAAAAGAGAGAGAGAGGGAGAGAUAGAGAGAGAUAGAAAGAAGAAAUUUUUUUCUAUUUUUAUAAUACUUUACACUUGAGUGUAAACUUGCACCCUUGUUUUGUGUCUUAGCCCAAAUUUACAUUAUUUUUCAUUUGUUUAUAACUAACACCCGAGUGUUGAGUACUCCACUGCGUGUGCUCUUAUAAUUUUAUGUGUUAUUAUUAUUAGUAGCUUUUAAUUCGGAAAAAAUUGGCAAUUACAAAUGACUUUAUGAGAUUCUUCCUAGUGUACUUGAAAGUAUUUUUGUAAUAUUAAAGUUUGGAGAUUUUUGGUUUAGAGACUUCUAAUAAGUUUACAUUCUAAAUUAAAAUUGAGAAAAUAUUUCUAGUUCUUAAACUUAACAUCUUUUAAAUAAGAGAUUUGGAUCUUAUAAGAUUCUUUUUCCUAAUCCUUAAAUAAUAGAUUAACUAGAGUUUAAACAAAAGAGUCUUACAAGGAGUCUCAAUUUAAUCCGUUAGAAACAAAAGAGCUUAAGCUUAGAUUUUGAAGUUGCUUGCACAUAAGCAACAAAACCAAACAGAGCUUAUGUGCAACAAAACCAAACAGAGAGGGUCAAGUCGAAAAGAGAGCUUAACAAUUUAGACUAACAAAAUACGUUGGAUUUUCCUUCUGAAACUUCUUCUAAAAUCCACUUUGGCUCCUUCGACGCUGCCUUAGUCUUCCACCAAUGCUAUUUGGAUUAGGUUCGAGGGCCGCUUUCCUCUUACUUCUCGUUACUCGAGUACUCACUGACUUACCCCCGGUCUCAGUCUCAUCGCAUAUGACCUCGUUCUGAGCUUUGACAACAAUGGUCUGGCUUUCCCCAAAACUUGUCUCCAAAUUCAAAUCUGGUCCUGUCCCUUCUUCUAUUUCUGGAAGAUCAUCAUCAAUGUGGGCACAUGAAUGUUCUUGUUUAUCCUGCUUUGGCGUCUCAAGAUAACUCAAGACCUGUGCAUCCACCAAUGGAGUUUGAUCAUCCAUAGGAAUCAAGUAGCUAACUGGUCUUGUCUCCAAAUUCGGGUCUUGUCCUGUCCAUUUUUGAAUUUUUGGAAGAUCAUCACCACUGUGGGCACAUGAAUGUUCUUGUUUAUCCUGCUUUGGCGUCUCAAGAUAACUCAAGACCUGAACAUUAACAAAUGGAGUCUGAUCAUCUACAGGAAGCAAGUCGCUAUCUGGUAGCAUCUCCAAAUUCGAGUUUCGUCCUAUCUUUUCCCGAACUUCUGGAAGAUCAUCACCAUUGUGGGCACAUGAAUGUUCUUGCUUUGGUGGCUCAAGACAACUUAAGACCUGAACAUCCACGAACGAAGUUUGAUCAUCAACAGAAGGCAAUAAGAAGCUCAGUGACCUUCUAGCUGAAUUUGGAGUCUCAUCCUCCUCUUUCUUCAAGGAAUCACCACUCUGAUUUUCGAUAUUCUGAAGCUUUUGUACUUCUUCAGGGAGAUCACCAUUCUGAUUUUCGUUUGUGUUUUCAUCUUCCUCUUUCUGCAAGGAAUCAUCAUUCUCAAGCGUUGGUACUUCUUCAUCAUCAGCAAUCAUUCCUUGAAAGGAAAGUGAUCUCUUUGCAGAAGCUUGAUUUGGGGCUGCAUCUUGAGUUUGCGCCCGUUUGGUUUGAAUCAGAUAAUGUGCUACAGACUUAUACCCAAGUGCAGCUAUCUAGAAUCUCAAUAAAGAAAGAAAUCUUAAGCUCUUGAUUCUAUUCAAGAAUCGAAAAACCAACAAGAUAAUACGAAAGAAAACAACGCACCCUUCUGUAAAUCGGGCCAGUUGGAACCCAUCCUUUAUUAUUCCGGCACAAGCUGCAAUUGCAAAUCCCCCGACAAGCAGGACAAAUCCAGUUUGGAUUCUCAAGAGCUUCAAGCACAUGUUCACCAUAUCUGUUUAUCAACAAGAAUAAAAUACAUUCACUACCAAUAACAGAAAAACUCCAUUGCUAGUAAAUCAUAUUAAGUAGCAACCAACCUCAUGAACAAACAAUCACCACAGAAUUGUCCUUGAACCAGGUUGCAUUCGCUGCACUGUGUACGAUAUCCCAUCGUUUUCUGCCUGUAAGACACACACAUAAACACACUGAAGCAUUAAGCAAAUUGCGUUUCAAAGAAUUGCAAUAGCAACACAUGGGUUUGGUUCUUACCUGCAUUGAUGACAAGUCUUACCGUUAAACGGAUCAUAAAUCCGUUUACCAUUCUUAUCAUAACCAUCAACAAAACAAGUCCAGCUUCGUUCUGUAUUCCCAAGAAGCUUCUCAUGUUCCUCUGUGUAAAUCUCGGCUCUUGUCCCUUCACCAAUCACCACCACACUCUCUCGUUUAGAUGUUUUCUUACCCUUCUCAUAGAUCCCAUCAGUGUAGAUUACUGGAGUUGUGUUCUCCAAUCUAACAAUCACACAAGAACAAGCAAUCAAAAACCCUAAUUCCUCCAUAAAAAAAAAACCCAUCUUUUUAACUGAGACAAAUCGAUUCACAAACCCUAAUUUUGAUUCAUAAACCCUAAUUCCUACUCAAAAACCCCAAUUCCUCCAUAAAAAUCUCUCCUUUAAACUGAAACUAAUCGAUUCAUAAACCCUAAUUCCUACUCAAAAACCCUUUUUUCAAAAUCGACUCAGAUGGAAAGAGAGAAACAGAGACAGAGAAUCAAAGAGAUUACCGAGAAGAUCGACGAGAAGGCUGAAGAGGAGGAGUCGGAUUCUGAGAGGAAUUAGGGUUACCAUAAGAUCUUUUAACGGGUCGGGUCUGGGGUUUGAGUUUGCGAGAGAGAUUCAAGAUACCCAAAUUUUGCAUCCUCUGAAGAUUCUCUUUGAUCCUCUCUUCUCUGCAUUGUUCGUAAAGAGAGACCUUUGGGGUUUCAUGGAUUAAUUCUGGGUUAGGGUUUGUUUUGGGGGUUGAAUCUUGUGCUUUGGUUCUCAUGGUGAGCAUGAUGAUGACGAUGAAUCUACUGGGUUUCAGAUUUUUAGAGCUCUCUGGAGAAAUGAUAAAAGUUCAGAUUUUUAUUUUGUUUGUGGUGAUGUUACAGCAACGGUCGGAUUUAUUAUUUGAAAAAUGUGCUCAGUGAAAUGGGGAAUUGUGUUUUGAGGGUGUUUAGUAGCUUCUGUACCCUAAUGAUGGGACUUAAUCUUUUAAAAAAUAUAUAUAUUUUUGUUUUUUUUAAUUGCAAUACAGCUAAUUAAAUAGUGGAAAUAUGGAAAGUUGUGUAAGCUUUUACUUUUUACAGUUUAAAAUAUUUUAUUAUCCUAAUUAGUUUUUUUAAAACGGGAUUGUUGUCCAAAAAUGGCAUGAUCAUUUUUCAAAAAAAUAAUCAUUUUUUAAUAAUUUUCAAAUUUACCAUUUUUGCUACUUGUGAAAAGAAAAAACUAAAGAUUUCAGAAUUUUUUUUCAUUAAACACAUACUUCAUAACAAAAACUAUAUCCUAAAAAAAUUGGAAACUAAUAAACUCAAGCAUCAUGUGUAAAUUUGUGUUUUUGUAUAUUAAAAAUAGCAUUUUGAAAGGUUUUUUGGCCAAAUGGCAAAACUUAUAAACACCCCUCAAAAAAAAAAAAAAAUUUGCUUAAUUAACAAAAAAAAAUUGUAUGAUUAACAAAAAAAAAAAUUGAACUACUGGUAAUUCUUCAUCUAUAGAGAGACUUCUUGGCCGACAAAAAAAUAAAAAAAUUGGAGACACUUUUCAUUAAUUACUGUUCCAACAAAUUUGAACUACUUUGAAUUAUGAGUCUGAAUACAGAGAGUUCAAGCGUCCAACGAAUGAAAGGUCUAGUCGUUAUUUUCUCACUAGCAAGAGGAAAAACUUGACCACGUUGAUGAACCACCACUUGAAAAUUUUUGAAGCCUCCAUUUAUAACAAAAGAGUCAAACCAAAUUCAUUUUAGCCAAUUAAACUCAAUCUUACAAGUUUCCUUCGAUCCCAAACUACACUUUCUUAUCUUAUUCUAUAAAUCUCAAACAAUAACACUAAAGUUUUUCAAAAUCAAGAGAUAUGGCCACAAGAGCUUCUACUUCAAGCAGAGUCUCAGCCAUGGACAUGACUCUCUACUUCGCCUUCUUCUUCCUUUUAACUCUCACUGCUUCAGUGGAAGCUGCUGGUCGUGGAGUUAACAAUGAUAACAAAGGCAGCGGAUUAGGAGCUUCUUUCAUAUUUGGAGAUUCUCUAGUCGAUGCCGGAAAUAAUAAUUAUCUAUCGACGUUGUCUAGGGCCAAUAUGAAGCCUAAUGGUAUUGAUUUCAAAGCCUCCGGAGGAAAUCCUACCGGCCGGUUCACCAAUGGCCGGACCAUCGGUGACAUCGUUGGUAUCAUCAAUAUAUCAAUCUAUAUAUAUUCUAUAACCCAUAUAUAGUAAAUGAUAUAUGCGGUAUACAUUAUUAGUCUAGAGAUUAUAUUCAACUAACACACCUACAAAUUUCUGUUGACGUUUUAUUACUCUUUUGUUGAGAUGUUCAUUUCUUUUGGUUAAAAUGAUUAAAUUGUUGUAAUGUUGAUACGUUUAUUUGAUCUAUAUACAUGUUGAAUUUCGAUAUAAAUGGUUCUAUACUUCUAUAUAAAACGUUAAAUUUGAUUUUACGAUUUUUCAGGGGAAGAACUCGGAUCAGCGAACUAUGCAGUCCCAUUCUUGGCACCAAACGCGAAGGGAAAAGCUUUAUUAGCCGGUGUGAAUUAUGCAUCAGGAGGAGGAGGAAUCAUGAAUGCCACCGGGAGAAUCUUUGUAUGUACCAAACUAAUUUUAAUCAUAUUUGGAUUUGAAAAUUUCUUAUAUUCAUUUUAGAGUUCUGAAGUUUUAUGAAAUUGUAAAUAUCUGGUAGGUGAAUAGGUUAGGUAUGGAUGUACAAGUUGAUUUCUUCAACACUACACGGAAACAGUUUGAUGACCUACUUGGAAAAGAGAAAGCAAAAGAGUACAUAGGAAAGAAAUCGAUAUUCUCAAUCACUAUAGGAGCAAAUGAUUUCCUCAACAAUUAUCUAUUCCCACUUCUCUCCGUCGGAACACGGUUCAGUCAAACUCCCGAUGAUUUCAUCGGCGACAUGCUUGAACAUCUACGCGGCCAACUAACCGUAAGCGACAAAAUAUUGAUCUCAUCCAUCGAACUAAAUUUAGAGAGUUUUUGUUUUGUUCAUUUGUUAUCAUAGCAUUUCAUCAUGGUUUAAAAUACAGAGGCUGUAUCAAUUGGAUGCGAGGAAGUUUGUGAUCGGGAACGUUGGACCGAUUGGAUGCAUACCAUACCAGAAAACGAUCAAUCAAUUAGAAGAAAACGAGUGUGUGGAUUUGGCUAAUAAGCUAGCAAAUCAAUACAAUGUUCGUUUAAAGAGUUUAUUAGAGGAACUAAACAAGAAACUUCCCGGAGCAAUGUUCGUCCAUGCCAACGUCUACGAUCUGGUCAUGGAGCUCAUUACUAACUACGAUAAAUACGGUAAAAUAUAUUUUUUGUCUUCUACAACUCACACACGCACACUACCAUAUAUACAACGUUUUAAGAAAUGAUAUGUAGAUUUUUGGAUUUAUAAACUUGGUAGGGUUCAAAUCUGCGACAAAGGCUUGUUGCGGUAAUGGAGGACAAUACGCGGGUAUAAUUCCGUGCGGACCGACUUCGAGUUUGUGUGAAGAGAGGGAUAAAUAUGUGUUUUGGGAUCCUUAUCACCCGAGUGAAGCAGCAAAUGUUAUCAUCGCAAAGCAAUUGUUAUAUGGUGAUACAAAAGUUAUAUCUCCUGUUAAUCUCAGCAAACUUAGAGAUAUGUGAUUUGAUUGUUUGUUGAACUAAAUGUCCCUUUGGAGAUUUAUAUACAUAAUUUCUUGCAUUUACGUUUGGGAUACGCCAAGUUAAGAUUGCUCUUUGUAUGUAUGUGUUGUUGUGUUUGAUUUAGUGAGAAUGCUUUUGUUUUGUCAAGAUGUGAUAAAAUUUAAGUUACACAUACAUUAUUUGGAACUGGAUCACCUCUUUUUCCAAAGUUUUCAAAAUCGGAGCGGACACUGAUUCGACAUUGUUAUAUGGUAUUGCCGUAUUGGUAGCUAGUCCGAUCGAUGGAGACCGAAUUAUAGAUUUUUUUUUAUUAAUAUAACAAUAAGAUAUGUUUAUUUAUGAAUAACAAAAAUAGACAACAAAUCAAAAGAAAAAUGUACUUCUAAUAAAAAGAAAAUAUUAAAGAGAAAAUAAAAACGGUUACAAAAAUCAACAAGUGAGACUUCUCAGUUCUCACAAUGUCAAAAAUAUACGCAUACACAUGUGAUAAAUGUUACAUAAUUUAUGUGGAGUCAACUAUCACUAUGUGAACACAGUAAAUUUAUCUUUUUUACCUCUAUAUAUAGAACGAUGAAUGAUGAAUCUGAAGAUACAACAUUCGCAUAACUUCAAUUAUAUAUAGAUAACAAAUUAAAAAAAAUGUACUUCUAAUAAAAAUAAAUAAUUAAACAGAAAAUAGAAACUAAUUUAUAAAACUAAAAAGGUGGUUCAAAAAUUCAAAUUAGUCUUUGAUAAAAAAAAAAACAAAAACAAAAACUCAGAUUAGUAAAAAGUUAAUGACUAGUGAUUGAAUUUUUGUGUACCAGGUUUUUUUUUUGGUUUUGAUAUUGAAAUACGGUUCAGUUAAACCAAUUUUAAUAUAUAAUCUAGACUCGGCAACCAUUUCCGGUGGGUCGGUCCGACCCGGUUUGCUAAACACUGGCUCUCUCUCUGUCUAGGGAUUUUCCGUUAAUGUCGCCGGCGACGGAAACUCAGGAAUGUGGGUCCUCCAUUUCGACGCAAAGGCAGCAAAUUUGCAGUCGUUUCAGCCGCAGAGCACCAUCCCCUUCUUCUCUAAACCGCAGCAACCGUAGAAAUUCCUACAAAAACGUCGUCGUUUUCGCUACAUUAAUAGCAGCAGCAAAAGCAUCUGCUUUAGAUUCUUAGUUUUAUUCCUUCAGUGCUUGAAAUUGUAUAAAGGUUAGAGGAAAUUUGAUGAAAAGUUUCGUCUUUUCUUGAAUCUAAUUGAGAAACAAUAGGUUAGAUUAGUGCAGUGGAGUUUGAUGCAAGCCACAUUGUUCUGUUGUUCUCAUCUUCUUGUAUUUGGAAAUUGGUUAUGGUUCUGCUUCUGGUUUUUCUCUUCAGCUUCUUUGUUCAACACCUUAUUGACGGUUAGAGUUAGUAUCCCUUGUACUCUGAGUUCCAGGGACUGGUAAACCAACUUUAGUUAGUUUGUGGCUGUUGUCUGAGGUCUACAGAAUGGUACACCAAUUUUACAUUGACUGUUAGUUUUAUGUCGGUAGAGUGUUGAUGGAGUUAGUUAGUUAGUAGGUCGCCCUCUGGAUUGAAUAUAAUCUUAGAGCAUAAUCUUUGGGGGUGUUUAUAUUUAUGGACCUCAAUAUAAGAACUCUGAUUCGUAUAAACAAUAUCAGUGGCGAUCCUAGAUUCAAGAGUUCUUGAGGAUUUUGAUAACAUGGAAUGGACAUAUGAUCUGCAUCUUUGCAUUCAAUAAAUACAGAUGUAACCAAUCUCUACCUUCUCUUCUUGAAAGCUUCAGUUGUACUAAUUUCAUGCACCCUAGCAGCCCACGAACAAGCAGAGACCGCUCCUGGUUAUAUACAUUCUCUUUUUAGCCUCUUUGUCAUCUAUUUUUUUGACUAUUAGUAAUUAGUUUCGCUGGUAGCUGUCUGCAAGUUCCAAGAGAUGCCCACUUAGUAGUUGAGGCUUGCAGAACAUUGGCAUAUGAUCUUUGUCUUCCAUCUCUAUCGCCGGAUAAUUAUCAAUCUUUCAUCGUUGAUGUUCUUUUGAAAUGACGGUUUUCCUCUCUGAUCAGUUGUAUUUGUUUACAGAUGCAGGCGUAUUAGUGAAUUACAGUACCAAAUUGGCCGAUCUUCACCCUGUGAAUUAGUUAAUUAUAUGAAGUUAUUUUUUUUCUCUCAUUAGCCUAGAUUCUUUUUCCGUUUUCUCCUCUAGUUUUUCUUUGCUUUAGUGCUUAAAGUUGUCUAAUGGUAGACGAAAUUUGAUGAAAAGUUUUAGCUUUUCUUGGAUCAGUGCAGUUGGAAUAUUGUUCUGUUGUUUUACAGGUUGCACUAGGAUCGGACCCGCGGUCCACCGCGGGAGAAUAUUGGUUUACAUAUGUUGCGUUUAAUAUUGUGUGUGUUUUUAGUAGAACGAAUCGUGUAGUAUACUUAUAAAUAUUCAUAAUAACGAAUUGUAGAGAAAAUGUAAAAUUGUUUAUAAAUAUACCCAUCGUAAUAAUUAUGAUUUACAAAAUAGAAUUUUGUGUUUUAAAAUUCUAAAAUUAGACGAUUCAUGGGAAUUAAAGCAGUAAAAAUAGGUCAAAAACCGCGGGUCCAGCCCACAUCAUCUCACUAUAGGGCAGAUUUGGGAAAAUAUAUUAAACCCGCAAAUAAGCGGGCCACAUGGAUUAAUUCGCAGUGGAUCAUAGGUAUAAUCGGUUUUCAUCCGCGGGUUGGCGGAUCAGCCCGCAUAUUAAUAUUUAUUGAUAAAAUUAUAAUUUAUUCAACAUGUGGUAAUUUAAACAAACUUUUAAUAGUAUUUUGAUUUAUUUAUUUAUUUUAGUAGUAUUUUAAAUUUUGGUUACUUUAAAAUUAUUUAAACAAAAUCCAUGGACAAUCCCGCAAAUCCGCAUACAUUCGCGGGACGGGUUUGUAUUUCAUAUAUGCUACCCGUGGGUCGUGCGGACCGACUAAUUACAAGUCAAAAUAUUUUUUGUCUAUCGCAAAACGGACUUAACGGGACGAAUCAACUCGCUUUGACAGUUCUAAUGAGAAUAUUAUUUAGUCAUACAACAAAAUGAAGUUUGGACAUAGUAAUAAUAGAAUAUGUAUCUUAUUUGUUAGAUGAGAGAUUGAAAGAUGAAGUAUAAUGAUUAAAAAUUAAUUAUUAUUUUUCAUGAUUCACAAAAUUUAAUAAAUACUUAUCAUCUUGUUGAAUAAUUCUAAAAUCAUAUUCAAGAAAUCUUUAUAAAUUGAAAAUUAAACUUCUUUGGUAAGCUAUAGGUAUGAAAAUAUCAUAAUUUCGAUUUAAUCUAAUUAAAUUAAAAUUAGUUACAUGGAUUUCAUAUCUAUUUAAUUUACACGACCAAAAUAAAAAUAUCUAUUUAAUUUACACGACCAAAAUAAAAAUAUCAAUUUAAUUUAUAAAAUAGAUGGGUUAUUUGUGAUAAAUUUUCUAGAAAUCUUUAGAAGCAAGUAAAAUAUCUUUCAAUUAAUGAUAAUUGGCUAAAAUGAGCGAAAUUAAUGACAAAAACGUUGAUUGUUAUGGAAUUAGUCCCAAAAAUAUAUGAGCAAAUUUAUUAUACGUAAUUAAUGUAUAAUAUUGUUUGGAAUAUGCUAUUAUUAUUAGUUACCAUAAGUACAAUCAGAUUUUAUUUUAUUUCCAUAAAUAUUUGAUUUUAUUUCGAUUUUUUAUUAUUAAUUCGAAUUUAUAUUUCAAAAAAAUUUCAAAGAUCCGAUUUCAGAAUUUCGGGUCAAUUUUCUAAUUUUAACCCGACCCAUUUUCAUUUGUACUUCUCUUUUAAUAGUAUAGAGAUUUAGAAAUUGCUCUGCGAAAUUGCUUAUGGUGAUGUUGUGCAAUGCAGAUAUUGCAGUUCACUCUUCGCUAUGUAAUACAGUUUUCUCACAAAACUUUAUUUAUAACACUUUUCUUAUAAGUAUUAUCAUUUGCUUAAUUCUCAUACAUAUGUAUUCUCAUAUGACGUUAUUAUUGGUGCAAGAUGAAGUUAGUAACUUAUUUGCAGGGACGAUUUCAGGUUAAGUUUGGCAAUAUUUAUCUGCAAUCUCCAGGAGAAGAGCACAAACUUCUUGAGGCUUGGAGAACAUUGGCAUGUGAUCUGCACAUUUGAUUUCCAUUACUUCUUUUGGCGGAAAGUUCGUGAUCAUCCAGCGCUGGUAAUCUUCGGGUUCCACAAGAUCCUCUCCGCAUACAAUAUAUAUACGUGUAACGGAUCCGUACCCUUCCUCACUGAAGCUUCUUGUCCCUGCCAGAUUGUUUGUAACUAUCGGAUUUGUCCUCACCAACGUCUUCACCAAUUCAAGAUCCUUAUUCGCCACAACAACAAUCAACAAAAGAUUGACUGAGCUUACUAGCACAAUCCCAUUUGCUUUUUUUUUUUUAAGAUUGGAGUCUUACUUGAACUGGAGAGUGUUGAUACAUUUUCUUGGCCAUAAACUUUGGUCCCAAAAGAGUACUCUGUAGAGGACAAUCAGGUGUCCCGUAGGUUCCACACUCGGUGUCCAACCAUUCCUCUUGUGGAAUGCUUCUGGCUGCAGAUUUCAGUCAAGUAUCAGAAUCACUCAGAAGAGAUGUCACUCAGAUAAAAUUAUGUUCAUUUAUGUACCUUUUCGUAAACAUAAACAGGUGGGUUUUUUGUGUCGGGCCUGAAAGCUGUCACGAAGACUAUAGCAGCAAUCUUACAAGCGUAGAUGUCAGCAGCAAGUGCAGCCGGUAUUCCUCCCAUGCUAUGAGCAACAAGAAUCACCUUAUCGUCAUCUGAGCCAAGCGAGCUCAGAAACUCAAGCAACGGUUUGCAGUAAUCCUUUAGAGUCUGAAUCUCUUCCACUCUGGUCAUGUUUAGACCCGAUGCAGCUAGAUCCACUGCCGUCACACAGUGACCUGCAGCCUCCAGCUGCGUUUUCACCUUGUCCCAAGUCCAUGCGCCGUGGCACACCCCAUGGACGAGCACAAACCGCUUCUGGUUGUUAUUCUCCAUUGCCUUUCUUACUCUCAGUAUCUUGGUUCAACACUUAUAUAUAUAUGGUGAGUUUCCCACAUAUACUCUUUGUAUAUUGACUGUUAGUUUUUGGUCGUUCUCUGAGAUCCAUUGACUGUUAGAUUUCACAUUUUUUGUUGCUGGACUUGUAGACUCGAUAUGAGGUAGUUCGUUGGCGUGUUGGAGUUCGUGGUGAUUGCUUCAGUGGCCUUUGUAUUGGCAGGAAUAAGGUUUUGAAAAGAGAGAUUGUAAAAAUUUUAGUUUUUCUUUUCCUUAGGGUAUCUGAAACCAUAUAGUUUUCAAAAGUGAAUGCUUUAUUAGAGAAGAGAUGUACAAAUAUAUAGGGAUACAAUGGAGACUCUAGGAAUAUGUUUAUUACAAUUAGAGCGUUAAUUGUACAUAUUAGAUCUUCACAUUACAUUGGUAGAAUCUGGGUGGGUGAUACUUCCAUGGACAGACAAAAAAUUAGUCUUCUGUAAGAUGUUGAAGUCCCUCUUUUAUGAUGUUACUAUUGAAGUUUCUUAAUUUGAAAUCUAGAGGCGUUGUAACUGCUUCUCACGUUGUAAAGUAUUUUCACGAAAUCUUAUUCAUAUCCAUUCAUAUAACUGAUUAAUUAAAUCAUUCUUCUGAAUGUUGUUUCUCAUAUGGCAUAUUGUUGUGGUGGAAGUUGAAGUUUGUUACUCAUGUGCAGUGACGAUCUCAGGUAUAUUUAGGCGUAUAUAUCUGCAAUCUCCAAGAGAAGAGGACAUAGUUCUAUAGGUUUGGAGAACAUUGGCAUAUGAUCUGCAUCUUUGAUCUCCUCUUUGUUCAUCUAUUCUUUUGACAGUUAAGUCUCACUAUCAUUUUAUUGACUAUUAGUUUUCACUCAGUAGAAACUUGUAGCUAUGAGCCUAUGAUCAUAAGGACUUCAAUAUGACUAGGAGGACAUUUAUUUUAUUUUAUUUUUGCUCGUUAACCUUACUCCUAUUCGUAAUGCUAACAUUCUCCCUUUGCUCGUUCAUCUCAUGUAUGUAUUUUCAGCUGCUUACAUAAUGACAUAUCACUACCAUCUUUGCUUAUUGUGGUUAGAAGCUGAAUUCCAUUUUAAGAUAUGCAGGUUUAUGGGCAUACAAUCUGCAUCUUUUGAUAAUUCGACGCUGGAAAUCUUCAGGUAGUGUGUUAUCCUCUUCUUACAUUCUUAUUUAUAUAACUAUUCUUACGAAUAAUAUCAUUUGCUUAUUUCUUAUACAUACAUAAUGUAGUCACUUAGAUCACUCACAUAUGGCUUUGGUAUUGUGGUGGAAGCUGAAUUUUGUAAGUAUAAUGCAGUGAAGAUCUCAGGUUUGUUUAGGCAUAUUUAUCCGCAAUCUGCAAGAGAAGAGCACAUAGUUCAAGGAGCUAGAAAAUUCGCGGUGCUGGGGAGUGAUAGUGACUGUGAUACCAUUGUAUUUUUGCAUCUGUCAAGAGUCGUCCUUGGUAGGUUCUUACAGCAUGAUUAACUGUGGUAUAUCUUAGAUAGUUCUUAGGUAUAAAGUUGAAUUUAAUUAAAUUGAAAAUCUUGUAUAAAACUACGAAACGUGUACACGUGGCACGUUAUUAGUGGGUGUUAGGUUUAAUAUAUAAGCAAAAAAAAAAAAACGGAUCCGUGUUUUUUUUUUCUCUCUCUCAAAUCGCGAUUUGAAAAAAAGAAGAAACCGGAGGCGAUUUGUGUUUAUGGACUCGAAUCGGAAUCUUCUUCUCUCUUAUCCCAAAAUCAUGUCUCUGCCGUAAAGUUCCAACUUUUCAUUCGAUUUUCGAUUUGUUUAUUAAAGAGACCAUUUUCCUUCGUUAAAUUCAGUUUGAUUGUUUCUUGAAUCCGAAUUUGAUUUGGAGGUCUGGAUUAGGAGAUCUCGAAGAUUACGAGAUCGACUUGAAAGGAAAGUUAAUAUUGUAAAAUAUAUUCUUAUUGUUAAAUAGGUAGAUUUCCUAUUAUCACAUAUGUAAAAAACUUAUUAAUCAAGUUAUGACUUUGUAUAAAUAUUCCUAUUAGGCUAAUCAAUAAAAUUGAGAGAAACUAUUCCACUUCUAAGGUUUUCUCCAAAUCUAUCAUGGUAUCAGAACCAAGAUCCUUUCUGUGGAUUUGGUUUUACUACGUUAACUUCUGCGAUUUAAAAAAAAAAAAAAAAAAUCUAUAUGCUUUGGUUUUUCUACGUGAUUCAUUUUUUUUACCUUUAUGGCUGGAUUUCUUAUUUUAUCUCUAUAUUUUCAUAUUAUCAUAUUGAUUUCUAAAUUAAAAAAAAAAAAGAAAAGAAAAGAAGAAGAGGGGUUUGGUUGCGUUGCUAUAAAUCAUGAGCAUGGGCCUAAGUAGGCCUGGGCAUUCGGAUUUCGGAUCGGAUUCGGUUCAGAUUUAUUCGGAUUCGGAUAAUUCGGGUAGGAGAGUUUAUUAUCCGUCCGGAUUUUAUGACUAUUCGGAUCGGAUUGGUUCGGAUAGUGUCGGAUUCGGAUCGGUUUUCGAAAAAGAAAAAAACUAAAAAAUGUUCAAUUUAAAUAUAAAAAUAGUUUAAUCUUACUAAAAUUUGGUUAAGUUUUACAAAACUAUGUAUUAUUUUAACAAAUAUAACUAAAAAUUUUCUAAUAUCUAGGUUAUUUAGAAUAUUUUUGUCAUUUGUUAUAAAAUUAUAGCUAAAUAUAACUAAUAUUUUUAGAUAUGUAAUUUUAUUUUCGGUUUUCGGAUAUCUUUUCGGUUUUCGGUUCGGAUCGGGUUCGGUUCGGAUAAUUCGGAUAGGAGAAUUUAUUAUCCGUUCGGGUUUUGUGACUAUUCGGUUCGGGUUCGGAGCCGGAUUUUUCAGAUCGGUUUCGGAUCGGUUUUCGGAUUUGGGAUUUUAUGCCCAGGCCUAGGCCUAAGGUUCGUUCAGGUUCAGUGACAAUAACUAAUCUUUCUCUUUCAGUUUUUUUAUGUGGUUAUCUAUCAACUACAAAUACGAUGUAGCCACAAAGAUGAAGAACUUCAACGGAUAUAUACGGAUCCAAUGGGGUGAUGAUAUGAUGUUGCUGUGAAUUAUGAGCAUGGACUAAUUGGUUGGUUCGUUCAGUUCACAUGGUGACAUAAGACGAUGGAGAUACACAACUACUUUAGUAUCCUUCAUCGAAUUGAUGACCCAUUAGUGGGUAUGAAGACCAUGAAGACGAUUUGAUGAUUUUCCAAUCUCAUACGUGUUACCACGUAUGAGCUUGCGGGAGGGUAUUAGAAGAUCUCGAGGAUUACGAGAUCGACUUCAAAGGAAAGUUAAUAUUGUAAAAUAUAUUCUUAUUGUUAAAUAGAUAGAUUUCCUAUUAUCACAUAUGUAAAGAACUUGUUAAUCAAGUUAUGACUUUGUAUAAAUAUUCCUAGUAGGCUAAUCAAUAAAAUUGAGAGAAACUAUUCCACUUCUAAGGUUUCCUCCAAAUCUAUCAGUCUGCAAAGUUCCCAAAUUUUCUUGAAUCUGAAGGAUUUAUGCGGUUUGUUUGCCUUUGGUUGGUUGAUCAGGUUUGAAACAGGGAGAGAAGAAAUUGCAUAAACAAGAUAGUGACAACAUGAGACUGGUUAUUUCACUAGCAGCUGCUUUUUCCCUUUUCCUUAGUUGGUAUAAUCUUAGGUUCGUCUCCGCUUUAUUGGGUUUUCCAUAGGAGAAGAAACCUUAAGAGCUCUGGUAAACCUGAUGCCACAAUUAUUAAAGUAUCACAUUUCUUUUUAAUUUGCAACAAUUAUUAAAUUUUCUAUAAUUAUAAAUUUUAUUUUUGUAUUAAUAUUUUUUUUUUCUAAGAACCACAUGUUAAAAGCCUACCAUUAAAAGACAUAUAAAAUCUUAAAACAAAAAUACAAUCUCUUAACUAUAACUUUUACAAAUUAAUACUAAAAUAUUCCUAAGAGCCAAAAUUAAGAGUCUAUUGAUAAUGUUGCUCUAAGAGCUGGGGCGGAGAAUCUAAUUUUAGUGGUGACAGGUUUGGCUAAAUGUCGACCUAAUACAACAACUUUAAUACAAAAGAUUCAUACCUCUCUAUGAACUAAACCUCAGAGAACAUGGACUUUAGGCAUCAUUUAUACUGAAAUUUGAUGACAGUAUUCUAAAAUAAUCGAUGGCUCAAUGGGUUCAUAUUACAUUUUCUCUAAUGUGAAUGGCCAAAAAAAGAAAGUAAAUGGCCCAUAAAUUAUUAUUCUUUUCUUACUCUCUCUCUCUUUUUCAUCUUAUUUUAUUUAAUUUAAAAUAUAAAAAUCUAAUGCAUCAAAAUUUAUUUAAAUUAGUUUAAUGAACUAUGUGAAAAAUCCAUGUAAUAAUAAAGUCUUUUUAUGAAAAUAUUUACAUUAAAAAAAUUAAUUUAUGGAAAGGAACCACAUUUUUAGUGUUGCUUUAGAUAUUUUUGAAAUCUCAGGACCGGUCCCAGUAGUUAGAUAUCAUGUAACUUCUAUGGUCGCAGGAUUUACCAAUGAGAAGAAUGGAUGUUGUGUAUGCUUACCAUAUAGAUUUUUGUGAUACAAUAUACUUAAUUGUAUCACGAAUCUUAUUUUAUAUAACCAUUCUUAUAACUGCUUCUCAAUGUAAUACAAUUCUCUCAUAAAUCUUUUAUUCAUAAAACCAUUCUUAUGAAUAUUAUUUCUCAUAGAUACAAUGUAUUCUCAUAUGGCUUAUUGUUGAGGUGGAAGCUGAAGUUCAUUACUAAUUUGCAAUGACGAUCUCAGGUUUAUUUACGCGUAUUUAUCCGCAAUCUCCAAGAGAAGAGCACAUAAUUUUUGAGGCUUAGAGAACAUUGCCAUAUGAUCUGUAUCUUUGAUCUCCAUUACCUCUUUAACCGGAAAGUUACUGAUCAUCCAACGCUGGUAGUCCUCAGGUACUAUAUUGUCCUCUCCACAUAUGAUAUAAAUACGUGUAACCGAUCCAUAUCCUUCCUCAGUAAAGCUUCUUGCCCCUGCCAGAUUGUUCGUAACCAACGGGUUUACCCUUACCAACAUUUUGGCCAAUUCAAGAUCCUAACCAACGAUAACAAUCAAAAGAAUAAUAAAUGAGGUUACUAGCAAUCUCAUUUGUUAAAAAGAGGUUUGAUUAGGCUUGGAGUCUUACUUCUACCGGAGACAAUUGAUACACUUUCUUGGCCAUAAAAUUUGGUCCCAAAAGAGCAGACUCUAGAGAACAAUCUGGAUUACCGUACCUUCCAAACACGGUAUCCAACCAUUCCUCUCGUGGAAUGCUUCUGAUCAGCUGAAGAUUUCAGUCAGUUAUCAAAAUAUAUCACUCGGAAGCGAUCAUAUAUUCCGUACGUACAACCAAAUCAUCAUUUUUUUAUAUGUACCUUUUCGAAAACAUAAGCAGGUGGAUUUCUUGUGUCAGGCAUGAAAGCUGCCAAGAAAACAACAGCAGCAAUCUUACAAGGGAAGAUAUCAGUUGCAACCGCAGCGGGUAUUCCUCCCAUGCUAUGAGCAACAAGAAUCACCUUAUCGUCAUCCGAGCCAAGCGAACUCAUAAACUCAAGCAACGGUUUGGAGUAAUCCAUCAAUGUCUUAAUCUCUUCCACUCUGGUCAUGUUUAUACCCGAUGCAGAUAGAUCCACCGCGGUCACACAGUGACCUGCAGCCUCCAACUGUGUUUUCACCUUGUACCAACUCCACGCCCCGUGGCAGACUGCAUGUACAAGCACAUACACGUUAGAUUGUCAACGUAUGAUCUGUUUAUGGGGCCUAAUACGCAAAGAUAAAAUUUACCAAAAAUAACAAAGAAAACAAAAAUGAAAACUUAUAUAUCUUUUUUUUUUUUUUUUUUCCAUUCGUAUGUUCAUCCUCAACAUGAGAGUUAUAUCCAUUUUCCAAUGGUGCAGAUUUCACUAUAAUCAAAGAAAUUUAGGAGUUACAAUUUUUUUUCUCUUUUUUUGCUUUCUUAUCUACCUUAAAGAGAAAAUACUAAAAAUAGUGCUUUUAAGAUAGAAUCAUGAAAUAAUUUUGAACGAGUAUUAUCAUUUGCUUAUAAUUGUAGUUGAAGCUAAAUUUUGUAAACUACUGUAGAGACGAUCUUAAGUUUAUUUAGGAAUAUUUACAUGCAAUCUCCAAGAGAAGAGCACAUAGUUCGUGAGGCUUGGAGAACAUUGCCAUAUGAUCUGCACACUUGAUCUCCAUUACUUCUUUUGGCGGAAAGUUCUUGAUCAUCCAACACUGGUAAUCCUCGGGUACUACCAAGUCCUCUCCACAUACGAUAUAUACUCGUGUAAUGGAUCCGUACCCUUCCUCACUGAAGCUUCUUGUCCCUGCCAGAUUAUUUGUAAUGAUGGGGUUUACUCUCACCAACAUUUUCGCCAAUUCAAGAUCCUAACCCGUCAUCACAACAAUAAUCAAUCAAGUAUUGACUGAGGUUACAAGGAAAAUCCCAUUUGGGUUUUUGUUAGGCAUGGAGUCUUACUUGGUCCGGAGAGAGUUGAUACAAAUUCUUGGCCAUGAACUUUGGUCCAAAAAGAGUAAACUCUAGAGGACAUUCAGGUUUCCCGUACGUUCCAAACAAGGUGUCCAACCAUCCUUCUUGUGGGACGCUUCUGAUUAGCUGCGGAUUUCAGUAAAAUAUCAGAACCACUUGGACGAGGUCAUACCUCACAACCAAAUUAUCAUGUUUGAUGUACCUUUUGGUAUACAUAAGCUGGUGGGUUUCUUGUGUCGGGCAUGAAAGCCGUCAAGAAAACAACAGAAGCAAUCUUAUAAGGGAAUAUAUCAGCAGCGAGAGCAGCGGGUAUUCCUCCCAUGCUAUGAGCAACAAGAAUCACCUUAUCGUCAUCCGAGCCAAACGAGCUGAGAAACUCAAGCAACGGUUUGCAGUAAUCCUUGAGAGUAUGAGUCUCUUCAACUCUAGUCAUAUUUAUACCGGAUGCAGCUAGAUCCAUCGCGGUCACAUAGUGACCUACAGCCUCCAGAUGCGUUUUCACCUUGUACCAACACCACGCGCCGUGGCACAGCCCAUGGACGAGCACAAACCGCUUCUGGUUGAUUUUCUCCAUUGUUUUAUUUCUUCUUUACUUUCAACAUCUUGGUUCAACACCUAUAUAUAUCGACGGUUACUUUCCGCAUACUCUUUGUAAAUUGACUGUUAGUUUCUGGUCCUUCUCUAAACAAACACUACAAUACUACAUUGACUGUUAGGUUUCUCAUUGCAACCAUAGUAAGGAAUAAAGUCUUAACUUUUAGAAAUAUCUAUUUUAGAACACACACUUGAUUAAUGUAUCAACUCCAAAUACAUUUUCAUCAAAAUAUUAUUUAAGAGAAUUUUUCGGCGAUUUCCAAUAGAUGGUCACUUAGUAGUUGAGGUUUGCAAAACAUUGGCAUAUGAUCUGUCUCUUCCAUCUCAAUCACUAAAUCCGCCGGAUAAUUAUCGAUCAUCCACCGUUGAUGUUCUUCCGAGAUAAUGUUGUCCUCUUUGCACACUAUGUAAGCUCGAGGAACAGAUCCAUACCCUUUGUCAGAAAAGUUCUUCAUCCUCGAUAGUUCAUUAAUAAACAAUGAUCCAGGCCUCUUUAGAAGUAAUCCAAGCUCAAGAUCCUAAAUCAAGGUUACCAUAUUCAUGCAUGAAUACUAGUAUCAUUAAUUUAUGAUGGUGAUGAUUAAUUUUGUUAAAAAUGAUGAUGAUAAAUUUAAAUUACCUCAAUAGGACAAAGUUGGUAGAGACGGUGCUUCAUGAAGUCAGUGCUGAAUAACACAGACAAGCCAGAAUUCUCUGAACCAUACGUCUCGAGCUCAGUGCCCAUCCAUCCUUCUGGUGUCAUGUUGCUUAUUGCAAACUUUUACAUAGUAAUUACAAAAAAAAUCAUAUUUAUUUUUCAAGUUUAAUACAAUUAAAUUAUACAAGUAUAUAACCAUACGAUAGUAAAACUUUGACAGUCAUGAAAAUGAAACAGGUUCAAAAAACUACUAAGAGUUAAAUAGAAUUUGAUCUAUAAGACCAAAGUUGAAUCUUAGAAUGAUAUGAUGGUAAAACUCUAAUCACCACGAGGUCCACGAAAAUGAAACUAUUACUUGGACUUUUAGUAAAGUAGAUGUAAUCAAACUAUAUGUACCAAUUCACCAUACACAUUUGAUUGUCUAACAUAUGAUCUAUGGUUAUAGCAUAUACGACACAAAUAAUCAAGGCUGCAAAAUGGAAAUCUCUGUUUAAUCGAACGAUUAGACUGGCUAAUCAUAUUGGACGCAUAGAACAAAAGGAAUAGUUAUGUUGAUCAAUUUUUGUAAUCGUUUGGCUAAAAUCUUGUAACCGUUUUGGCUAAAAUUGGACGUCCACGUGGUUUUGACCGUCAAGACGUCUAAGCGGCCGAUUAUUAAAACAGAGAACAAAAUUUGGUCGCUUAUAACCGAGAUAUACCUUAUCUUCGACGAAAGAUGGUGAGUGUUUGGUGUCGGGCAUGAAAGCAGUCACGAAGACAGAGACAGAGAUUUUGUCGGGAAACUUAUCCAUGGCUAUGGCUAAACUCAAACCUCCAAAGCUAUGACCAACGAGCACAACCUUCUCAUCAUUCGGCAAUGAAGUCAUUAGCUGCAUCAAUGGCUUAGAAUAUUCUUCGCAUGUGGAAAUUUCAGUGAUUGACCUGGUAGUGUCUAUACCGCAAGCAGCUAGGUCUAAGGCGGUUACACGAUGGCCUGAAGCCUCGAGCAGCGGCUUCACCUUGUACCAGCACCACGCGCCGUGACACAUACCAUGUACUAGCACGAAGUGUUGCUUCCUCUUCUCCUCACUCAUUUUCUUCUCGUACUUUUCCCUACUCUUCACACAUCCACACAUAACACAUAAGUAGAGAGAUAAUAAAGCUUAUCGUUGAAUUUUCUAAAAUUGUCGCUUUCCGUGAGAUUCUUUUACGAUUUCACUGAGAAUUACAAUUUCGAAUUUUUCUUCAAAGAAAGAAAUAACAACUUUAGAAAUUUUAUUUGCAAAACGACAAUCGGGACUGUCUUUUCGGUGAUACAACUUGUGUUAGAUGUUUGUUCCGUGUCCACUUAUACACGAGGUCAAAUCAUAUUUAGUCGACCAAUAAUAAAUUUUUAUUAAAUCUUUUAACAAAAAUAAUAAAUUGGAAAUAAAAACUAAAAGUAGAUAUAUAAAGAUAAUAUUAAGAAAAUUUAUUUGUAUUAAUAAAAUGCUUAGGAAAUGCUCUACGGCUUCCGCACAAAAAAAGACAAAUAUAUGACAAUCAAAGUAGAUAUAUAAUUAAAACAUAUUUAACGAGUUUUAUCAAGUUUUAAUAAUUUAAUCAAUGGACAAACUUUUGCUCAAAAAAAAAAAAAAAAAAAUCAAUGGACAAACCAUAUAACAUAUUUAAUUCUCAGGUAAUAUAGUUCUCUCACGAAUCUUAUUCAUAAAACCAUUCUUAUGAAUAGUAUCAUUUGCGUAGUUCUCAUACAUUAUAGAUAUAGUCUCAUUUGGCUUCUUAUUGUGUUGGACACUGAGUUUUGUAAUUGAUAUGCAGUGAUGAUGGUUUAUAUAUUUAGGCAUAUUUAUUUGCAAUCUCCAAGAGAAGAGCACAUAGUUCUUGAGGCUUGGAGAACAUUGGCAUAUGAUCUGCAUCUUUGAUCUCCAUUACUUCUUUCACCGGAAAGUUGUUGAUCAUCGAACGCUGGUAAUCCUCGGGUACCACAAGAUCCUUUUCGCAUACAAUAUAUAUACGUGGAACGGAUCCGUAGCCUUCCUCACUGAAGCUACUUUUCUCUGCCAGAUUUUUCGUAAUUAAUGGUUGCGGUCUCACCAACAUUUUCGCCAAUUCAAGAUCCUAGUUCACCACAACAAAAGAUUGACAGAAGUUACUAGCAUAAUCUAAUUUUUGCUUGAAAAGAGUGGUUUUUAUUAAGCUUAGAGUCUUACUUGGACUGGAGACAACUGAUACAAGUUCUUGGCCAUGAAUUUUGGUCCAAAAAGAGAAAACUCUCGAGGACAGUCAGGUUUCUCGCUAGUAAACACGGUGUCUAACCAUUCUUCUCGUGAAAUGCCUUGUCUUAGCUGUAGAUUUCAGUCAAAUAUUGUCCGAAUCACUUGGUUUUAGUUUCAAAACAUUACGUAUGUCAAAGGUUUGUGUGUAAAGUCAAUAAAAGUUAGAACUAUGACUUGUCCGUUUCCGAACGUUCUUGACAGUUAUUAAAAGGGGAUAUUAAUCAAUCAUUGGAGAAAAUAUUUUAAAAUCCACUGUUAUUGAAACAUUUUAAGCAUUGGAUUAUUUAUAAGAAAAUAUUUAUUUCAUUAAUUUAUUCAAAAUUUUCAAUCUAAUAAUAAUAAUAAUCUCAAUAAAUGCAUUUUGUACUUGUGAAUGGUUGUGUUUUUUUAUCGCAACCUUUCGCUAAUUUUUUUGUUAAACUAAAAAAAUAUAUUUUUUGGUUUAUUUUUCUUAAAAAUUGUAAUCCGAAUAAUUGUCUUCUACGGUUGCGCCUUUUUAUCAUAACUCUUCAUAAACGGUUGUGACUAUUUAAUUGAACCAUUGUAACAUUUAGUUUGUUUCACAACCAAUUGUAAUUUUGGUUUACUUUACAAAUCGUUAUAAAAUUUAUUUAUUUUUACCUAAAAAUAUAUUUUACGGUUGUGUAUUUUUAGAAAGUUGCAAUCCGAAUAAAUGUCUUCUACGGUUGCUUCUUUUUAUCGCAGAUUUUCAUAAACGAUUGUAACCGUUCAGUUGAACCAAUGCAACAAUUAGUUUAUUACACGAACAAUUGCAACUUUUGGUUUAUUUUAUGAAUCAUUAUAACGUUUAUUUAUUUAAACUAAAAAGUAUAUUUUACGGUUAUAUUUUUUAGAAAAUUUCAAUCCGACUAAAUAUCUUCUACGGUUGCGUCUUUUAAUCGUAACUCAUCAUAAACGGUUGCAACCAUUUAGUUGAAAUGUUGAAUCAUUGCAUUAUUUAGUUUAUUACACGAAAAAUUGCAACUUUUGGUUUAUUUUCUAAAUCAUUAUAAAAUCUAUUUAUUUAAAAUAAAAGUUAUAUUGUACAGUUAUAUUUUUUUAGAAAAAUUCAAUCCGAAUAAAAGUCUUCUACGUUGCGUCUUUUUAUCGUAACUCUUUAUAAAUGGUUGCAAUCGUUUAGUUGAAUCAUUGCAACAUUUAGUUUAUUUCACGAACAAAUGCAACUUUUGGUUUAUUUUAUAAAUCGUUAUAACAUUUUUUUUUUGUUUGAAUGUAUAAUUUAUAUAUCAAAAUAAUGAAAAUAUAUACAUCAGUUCUCUAGAAACUGUUUUGCUAGCCAUCGUUGGCAUAAAUAGCUUUAAAAAAAAACAAAAGACAGAAACAGAGCAAAUAAAUGAAUGCAAAACCAGAGCAAGAAAGACUAAAGCAGAGUUAUGGACGGAACAUAAUCCAUAAUGAACAUAAUCGUUAUAACAUUUAAUUAUAUACAAUCACAUUUCUUGGUGUAACUUUCCAUAAAUUAUUAGUUUAACUUUUUAAUUACAAAAAUGUAUUUAAUUUAAAUUGUAACUAUUUAAUUACAUUGUUGUAGUUUUGGUUUUGUUUUAUGAACCGUUGUAAUCUUUAGGUUAUUUGACGAACCGUUGUAACAUUUGACAUAUUUGGCAAACCGUUGCAACUUUUGUUAUAUUUGAUAUCUACAGUCGCAUCUCUCGGUUUCAGUUCUUCAUAAAAAUAUUAAAUUUUAAUUAUUAAAAUAUAUUUAAAUGAAUUAUUGCUACCGUAUAAUUCAACAUAGUAACAUUUGGUUUAUUUGACCAACCAAUAUUUUAUUCUUUGGUAUAUGAAUGAAUGUUGUAUUAUUUUGGUAUCCAACAUUCAUGUAUAUAUUUUGUUAUCUAUAUUGUAUAAAGUUUUUUUUAGUUGUUAAUUUUCGUUUGAUAUUUUCCUCUUUAAAUUUUGUUGUAAUCGUUUUCUCUCCGACAUCGUGGGGGAUCGGAGUCCUAGUACUGUUAUAGAGUACAUAGUGUUUACGUUUAGUUUUAUAAUAUAUUUUAAACACAACUCGGAAAUCAAAUCAAAAUAUAUUUCUGGAUAGACUUACUCUAACUGUUGGUCAAUGACGUUAACUUUUUUAUAGUAAAAAUUUAGAUUAAUAUAUUUACAUAUAUAUAGUAUGUAUGAGACUUUAUAUAUAAGUUAUGUAUAUAUAUAUAUAACUGUUUUACCUAAAAAGUAUAUAACUGUUAUAAAUAUAUAUAUAUAUAUAUAUAUAUAUAUAUAACUGUUUUACCUAAAAAGUAUAUUUAUGUUAUAUUAAGUUUUUUCCAAGAUAAUUUAUUUUCGUUGCAAAAUUUAAGAAUUUAAGUUGGUGCUACAUAAAUAUCAUGCAAUAAAAUUUUAAUCUAGAAAUAAAAUUAUAAAUAUAAUUUUAAAUAUUUAAUCAUUUAUAAUAGUGAAUAUGUAUAUUUUCGGUUUCAAUUUAAAAUUUUAUAAUAUAUAAAAAAGAUUUUUUUGGUGUUAAAAUGAAUAUAAUAUAUAUUUUUAUAUUUAUAUAGAAUAUUUUGUAUUUUGAAAAUUUGAAAUAUUUAAUUUAUGUAAGUUUAGUUUUGUAUAUGGAAUUAAAAUUGAUUGGCAAGAAAAAUAGUAAAAUAAAAUAAAUGAAAAAAUAAAAAUUUUAAGAAUAAUUGCAGGUUUGACACAUAUAAGCACCGAAAACUUUCUUUCAAUACAUUAAGGAUGUAAAAAUACAUAAAAUCAUAAUAACUUCCCUUAAAUCACUCAAAAUCAUAAAAAUCCUAUAAGAACUCAUUAAAACCCAAAUCAUUUCAAAUAUAGAGUCGAAUACAUCCCCUAAUUUGGCACGAAAAAUUCGUACCGAACCGCAUCAUAUUACUUAUGUAAGCAACAUUCAUCCGGAAUGGUUCUUUUGAAUUUUAAUUAAAAGCUGUUGACAACAAAAAAGAAUGCAUCCCCUAAUUAAUGAAUAACUAGAUAAAGCCACAAAAACAAGCGGAUGUCAGAUAUAAAUGUAAAAUUUUAUUGAUGUUAUUUAAAUUUUGAAUAGUAAACAUUAAUCCACACACUUUUACUAAUAUUUAAUUUAGUAAUUUAUGUUUUCAAUAGAAAUUCAAUCUUACACAUUCUAUUUUGCUAUACAUUUUAACUAUCUAUUUCAUCAUAAUAAACUGAACUUUAAUUUUGCACACUCUAUCUUAUUGAUGAUAUUUGAAUUCUAAAUAGUAACCCACACAUUUUUUAUAUAUUUAAUUUUGUAUUUUAUUAAACUAAAUUUCGAUUUGACCUAUUUUCUUUUUCAAUAAAAUUUAACUAUCUAUUUCAUCAUAAUAAAACUGGAUUUUAAUUCUACACACUUCAUCUUAAUGGAUAAAUGCUGAUAAUUUAUAAAAAUAAUAUGUAUAUCAUAUAAAUUAUAUAUAUCUUAGUUGAUAUAAAAAAAAUUAGCAAAUAACAAAACAUAAUUGUUUGAAAUAUAGUUUUACCUCAUGUGGAACUAAUUUUAAAUGAGUUAAAAUUAGUAAAUAAAACAUAAAUAAAAAUGAUACUAACAUUCUCAUUAAGUAAUCAAAAAUUAAAUCCUAUAAGCCAUUUCCCCAAAACAUUUAUUGUUUCACUUAUGACUACAUGCGCUAAAAUUCUUAAAAUAAAAUAUACGUACAACUAUACUAAUAAUUUAAUGCAUUUAAUCCAAACAUAAUAAAAAAUAAGUAUUCAAAAAAAAAAUAAGCUCAUUAAUUUUUCAAUUUUUUUUGCUUUUAAUUAACAAAAAAAAACACUAUAUUACAAUGAUAAAUAUAAUUUUAUCCAAUUAAAUUAAUAUUCAAUAACUUAUAUGGUUAUUUUAAACUUCAACGGUCAUUGUUUAUAAGUUAAUAUCUAUGCUAAAUUAUUAUUUUCUAACUAAUACAUGAUAAAUUAAUUGACCAAUAACACAUGGAAAAAAAUAUUGUUAGUUUUCUUUUUUUUGUUAAGAAUAAUAAAAGUUAAAAAGUUUUAGAUAUAGACAUAUACAUUAGUAUAUAUAUAUAUAUAUAUAUAUAUAUAUAUAUAUAUAUGUAUUUUUAGCUUCUUUUUUUUCUUUCAGUAAAACAAAAUUAAACUUUUUGACACAUAUCAUCGAUAGACAUGACACGUGUCACGAUUACGUAAUUUAUGAGGAUUACUAAUAAAGCAUUGAGAGGAUAAAAGAGAAUUAAUUUUCAAAUUUACAAACUACUAUUUUUCAGAAACUGUAUUUUUUGAAUUUCUGUUUUUUAUUUUAAAAGCGGAAGAGGAAACCCUCUACAUGUACGCCAAAAAUGUCGUGUUUAGGGAUAUCGACAAUUGAGGUAUUUCAAAACUUGUCCGUCCAAGUCAAAUUGCCCGAAAUAUUUGCAAUGCUCUUGCCGCUGAAAUUUUAUUUGGGUUCAAAUACUAUAGAAGCGGUGUUGGCAAGCCAAUUCCAGACCAUAUAAAACAACAACUUCAAUCUUCUUGGAUUAGAAUAUCUUCUGUUUUGUCAGAUAAACUUUAUUGAGUAUAUCUAAUGUUUUUUCUUACUUAGGGGGGUGUAUUGGAGUAAAGAUUUAGGAGGAUUUUGUGGAACUUAGGAAAUUUGGGAUUUGAAGAGAUAUUGUGAAUUUUUAGGAUACUUUCGUUGGAAUUGUUAGAUUUUAAUUUUAAAAAAGAAAAAAUAAUUUGUGAUUUGGUGAGAUUUUAAACAGAUAUUAUUGAAUGAUUUGGUGAGAUUUUCUAGAACAAAAAGGAAAAAUUGGAUUUCAAUUAAAACGGAAGUGACGUAACUCGAUCGUAGCAAAAACAAAUUCCAUUGAUGUACCAUUCCAAAGCUCAAGUCACUGAAAUCACCAUCAACAAGUACCAAGUGCAAAGAGCCAACCUAUAACAAUAAGAAUUCUCUUUGCAAUGUCGUUUGUGCUUUUGAAACAUGUCGUUCCAUUAAAAACGCUAUGACGUGAUGGAAUUGAUAAAAGAUGGGAAGGCUUGCUUUGGAGAAAACAUGUUGUGGUUGUGAUUCUGAGAUAGUUUACGCCUUUGUGUUACAACUUCAAUAUUGAAAACUUGGACGACGAAGACACCAAGGACGACGAAGACGAUGGCGUUGGCGACGACAACAAGGACGACGAAGACGAUGGCGUUGGCGAUGCUACCUGCGGGCUUAAAGGUGGUGGAGUCGGAGUGAUUCUUGAUGUAUAUGAGAUUAGCGGCGGUACAGAUCUGAUGGUCGGUAGUGAGACGAUCUCUCAUGUUUGAAAACCCCUGUUUAGUGAUGAACACGAGAAAAGUGAAAGAGAGGAUUUUUUUCUGUGAUUUUUUUUUUUUAUAACAAAUUGUUCCAAAUACCACCUCUGAAGGUGUGAUUUUUUCUAUUGGGUUUAACAUGUAAAAAUGUAUACAAAGUCUCCCAAAAUCAGUGUUGUGGAUUUCUUUCAAAAAAAAAUUAUGUUUUCAAUAACAGUUGAUUUGAUAUAAGUUUUACAAAUUGUUGAUUGAAUAACAAGAGAUUACAAGUGAUUUUAUAGAAAUUUCAAUUUCAAUAACAUUGGAUUUGGGAAGUGAUUUAAAAAUCACAAGUUGAAUAACAGGUCAUUUAAAGAAAAUCCCAAAAAUUUCUAAAAUCCUAAUUUCAAUACACCCCCCUUAAUCUAUGCUGAAAAAAGUUUAAGCAAUAUGUGUGUCGAUAAAUUUCAGACAAACUAAAUGCAAACGAUAUUAAAAUUGUCACAAUUAUGGGUAUAUGGGGGAUGGAUAAUACAUAAGCAACCAAUAUCUUAUUAUUUUUCAGGGGGUGAGUACUAAUGUGACAUAUUGGACCAUCUCCGAGUGAGAGGACACAACAUGAUGGUAGCUCAAAUUCUUGUGACAAGUGCGUACGAUUUUAUCUCACCAAAUAAUCAUAGUUUUGAUUCAUAUCACUUUGUAGAUGACCGUAUUAUAGAUCUAAAAUAAAGAUGUUUUA